rnacentral:lncRNA from 1 species
GUGGUUUCUCUCCCUUGGGAGGUUUACCAAUUGGGGUUGGUGGCUUGUGUUCUGGGAGUGGUUUCUCUCCCUUGGGAGGUUUAGUGGGUGACUUGUGUUCUGGAGGUGGCUUCUCCACCGAAGGCUUGUGCUCCGGUGGUGGCUUUUUGGUUGGAGGGGGCUUGGGGUAAUCAGCAAGAGAUGGGGUGGUGAGAACCACCAGUCCAAGGAACAACACUAGCAAGUAUGUGGGAGACAUUUUUGAGUUUGGGCUGAUCAGAUGAUGCAAAACUAAAGCAUUACGUGACCUUUUAUAGCAAGUAGCUCCCAAUACCUACUUGACACGUGUUACUGUGACCCAUAAAUAUUAUGGGGUCUAUUUGUGCCCUACCGGGUUGAAAACUUGGACAAUUGGGCAAGGACCCGCCUGACUAUGGAGGACUACUGAGGUGUGAUCACAGCUUUAGGAUUUUUCUUCCUCUGCAGCCGUCUUGCCGUUGGCAUGAUUUUCUUAAUCUCAAAUAAAGGCAUAGUUAUAGAGUUGUUUAAUCUCUAAAUGGGAUUUUAUAUAUCUUCAGAUAGCCAUUAAUACAUUUGAUGAAGAAAGAAAGACAAGUGCAUACAACAUGUAUACGACUAGCUUUCAUGGAGUUCAUUUAUGAUCAGUUUUCCUGUACAUGUAAACCAAGAUCAUAUAUGUUUUUGUUCCACAACAAUUUUGGAAUCUUGUUUAUCCGUUUUUAUCAUUAUAAUGUCACAUAGGCUGCCAACUUGGGCGCUAAAUUAAAGAUCCAGUUGGGCAAGUUCGUUUCAGAAUUUCAAUGGUGGAUUCAGGAAUUGUUUUAUAAGAUAUGCAAAAUAGUAGAGGGAUGAAUAGUGUUUCAUUAAGAAAAGAGCCCUGUAAAAAUAUUGUUUAAAGGUGCCAUAGAAACUAUAAUCAAUAAAUAACUUUUUUUCCCCAUGGGUGGUGUUUCUUGUGGGGAUCAGUGACUGGUUUGAGUCAACGCCGUGUCUCUUUAGUCCAGAAAUCAACUAUUUUAUGCAUUGAAUACAUCAACAAAGAAAAUAUGAAAGCCAAAUGACACCUCCCCCGCAAAAACUAAACCCUGGUUGCUAACUUUCUAUGUUUCAGUUCCAUUCACACAAGAAUAUUAGUUCAAGUUUGAGAAAAAUGGCGACUUACCUAGUGAUAACUCGGUCUUGGUUUGCGAUUUGACUUUAACGUCAUGGGUUGAAGCCUCCUACAAUCAUCGUGUAUGCUAGUUCAAAGCUCGUGGAAGAAGUUAUACAGGGAGGGAGAAACCUCCACAGCAAGCUCCAAAAGAGAAUUAUCACAUUGAAAGCUCCAGUUGAACACUGGGUGAAAGCCAUAACAAGAUUGGUUUUCUAUCGCUCUUUUAAGUAAUGGAAGAUUAUUAUCUCUGCUUGUCACUACAACCGUGCAUGCUGCUAGAUCUUUCUAGACACUUCAAACAGUGAAACCAAGUAUGAUUCUUUUUCUCUUGAGUGGGUCCACUUGCAUGCCAAUGAACGAGUUGAAAAGUUGGACAAUUGGCCACAGCGCGCACUUACCUUCUGGAACCGAAGGUCAGUGAAGUGGGGUUCCUUUUGGCCCCUUGUGUUUCUGUUCCAACCUACUCCAGGAACCGAAGUUCAGUGAAGUGGGGCUACUUUUGGCCUCUUGUGUUUCUGUUCCAACCAAACAAAAAUGGGAGGGAAAAAUAGCAUUAUGCUUGUGCUAAAGAUCAACGCAUGAUAGCUGAAUAAGGGAGAAAAAGGCAUUGCUAUCUCAAUUUCAUAAACUUGAUAAGUAGUGACAUUAAUAGUCUUCCUCAUAGAUGGAUACAUGGUUUUAUUUUAUUUAUUUAUUUUUAUUUUUUUGUUUUAUGUCAAUGCUAAUGAAUGAAGUGCAUUAGCUUGUUUUGUGACUAGAACUACAAAUGUCCAAAUUGGAGCUUCUCCAAUAUAUUUCUCAGUGAGUUAUUGAUUAGAACUCUUGGAUUGAGUUCCAAGAUUUGAAUCAGACCCCUCUAGCAGCUUCAGGGGUACGUAGCAACCUAUAGCAUAUUAAUGAAGACUUAGGAUUUAGACUUAGGAAUACAAAUUAAUAUGUACCUCAUGCUCUGACUAGCUUCCCUGCGUAUGCACAAAAUGGAGAUGACUCCCAAAAAAAUAGCAGAAUCGCCUUAGUAUGUUUUUGUGGUUAAGAUGAUUCUCCACUUUAUAUAUCCACAUUGGUUCAUUAUGCAAAUUAAUCAACUAAGCUAUUUUUAUUUUUUCUUAAAUGUGAAAUAGGAGCUCCAAAUUAACCUAACCAUUGGCCUGAUUGAAUUGAUUUCACUUGCAUAAUGUUAUAGUAGAAGUCCGUAAUUUGAAUUUUAUUUUUGCAAAAGGUAACGUAAAUGAAGCAUUGUAAUUAAAUUUAUUUGUAAUUACAAACUAAUUUUAUUUUAUUAAGAAUUAAUUUAAUUACUCAUUUAAAAUAAAAAUCAGUUAUACUUUUACCAAGAUGAUAAUAUUCAUAUUUUUCUAGUUAACAUAUAUAAAAUAGUACACUUUUUCAUAUAAAAAAAUAAUUUAUGAUUUAUUAUAAUGUUACUAUUCACAUUUUACUAAAUUGAUGGUACAUGAUAGUGAGAGAAGGGGGUGUCACACUCAGCUAAAGUUCUUUUCAAAAUAUUGCAUGGUGUUUAAUUUUAUGUGUCGGCGCGCGUGUGAAUGGAACCUGCAAAAGUCCAAAUUGGCGUUUCUCCAUUUUCCACAUAGGAUGGUGACGUUAAUAGACAAAGAUACAAUAUCUGUAGACAUUGCUUAAAAAUCGAUGUGAAGUAUUAGAAAUUACAGGGCACUGUACUGGGGGAGCGGCUGCCCCGCCAAAGGAGGAAGAAUGUAGCAAUUUCUUCUGUUAGCCAGGCCUUAGGAUUUAUGCAUGGGAUGCCUAAUAACAAACAGAGAAAAUAUACUUUUGGGGAAGGUAUCCAACAACAGACACCAUCAUUCAGAUGGUGGGAAGGUAUCCAACAGAUGCCAUCAUUCAGAUGGUAACAUAUAUAUACAUUUAUUAGUGAGUUUUUUUAAUACCUAUAAAAAAAAAUAUACACUUUGAUAUUGUGGCUGAAUCCAUUACAUACUCAACUAACCUUGCUCAUUAGGGAUUUGACUUAACAAGGGCAACGUUGCAGUACAAGCUCAAAACUUUAUGCAGGUGACAUUACAUUUGGUAAAGAAGAGGAAAAUAACGAAAGCCAUCCAUAAAAGCAAAAUUCCACAUGGGAUGAAAUUCACAAGCUUCAUUUACGAUAGAGUCGCAUCCAGGCAAUUAAUUCCACAUUAGACCGCCUGUUGACAUGUGUACCAAUCUUUUUUCAAAAAAUAUUUAUAAAUAAUUGAUACUCACAAAAAUAAUUUAAUAUUUAUAAAGGAUAAAAAAAUAUUUUCAAAUCUAUAACAAUUUAUAAAAUAUUAAUAAAAAAUUAUCUCUUAAACUUAGUAUAGUUUUAUCAGAUUAAACUUUUAUUUUGAACAAAUAAUUUUAAUCUAAGUUUUAAAUUCUAAAAUUAUUUCCUUAAAAUAAAAUUUUAAAAUUCAACACUUCAAUUGAAAUUGUCUUUUUAAAAAAUAUCUUCUUAUUUUAAUCCUUAUAAACUAUAGUUGAUUGAAAAUACUAUUGAAGUUCUCUCUUAAAAAAAAGUCUUAUUUUAAUCUUCAUAAAUUGCCCUUGAUUUGAAAAUAAAUUUUCAGUUAUCAUAUUUUAAAUAAUAUCUAUAUUUAAAAUACUCUAUUUAAAAAAAAAUGAACUAAUUUUAAUUAUAUUAUAUUUUAUUUUUUUAUAUAUUUUUAAUGAUAAACCAAACAUAGAAAAUCAUUUUUCUAAAUAUUUUAAAAUUUCUAAGCAACCAAACAUAAUCUUCAAAAUAAAAGGAAAAUAAGGAGGGACAUUUGAGAAAUGGCGAUUAAAAAAAAGUGUACAAAAGCUCAAUUAAUUUUCUUCUAGUCUUUUAUAUAAAAAAGUAAAGGAAUUGAAAAGUAUUGAUAUGUAAAUUAAUAUUUGGAUUUUAAUAGUAUUUUAUUUGUCUUUCUCUAUCUCAUGUAAAAGAGAAUUUAAGAUAUUUCCUAAAGCAAAGCAUUAGUUAUCUGCAAUCAGUGGUGAUCAUGCCCCAUGUCAAUUUCGGACCCAUAUCUUAAAACUGUAUAAUUUGCAUUCAAACAUUACUGAUUUCUCAGAUGUUUCAUACUCCACAGAAGAGCAUUGUUUGUGAAAGCAUGCAUUUAUGUUGGAUUUUGGAUGAUGUGGGAACUGGGGCAAGGAUCAUAUGGAAGAGUGGUCGAUUUUGUUCUGUACUUUAACAUUUGAAAUAGGAGAAGCUCGGGCAUUUGUGGGGCUUAAUUGAUUUUGAAGCCUGAAAUUGCGUUUCUGUCAUUUUGUAAAAAAUAUGGCAGAUUCCAUGCUCUCAUAUGUUUGGUCUGUGGCCAUGUAUAGAUGCCCCUUAGUGACCAGUUUGUAACUGUCAAUCAUAGUGUUUUGACUCUGGCUCAACAACAUCAGCCAUUGACGGAUUUUCAUACUUGCAAAUCAAAUAGUCUUCUUCCUCCCUUAGGAAUUUCGGUUUAAAUGUUAUUAAGCAUACAUUUGGCUGACAAUUAUUAACCACUUCAUGAUAUGGUUUCUUACCCUUAAUCAAUGGUUUCUAAGUGAAUAUAUGCAGAAGGAAAUCUGAACUGUAGACAGCAGUAUUGAUAACUCUCAAUAUUCUUUAUAUAAGAGAAUAAACAACGUCAUAGUGAUCGUCGCCUACAAGAAAGGUACAUUUCCCAACAAGAUGUAGUUGUGACUGGUACAUGGACGCAAUUAACUCGUACAAAAGAAUAAGACCAGUGCACGGCAGCUCUUAUUUUACAUGCUAAUUAUGCUAACCAAAGUCACUCAGUUGGGAUGGGAGGGAGAUGGAGGUUUGUGCGGUGGCUUGUGGGGCGGAGUUGGUGGCUUCUUUUCAGGAGCUUGUGGCUUUUUCGGAGCUGAAGGAGGCUCAAUCUUAUGAGGCGGCUUGUACGAGUCUUCUUUACUCUCGACAGGAGGGUGGCCAGGGUUGUGACCAUAAUGUGGUGGCUUCUCUCCCUUAGGUGGCUUGCCAACUGGGGUUGGUGGCUUGUGUUCAGGAAGUGGUUUCUCUCCCUUGGGAGGUUUACCAAUUGGGGUUGGUGGCUUGUGUUCUGGGAGUGGUUUCUCUCCCUUGGGAGGUUUAGUGGGUGACUUGUGUUCUGGAGGUGGCUUCUCCACCGGAGGCUUGUGCUCCGGUGGUGGCUUCUCCACCGGAGGCUUGUGCUCCGGUGGUGGCUUCUUGAUUGGAGGGGGCUUGGGGUAAUCAGCAAGAGAUGGGAUGGUGAGAACCACCACUCCAAGGAACAACACUAGCAAGUAUGUGGGAGACAUUUCUGAGUUUGAGCUGAUCAGAUGAUGCAAAACUAGAAGAAUUACGGGACCUUUUAUAGCAAGUAUCUCCCAAUACCCACAUGACACGUGUUACUAUGACCAUAAAUAUUAUAGGGUCCAUUUGUGCCCUACCGGGUUGAAAACUUGGACGCUUGGCCGAGGACACACCUGACUAUGGAGGACUAUUGACGUGUGAUCACAGCUUUUGGAUUUUUCUUCCUGUGCAGCUGUCUAGCGGUUGGCAUUAUUUUCUUAAUCUUAAAUAAAGGCAUAGUUAUAGAGUUGUUUAAUCUCUAAAUGGGAUUUUAUAUAUCUUCAGAUAGCCAUUAAUAUAUUUGAUGAAGAAAGACAAGUGCAUACAACAUGUAUACGGCUUGCUUCAAUCGAGUACAUUUAUGAUCAGUUUUCCUGUGCAAGUAAACCAGUUUUUUGUUCCACAACUAUUUUGGAAUCUUGUUUAUCAGUUUCUAUCAUUAUAAUGUCACAUAGGCUGCAAACUUGGGCACCCAAAGAUCUAGGUGGGCAAAUUUGUUUCAGACUUUCAAUGGUGGAUUCAGUAAUUGUUAAAAGGUGUUUCUUCAUUAAGGAAAGAGUCCGGUAAAAAUAUUGUUAAAAGGUGUCAUAGAAACUAUAAUAAAUAAAUAACUUCUUUUCCCCAUGGGUGGUGUUUCUUCUGGGGAUCAGUGACUGGUUAGGGUCACCCAAAAUGAGUCCAGAUUAAAAUUGGUUCGAGUCAAAGCAGUCUCUUUUGUCCAGAAAUCAACUAUUUUGCGCAUUGAAUGAAUCGAUAAAGAAAAAAUGAAAGCCAAAUCACACCUCCCCUGCAAAACCUAAACCCCGGUUGCUAACUUUCUAUGUUUCAGUCCUAUUCAUAUAGGAAUAUUGGUUCAAGUUUGAGAAAAAUGGCAACUUACCUAGGGUUUACUUGGUUUUGGUUUGCGACUAUUUACGCAACCAACCAUGAGUUUGACUUUAACGUCAUGGGUUGAAGCCUCCUACAAUCAUGUAUGAUAGUUCAAAGCUCGUGGAAGAAAUUAUACAGGAAGGAAGAAACCUCCAAAGCUAGCUCCAAAAGAGAAUUAUCACAUCGAUAGCUCCAGAGAUUCCCAAGGGAACUGAAUCAAAGACAAGUUCCUCACUUUUUCUUCUUUUGAGGCCAAAUAUGAACCAAGGAUCACACGACCUCAUUCAACUUCAUAAGUUUGAUUUCAUGCAGUUGAACACUGGGUGAAGGCCAUGACAAGAAUUGAUUAAAAAAUUCUACCACUCUUUUAAGUAAUGGAAGAUUAUUAUCUCUGAUUGGCACCACAACAGCACAUGCUGCUAGAUCUUUCUAGACACUCCAUGCAAUGAAAGCACAAUGGAUCUUGUAAUGAUAGAAACUAAGCCAUGCUACAGUACUAGAUGAGGGGGUAAAACUAGUAGACAUCUUUCUAGACACUCCAUGCAAUGAAAGCACAAUGGAUCUUGUAAUGAUAGAAACUAAGCCAUGCUACAGUACUAGAUGAGGUGGUAAAACUAGUAGACAUGGCUGGCAGUUGAUUACUACUCAAAAAGUACUCUUUUAUAGCUUGAAACUAACUGUUUUAAACACUUUUGAGUAGUAGUUAAUACCUUUUAACUUAAUUGGCACAUUAAGGAACCUAGCAAGGGUUACUAAUCAACAUUUGGCAAGUUUUGAUGUUUUUGGUAGCUAUUUGAUCAUUGAAACAAGCCAAGAAUGAGGGGGAAUUUUGUGAAGUCCAUGGCAAUGCAAGUUAAAGCUCAAAUACAUGAAGAAUCCAAGCUUUGGAGCACUUCAUAGCCCUUUGCCAAGCCAAUCAAAGAUGCAAGGAAGAAAACCAAAGGAAGAAAUCCAACAAUCAGCAUUUUGGCAUGGCUAUGUGAAAUUUCGCACACCAUGCGAAACCACAAGAGGCAGCCAAAGAAUUUCGCAUGGUAUGCGAAAUCUUCUUGUGCACUGACUCUGUUAGAUUUUUAUCUUCAGAUAUUUUGUGUAAUUUCCUAGUUUCUCCUUGUAACCAACUUAGAUAUUUUCUUUUAUAUCUUUUUUUAUAUUUUUUAGGUAACAUCAUAUAUAAGAGGAGAGACAUAAGGAGGAUAUGGAUGUUUUUCAUAGAACACUUGUAAAUUUUUGGUAGUAAGAAAUAUACAAAGCUUUUUGCUCUGCCUUACCUUCUCAAGGGAUGAGUGGCUAGGUUUUCUUGGAGUGAGGGAAGCUAGGUGAAGGACCUGAAUGCAAAGGUGGGAGUUUUCCUUACUUUAAAUGAAAGUAGUUGUUAAACAUUAAUGGUUUUUAUUUUAAGGUUUAGCUUUAAAUCCCUGAAAAACACCUUGAAUGGCCAAUACUUGGUAAGCUUUUUAGAUUCUAUGGAUGCUUAUUGCUAGAUCCAUGGAUGUCUAUUAGUUAUCAUUUACGAGCCAUUGGAAGGUGAUUCAAGGUGAGGGUCUUUAGUGUUUGAAGCCAUUAAUGGGAAGCAAUUACCAUUUUUUCAUGAAUCCUUUGGAUCAAAUCUUAAUUGCUAAAUAUAAAACCGGUUUCGAGAGAUAACCACCAUCCUUUAUGUUAUUAUCCCCAACGCGAGGAGAAGAUCCGAAAUCUUCCUUUUUAUCUAAGGAACCCGAUCCUAGUGACCUAAAGCUCCAAGAUACCUUUUCUUUGUAGUUAACUUCAUUUAUUGUUUUUGCUUAACUUAAAAUCAAUCUUUGCAACCACAAUUCCAUUUUCUUUAAAAGCUAAUUUUUAUAAGGAAAAACACCAUUUUAUUUCCUUCACUAAGUCAACUGUACGAUGAAAACCCAUCCCUGUGGACGAUCCUAGAGCCACUAUACUAUGUUAGCUAUGCUACCCUAGUGUGAGGUGAUUUAGGUUUUAUAAAUUUUUUUGAUAACACCCAUCUGAGCCAGAAUCAAAUGGCACGACUGAACCAGGGACGAAUCAAAUGACGCCGCUACCAAGGAUGGUGCCAAAGUACAUUGACAUGACUUUUGGUGAACACUUGUGAUCUUCACCACAAGUUUGGUGAUUUUUCUUUUACUAAUUUUUUUUAUUUUAGCUUAUCUUUUAUUUAGUUUUUAGUUAACCUUAAAUUUUUCCUAGAAUUGUAUUUCUUUUGUUUUCUUUGUUUUUGUUUCAGUGAUCUUUAGUUGUGCAUGCCCUAUUGGAUAAGAGAUAUUGAGGGAAUACUUGUGAAGAUUGAAACUCCUCGAGAAACUGAGUUAGAAGUGUGCUUGAACAUCAUGGAUGUUCCACCUGAAGACCAGAAUAGCCAACAUGGUUAAGAGGAUAAUUUCAACACAUACCGAUCCAUGAGGAACCGCAUACAUCCACCUUGUAUGAGUGCACCGUCAGGCAUAAUGCCUCCCACUGAGCAGCUAGUAAUCUGACCUCACAUUGUGCCACUCCUACCUACUUUCCAUGGGAUGGAGAGUGAGAAUCCCUACUCGCAUAUUAAGGAAUUCGAGGAGGUUUGUAAUACAUUCCAAGAAGGAGGAGCUUCAAUUGACUUGAUGAGGCUCAAGCUAUUUCCUUUCACUUUGAAGGAUAAGGCCAAGAUUUGGCUUAAUUCUUUAAGGCCAAGAAGUAUCCAAACUUGGAUUGAUUUGUAAGCCGAGUUUCUUAAGAAGUUCUUCCCUACCCAUAGGACCAAUGGUUUGAAAAGGCAAAAUUUGAACUUCUCAGUUAAAGAGAAUGAGAAAUUCUAUGAGUGUUGGGAGAGCUACAUGGAAGCUAUUAACGUUUGUCCUCACCAUGGCUUUGACACAUGGCUCUUAGUGAGCUAUUUUUACAAUGGUAUGUCUUCUUCAAUGAAGCAACUCCUAGAAACUAUGUGUGGAGGAGACUUCAUGAGUAAGAAUCCGGAGGAAGCCAUGGACUUUUUGAGUUAUGUGGCUGAAGUUUCAAGAGGAUGGGAUGAACCAAAUGCUAGAGAGGUGGGAAGAAUGAAGUCUCAACCUAAUGCUAAGGGUGAGAUGUAUGUUUUGAAUGAAGACAUUGACAUGAAAGCAAAGGUUGCAGCUAUGGCAAGGAGAUUGGAAGAGCUAGAAAUGAAGAACAUACAAAAAGUGCAAGCCAUUUCUGAGACAUCAAUGAAAGCUAUGCCUUGUUCCAUUUGUCAAUCUUAUAAGCACCUAGUGGAGGAGUGUCCUACAAUUCCAGCAGUGAGAGAGAUGUUUGGUGAUCAAGCAAAUGUUAUUGAUCAAUUCAAGCCUAAUAACAAUGCUUCAUAUGGCAACACCUACAAUUCAAAUUGGAGGAACCAUUCAAAUUUCUCUUGGAAACGAAAGCCACCUCAAUACACACAACCUACUCAAGCACCUUAGCAAUCCUCGAAUCUUGAACAAGCUAUUGUGAACCUUAGCAAGGUUGUGGGAGACUUUGUGGGAGAUCAGAAGUCCAUCAAUGCUCAACUGAAUCGGAGAAUUGACAGUGUGGAGAGUACAUUGAACAAAAGGAUGGAUGAGAUGUAAAAUGAUCUGUCUCAAAAGAUAGACAAUGUCCAAUACGUAAUCUCAAGGCUUACCAACCUCAACACAGUGUAAGAGAAAGGAAAGUUUCCUUCUCAACCUCAUCAAAAUCCUAAGGGUAUCCAUGAAGUAGAGGCUCAAGAGGGAGAAUCUUCAAAGGUGAGGGAAGUCAAAGUAGUUAUCACCUUGAAGAGUGGUAAAGAGGUUGAUCAACCCACAUCCAAGCCAAAGCAUAAUGAAGAGAGUGUAGCAGAAAAAGAAAAGAGAGGAAAAUAAAGGAAUUAGAAUAGAGAAAAAUACAAAGAAAGAUGACCAUGAGUCUAGUGUGGAUGAAGAGCCCGAGAGGAUGGUGAUCAAGGAAGAUAUGAUGAAGAAACACAUGCCUCCACCUUUCCCCUAAGCUUUGCAUGACAAAAAAAGAACCAAUAAUACAUCAGAAAAUUUUGAAGUAUUGAGGCAAGUGAAGGUCAAUAUCCCUUUGCUAGACAUGAUCAAACAAGUGUCGACAUAUGAAAAAUUCUUGAAGGACUUGUGCACUGUAAAGAGAGGGUUGAAUGUGAACAAGAAAGCUUUAUUGACCGAGCAAGUGAGUUCCAUCAUACAGUGCAAGUCCUAGUGAAGUACAAAGAUCCGGGUUGCCGUACCAUCUCAGUGAGUAUUGGAAGGACUUGUGUGGAGAAAGCUUUGUUGGACUUGGGAGCAAGUGUGAAUUUGCUAUCCUACUCUGUCUAUAAGCAGUUGGGAUUUGGAGAGUUGAAGCCAAUAUCCAUCACUCUAUCUCUAGCGGAUAGAUCAAUGAAGAUUCCAAGAGGGAUGAUCGAAGAUGUCCUGGUUCAAGUUAACAAAUUCUACUAUCCAGUAGAUUUUGUUGUUCUUGAUAUGGAUCCGGUUGUCAAAUGAACUAAUUAUGUUCCUAUCAUACUUGGAAGACCCUUCCUAGCUACAUCAAAUGCAAUCAUCAAUUGUAGGAAUGGAGUCAUGCAACUCACAUUUGUCAACAUGACAUUAGAGCUCAACAUCUUCCAUUUGUACAAGAAGCAUAUCCAUCAGGAGGAAAAAGAAGGUCUAGAGGAAGUGUGAAUGAUUGACACUUUAGUGGAAGAGCAUUGUGAUCGAGAAUGCAAAAAGAUUUAGUUGAGAAUUUUGGGGAUCUUGAUGAAAGGUUACUUGAACCCUCAGAUUUGCUUGCUACCCUACUCCAUUGGAAGAGAAGAGAAGAAAUUCUACCCUUAUUCAAUGAGGAGGAGACGCAAAGAGCUGCAAAGGAGAAACCCCCAAAACUUAUUCUUAAGCCACUACCCACAGAGUUGAAGUAUGUAUACUUGGAAGAAGACAAGAAGUGCCCUAUUGUUAUAUCUUCAACUCUUACCAUUCAUCAGGAGGAUUGUCUACUUGAAGUCCUUAGAAGAUGUAAGAAGACAAUAAGGUGGCUAAUUUCUUAUUUGAAAGGGAUCAGCCCUUUAGUCUGCACCCAUCAUAUUUACAUGGAGGAUGAAGCUAAGCUAAUUCAUCAACCUCAGAGAAGGUUGAACCCUCACAUGCAAGAGGUGGUUCGAGCUGAAGUUCUGAAGCUACUUCAGACCAGUAUUAUUUACCCCAUAUCAAAUAGCCCAUGGGUGAGUCCUACUCAAGUUGCGCCAAAGAAGUCUGGGAUCAUGGUGGUGCAAAAUGAUAAGGGAGAAGAUGUCUCUACACGCCUCACUACAGGUUGGAGGGUGUGUAUCAAUUACAGGAGGUUGAAUGCAGUGAUAAGAAAGGACCAUUUCUCAUUGCCCUUUAUUGAUCAGGUGCUUGAGAGGGUCUCUGGGCUUUUUUUUUUAUUGUUUCUUGGAUGGCUACUCCGGGUACUUUCAGAUAGAAAUUGAUGUUGAAAACCAAGAUAAGACCAUUUUCACAUGCCCAUUUGGAACCUAUGCAUAAAGGAGAAUGCCUUUCGGCUUAUGCAAUGCACCCGCAACUUUCCAAAGAUGCAUGUUAAGCAUUUUCAGUGAUAUGGUGGAGCGUAUUAUGGAAGUCUUUAUGGAUGAUAUCACCAUUUAUGGAAGUGCAUUUGAUGAAUGCUUGGUCAACUUAGAAGCUGUUCUGAACCGAUACAUUGAGAAAGACUUAGUGCUUAACUGGGAGAAGUGCCAUUUCAUGGUACACCAAGGGAUUGUCCUUGGGCACAUUAUCUCCAAGCAAGGCAUUGAAGUUGACAAAGCAAAGGUUGAACUCAUUGUUAAGUUGCCAUCCUCAACAAAUGUCAAAGGAGUAAGGCAAUUCUUUGGCCAUGUCGGGUUCUAUAGGAGGUUUAUCAAGGAUUUCUCUAAGCUUGCAAGGCCUCUUUGUGAAAUAUUGGUGAAUGAUGUUAAAUUCAUAUGGGAUGAUGGAUUUGAAAGGAGUUUUGAAGAAUUGAAGCUAUUUUUGACAACCGUACCAAUAGUGAGGGCUCCCAACUGGCAACUGCCCUUUGAAGUAAUGUGUGAUGUCAAUGAUUUUGCUAUAGGAUUUUUUCUUGGGCAAAGAGAAAAUGGAAAACCUUAUGUGAUCUACUAUGCGAGGAAGGCAUUGAAUGAGGCACAAAGAAACUACACAACCACCGAGAAAGAAUUGUUAGCUGUAGUUUUUGCCUUGGAUAAGUUUCGCGCUUACUUGGUGGGGUCCUUCAUCAUGGUUUUUACUGAUCACUUUGCUUUGAAGUAUCUGUUGACUAAGCAAGAUGCUAAAGCAAGGCUGAUUAGAUGGAUUCUCUUACUUCAAGAGUUCAAUCUCCAUAUCAAAGAUAAGAAAGGAGUGGAGAAUGUGGUAGCAGACCACAUUUCAAGGCUAGCUAUCGCACAUAAUUCCCAUGCUUUGCCCAUUAAUGACGAUUUUCUAGAGGGGUCUCUCAUGUUGGUGGAAGUUGUCCCUUGGUACGCUCACAUUGCUAACUACCUGGUCACGGGAAAAGUUCCAAGUGAGUGGAAAGCACAAGAUAAGAAGCACUUCUUUGCAAAAAUUCAUGCCUACUAUUGGGAAGAGCCAUUUCUAUUCAAGUAUUGUAUGGAUCAGAUAAUAAGGAAGUGCGUUCCUGAAGAAGAGCAACAGGGGAUCCUUAGUCAUUACCAUGAAAAUGCAUGUGGAGGCCACUUUGCUUAUCAAAAGACAGCCAUGAGGGUGUUGCAAUCGGGUUUCUGUUGGCCAUCACUUUUCAAAGAUGCCCACACCAUGUGCAAGAGUUGUGAUCGAUGCCAGAGGCUUGGGAAGUUGACACGCAGGAACAUGAUGCCUUUGAACCCCACUUUAAUAGUUGAUAUUUUUUAUGUUUGGGGCACUAACUUCAUGGGACCUUUCCCUAUGUCUUUUGGCUACUCUUACAUCUUGGUAGGAGUAGAUUAUGUUUCUAAGUGGGUUGAGGCAGUCCCAUGCAAACACAAUGACCAUAGAGUGGUUCUCAAGUUUCUUAAAGAGAAUAUCUUCUCAAGAUUUGGGGUGCCCAAAGCCAUAAUUAGUGAUGGGGGUACUCAUUUUUGCAACAAGCCUUUUGAAACUCUCCUAGCCAAGUAUGGGGUGAAGCAUAAGGUAGCUACACCUUACCACCCUCAAACUCAUGGACAAGUUGAGUUAGCAAACAGGGAGAUUAAAAACAUAUUGAUGAAGGUGGUGAACACAAACAGAAAAGAUUGGUCAGUCAAGCUUCUUAAUUCACUAUGGGCAUAUAGAACAACUUACAAGACCAUUCUCGGGAUGUCUCCUUAUCGCCUAGUUUAUGGCAAAGCAUGCCAUCUCCCUGUGGAAUUGGAAUACAAAGCUUGGUGGGCAAUCAAGAAGCUCAACAUGGAUUUGAGCAGAGCUGGGUUGAAGAGGUUCUUAGACCUUAAUGAGAUGGAGAAAUUGAGAAAUGAUGCCUACAUCAAUUCAAAAAUUGCAAAAGAAAAAUUGAAGAGGUGGCAUGAUCAGUUGAUUUCCCGCAAGGAUUUUCAAAAUGGACAAAGAGUCUUACUUUAUGACUCUAAACUCCACAUCUUUCCGGGCAAGCUGAAAUCAAGGUGGAUAGGUCAUUUUACCAUUCACCAAGUGCAUUCAAAUGGAGUAGUGGAACUACUCAACUCCAACAAUAUCGAGAACUUCAAAGUGAAUGGCCACCGUCUCAAGCCCUUUGUGGAGUCUUUUUCUCACAACAAGGAGAAAUUCAUCCUCCUUGAUCCACAUCAAGCUUAACAAGACCAAUUUUCUUGAUGGACUUAGUCUUUCUAAAGACUAUCGAGUCCAUAACUUUUUGUUUUAUUUUUUAUUUGAGAUUUUUUCGGUAUUGUUACUUGUUUUGUUUUUUAUUUUUCGUUUUAAUUUUAUUUGGUUUGAUUUAACUUAGGUUUUUGAUGAUCAAUUACAGGGGGGAUUUCAAAUAGAGGAAAAACCAAGAUAAUUCGCACACCCUACGAAAAUUUCGCAAGGCAUGCGAAAUUUAUGGCUUAUUUUGCAUGGGGUGAAAAUUUUCGUACAUCUUACGAACCAAUUUCGAACACUUUGCGAAAAUAAACCAACCCUGCGAAAUCAUUUCGAUUACUCUACGAAAUUUUCGUAGAGCAUGCGAAAAAUUUAGCACACCAAACACCAUUUCGCAUACUAUGCAAAAACCUAAGGGGUCUGCGAAACCAUUUCGCACCUCCAAAUCCAUUUCGCACAUUGUGCGAAAACCAAGAGGCGCUGUGCGAAAAUGAAAAGUCGCCCUGUCAUCCCUUUUUAAACCCCUCGAGCCCUAAAAUCUCCAUUUCGCAAGCACCCCUGUCCUUGCGAAUCCCUCAUUUUCCUCUACUACCUUGCAACCUCGUCCCUUUCCAUUUGAUAUUGUGCCCCGCGCACAUCUCAUUUCAGAGACUCGCACUCCGCGCCCCCUCAAAGCAUGGACUCGAGACCCACCUUCCAUUUCCGACGUGGCACGGACCCAAGGAGCCCUUUCUGCCCCUUCACUAAGACACACACCAAGGCAGAAAGCCUCCUUUGCUCAAGUGCCUAGUGAUUCUCCAUCUUAGGCCUCAGAGGCCUCGGAGGCCCCGUGGAUUCCACCUUCCGAGGGUAGAGCAGCCAUUGGUCCUUCCUCUUCUACUCCUUAGCGUAGAUACGAGACGAGGAGACCACCUACUACACAAGGGGCGACUACUUCGAGCCUUGAGAAUUCAGUACGAUGCCUUCCUGCCAAGAGGGUCAAGACUUCAGGUCCAAGUGAGUCAUCCAGAGCUUCAUAGCCUAAGCCUCCUGUAGAUUCCAAGGUUCCUACUGACAUAUCACCGGAGUCUAUUAUCAGAAGCCCGAUGCUCAUAGCACCGCCCAUUGAGGGCAACUCAGAUUAUAGAGCGAGAUCUUUCCACUUGGAGCUAUAUUUUGAUCAGGAGGCCAUACGACAGCAGCCUGAGCUCCGAGACUCUUAUGGCUUACUGCAGAGGUACCAUCUUGAGGAACUUAUGACUCCUCGUGAGUUUUUUUAUCCCAGAGUAGCACUAAACUUUUACCAGUCCAUGACUACUCGUGGCGUCCCGAGUCCUACCACGAUUCACUUCACCAUUGAUAGACGUCAUGGUAUCCUCAAGGCCAGACAUAUUACAGAGGCUCUACAAAUUCCUUUCGAGCUAGAGGAUCCAUCUGUUUUUCGCUAAUGGUCCCCAGUAUCUCAGAGGGACAUGGUCCGUAUUUUAUCUAGGGGAACAUCUACAGAUUCGAUCUUUCUACGGAAGGAGCUUCGACCUGGGAUGCUCCUCUUAGAUGUGGUGCUAUGCUCCAACCUCUUUCCCUUACAACAUUCGGUACAUAGGUGAUGAGCUAUUUUGGACGCUUUAUUCCGUAUAUCAGAGGGCUUCUACUUUGGCCCGCACCACUUGAUCAUGGUCUCCCUCAUCCACUUUGAGGAGAAGGUUCAUAGGAAGAAGCUUCAGAGGGUGGACACCAUUCCAUUACUAUUCCUGAGGUUACUUUGCCAGGUCUUGGAGUACAUGGGCUUUCCUACUGAGCCUCGGCUCGAGCUUUGCCGCCUUUGUCGAGAGUGAUCCACUCUCGACAAAUGGAAUUAGUUGGCGGGCUAUUCUGCACCUCCAGGAGCCCCUCCCAUGGUAGCACCUCCAAUGUCCCCACAGGCAAAGUAGGGCGAGCUCCCGGCAAAGACUGUACCACCAAUGCCCACACUUGAGGCUAUUUCUGCUGCUCUGCCUAUGACUCCUACUGUUCCACCAGUUGGUCCUUUUACAUCCGAGCCUUCCAUCACCAUCUCGGCUUCGGAGUUUCGCGCCCUUGUGCAUACCUUUCAGACACUCACCACCACACAUACUCCUCUCUUCUAGCAAAUGGUUGAGAUGUGUGCCCAUCAGGACCGGAAGACUACUAUACUCUGCCAAAUUCAGCAGCACCUAAGACUUUUGCCUCAACCUCAACCUAACCAUCCCAUAUCAUCAGAGCCUCUAGCUCCAACUGAGGAUACUAUUCCACCUGAGAACACUACCACAGUAGAGGUCCGGUUUCCACCACCUUAAGAGGCCACCACAGCUACAUCAGAGGAUGUGUCAUCUCCACUUGAGGCUCCCACUACUUGAUCAUAGGACAUAUCUUUAUCUUAUUGUAUUUACAUAUUAUAUUACUAGAGAUUUGUCCUUGUUUUGAUACUUUAUAUUCUGGGAUUGGAUGUAUUGCCUGAUGAUAUCUCAAUUGUACUUUCUCAUAUUAAUAUAUAGACAUCAAUUUUUUUUAGUAUACUUAGCAUUUUUCUAUUUCCUCUACUCAUUACUCUUUUGUUUUUUUUUACUCAUGUGGUUUCUCUUAUACAACUCAGACUCCAUUUCACUCAGGAGGUACCACUUCCUCCCUUUAUUUUCAAUUGCUCUUGAAAUAUUGAGUGCAAUGUUGAUCUUGGUUGGGGGGAGAGUUGAGGAAGGAAGUUUUGUUAAUAAUGCUAGGUUAAUUUGUUAAUUUAGUUACUUUCUGCUUAAUUUUAAAAGUUUUCACUCUACUUUCCAUGGUUAUUAAGGAAAAAUUCUCAAAAUGAAAUGGGAGAAAUCGAAUUCUUGCAUUUUUACUUGAAUCUUAGAAUUUGUAUCAUGCUUAUUAAAGUUGAUGAAUUAUUGAAACUCCUAUUGAAUUCAACCUUAUUUUUUCCACUUUAAUCUUACCACACACGGUGCACAUUAGGUUCCAGUUAUAAGAUAAAAAACUAUCUCACCCCCUAAACUUAGAAAAAUUUACACUUGGUACCUUUGACAUCGUUUUAAUAGUGUUGGGACACCUUAUAAAAGGCCAAUGAGCCUUUAAAAAAAAAAAAAAAAAAAAAAAGAGAAAGAACAAAGUAUUGCACUUGCCUUGAAACCUGAGCAAGAUCCGAGGGGUAUACAGUGAAAGUCUUUAAAACCUGGUGCCCUAAGCCUUGAUUGGUUGGGAGUCACCGACCUCAAUGCUCGUUAUAAGGGUGAAUAGGUGGAGUUUAACAUAUUGUAGGUGCUUGGGUAUUGAAUUUCAAUCUCAAAAGUCCGGGAAAAAAUCUAAGGAGUUAGUGGUCAAAAGAUCCUUAAAGCUUGAUGCCCUAAACCUUGAUUGGUUGAGAGUCAUUGAUGGAUCCCCGCUACAUGGACAUUUUAGAAAACAAUACCUUUAGCAUUGCACGCCUACAAUGAAAAAAAAAUGUGAAAUAAAAGAGGUGCGUUCUUAGCCUAUUGGAGGUUGGUCAGUUUGCUAAAGUUUGAGAAAUCUAGGUUGGGGGGAGAGAAUAGUCCGACAUACUAUAAUAAAAAACUAAUAACCUUAACACUUAGAUUUUUGUGGAAGAGUAAGGAUUGGACCUUUAGGGGUGGAAAUUCUUUUGAUGCUUAAAUUUGCAUAAUGCCUACUCUUUAUAAAUUAUGAUUAGGCAAGAGAUUUGAUGACUCUUGUUCAAAGUUGGGUUUUUCCUCUUUGAUGUUCCAUGAGAGAGUAUAAUCCUCAUCAUGCCACUUGAAAUCUUUUUGGAGUGAUUAACAUGAUUUUGUAAAUUAUUUUACUGUCUAUUUUUCUUUAUCUCUCUUUUAUUGCUAAUGGACUAGCAAUAUGUCAGUUGGGGGGAGUGAUUACUACUCAAAAAGUACUCUUUUAUAGCUUGAAACUAACUGUUUUAAACACUUUUGAGUAGGUGUUAAUACAUUUUAACUCAAUUGGCACAUUAAGGAACCUAACAAGGGUUACUAAUAAGUUUUUGGCAAGUUUUGGUGUUUUUGGUAGCUAUUUGAUCAUUGAAACAAGCCAAGAAUGAGGGAGAAUUUUGUGAAGUCCAUAGCAAUGCAAGUUAAAGCUCAAAUACAUGAAGAAUCCAAGCUUUGAAGCACUUCAUAGCCCUUUGCGAAGCCAAUCAGAGAUGCAAGGAAGAAAACCAGAGGAAAAAAUCCAACAACCAGCAUUUUCGCAUGGCUGUGCGAAAUUUUGCACACCAUGCGAAACCACAAGAAGUAGCCAAAGAAUUUUGCACACCAUGCGAAAUUUCGCAUGGUAUACGAAAUCUUCCUAUGCACCAACUCCGUUAUAUUUUUAUCUUCAGAUAUUUUGUGUAAUUUCCUAGUUUCUCCUUGUAACCAACCUAGAUAUUUUCUUUUAUAUCUUUUUUUUAUAUUUUUUAGGUAACAUCAUAUAUAGGGGGAGAGACAUAAGGAGGAUAUGGAUGUUUUUCAUAAAACACUUUUAAUUUUCUGGUAGUAAGAAAUAUACAAAGUUUUUUGCUCUGCCUUACCUUCUCAUUUUGUUUUCACCUAUCUUUCUAGCCAAACAACCUCUGAGAAUGAUUUCUCAGGGGAUGAGUAGUUAGGUUUUACGUUUCUUGGAGUGAGAGAAGCUAGGUGAAAGACCCAAAUGCUAAGGUGGGAGUUGUCCUUGCUUUAAAUGAAAGUAGUUGUUAAAUAUUAAUGGUUUUUAUUUUAAGGUUUAGCUUUAAAUCCCUUAAAAACACCUUGAAUGGCCAAUACUUGGUAAGCUUUUCGGAUUCUAUGGAUGCUUAUUGCUAGAUCCAUGGAUGUCAUUAGUUAUCAUUUAUGAGCCAUUGGAAGGUGGUUCAAGAUGAGAGUCUUUAGUGUUUGAAGCCAUUAAUGGGAAACAAUUACCAUUUUUUCAUGAAUCCUUUGGAUAAAAUCUUAAUUGCUAAAUAUAAAACUGGUUCGGGAGAUAACCAUCCUUUAUGUUAUUAUGCCCAAUGCAAGGAGAAGAUUUCGAAUCUUCUCAUUUGUCUAAGGAACCCGAUCCUAGUGACCUAAAGCUCCUAGAGACCUUUUCUUUGUAGUUAACUUCAUUUAUUGUUUUUGCUUAACUUAAAAUCAAUCUUUGCAACCACAAUUCCAUUUUCUUUAAAAGCUAAUUUUUAUAAGGAAAAGCACCAUUUUAUUUCCUUCACUAAGUCAACUGUAUGAUGAAAACCCAUCCCUGUGGACGAUCUUAGAGCCACUAUACUAUGUUAUCUAUGCUAUCCUAGUGUGAGGUGAUUUAGGUUUUAUAAAUUUUGUUGAUAACACCCGUCUGAGCCAGAAUCAAAUGGAACCACUGAACCAGGGACAAAUCAACAGCCUAUAUGGGAGGGACACAAGUUUAAUUGAUUUGCAUUUCAGCGUUAUAGAUAAGUAUGUUUUGGAAGAUUUGUUCUGGAAAUACUGCACCAAGUACGAUUCUUUUUCUCUUGAGUGAGUCCAUUUGCAUGCCAAUUAACGAGUUGAAAAGUAGGAGCACCUACCUCGUGCUCAUGGAACCGAAUGUCAGUGAAGUGGGGCUCCUUUUAGCCUCUUGUGUUUCUGUUCCAACCAAGGCGGCGUAGGGAAAAACAACAAUAUGUCUGUGCUAAAUAUCAACGCAUGAUAGAUGUUUUUUUUUUUUUUUUUGGUAUGUCAAGGCUAACGAAUGAAAUGCAUUAGCUUGUUUUGUGACUAUAACUGCAAAUGUCCAAAUUGGAGUAUCUCCAUUUCUCACUUCGGAUGGUUAACUUUAUAAACAAGAUAUAGGAAACAUGUGAACAUCUUGAGGAACAAUUCAAAUUAUUCAUUAGAAGUCCUGGGUUAAGUUCCAAGAUUUAAAUCAGACCCUUCUAGCAGCUUCAAGGGUACUUAGCAACCUAUAACAUAUUAAUGAAGAUUUAGGAUUUAGACUCCGGAAUACAAAUAAAUAUGUAUCUCAUGCUUUGACUAGCUUCCCUACAUAUGCAUAAAAUGGAGAUGACCCAAAAAAAAUAGCAGAAUCUAGCUUCCCUACAUAUGCACAAAAUGGAGAUGACCCAAAAAAUAGCAUAAUCGCCUUAGUUUCUGUGGUUAAGGUGAUUCUCCGCUUAAUAUCCACAUUGACUCAUUAUGCAAAAUCAACUGAGCUAAUUUUAUUUAUUUAUUUAAUGUCAAAUAGGAACUCCUAAUUAACUGAUUACUGUCGAAAAGUGCUAUUUUGUAGACCUAAUUAUAAGGGUUUUAAGCACCUUUGAGUAGUAAUCAUAUUCAUUUAACCUAAUUAAUUCAUUAAGCUCCUUAGUAAUUAGUUCUAACCAUUUUUAGUGGCAAGUUUACAUGUUUUUCAUCAGCUUAUGAACCAAUUCAAGCAUGCCAAUUGAUGGAGGAGCUACUUGGGCGAGUUAAGCAAGGAUUUUGGACGUUUACAGGCUUGAAUUUCAAGUGGAAACACGAGCACAAGCAAUGGGAACACCAUUUCGCAAGGGGAGGCAAUUCACCUUGCCAAAUGACCAAUUUCGCAAGGGGAUUUUCCUCAUGGUGCAAAAUUUGGUCAUUUCGCACCAUGAAGAAACCACCUUGCAAAAUUUCGCAAGGUGGAUUUAGGCACCUUGCGAAAUGCCAAAUUUCACAAGGUGGCUUUUCACCUUGCGAAAUUUGGACCUUUCAUCUUCCCCCCUUGCGAAAUGCCUUUGAAAUCCCCUGUUUUGAGACGCUGUUGAUGAUAUUCCACUGCCGGUUCUCCAAGAUAUUUUGCUUGACUUUUAGCUUUAUAAAUACCUAUUUUACCCUUGUAAUCAACCAAUGAAAAGGUUGCUUUUGUAAUAGCUCUUGUAAUUUAGCUUUUUAUUGUCUUUAAAUAGAGGUGAAGAGCCUCAGACACGAUCAUCUUGUAACCUGUAACUUUAUAAGUUAUAAGAGCACUUUUGUUCAUACGCUUCUUUUCUCUUUUCUUUCUCAUUUUCUUAGUAGCCAAACAUCCUUGGAGGAUGAAAUCCCCAAGGAUGAGAGGCUAAAACCUUUUAGUUUCUUGAAGUAAUGGAUGCCAUGUGAAGCUCCCGUGUCAGGAUGGAGAUUUCCAAGCCAUAAAUGUAAGUAGCUGAGCGUCAUAAAUGUUUUCAUUCAAAGUAAAGCUUUUAAUCCCUCUGACUUGCUUUGAAUGGCCAAUACUUGAUAACCUUUUGGUCUCAAUGGAUUCUUAUUGUUAGAUCCACUGACGUUCAUUAGUUAUCUCCUACGAGCCAUUGUAUUGCAAGUCGAGGAGAUGACCUAUACCAAUAAAAGAGCAUUUAUGAGGUUCAACUACCCUUUUUGUAAGUUUUCAAGGACUAAAACUCAGUUGUUAAACUCAUACCGGUUCGAGAAGUAAGCAUCACCUUAGUUGCUUCCCCAACUCGAGGUGAAAAGUCCCAAAAUCUCCAUUUUUACACAGUGAGUUAAGCAUGGCUAUCCAAAGCUUUAAGAAACUUCUUUUUCCAUCUUUUAACCUAUUUUCAUGUUAGUUUAGUUUACAACACCUUCAUCUUUUUAUGUUUUCAUCUUAACCUAAUUUUUAUUAAGAAAAGUUCACUCCAUCCUCCGAACUUCACCAGUUAAAGUAAAAACCCUUCCCAGUGUUCGAUCCUAGAGCCACUAUGCUAUAGUAGCUUUGCUACUUUAGUGUAAGGACCUUAGGUAUAAAUUUUGUUGAUACCCUUACAUGCCAAGCUACCAAGAGUCGGGUUAUCAUUAACCUAACCAUUGGCCUGUGUAAAUUGAUUUCACAUGCACAAUGUUGUAGUAGAAGUCCAUAUUUUGAAUUUUAUUUUUGUAAAGGUAAGGAAAAUGAAGCAUUGUGUAAUUAUAAAAAUAACUUCAUUGGAAUUCACAAGGUUCACCCAAAAUGGAGCUACAUCUGUAUUCUAUCCUACAGUAGACUAUAUAGAUUGUACAAUAGUAAAUUGCAAAUACAAUUAAUAAGUCUUGUGCUUCCUUACUAAUAAUCCUUUGACAUGAACAUUGCAGCACUAAGGUCCUCUUGGGAAGACACCUUGCACCCAUGAGAGCACUAAGAGGAAGCAAGGCAGAGUCAUGGGUGCAAUGUCAUGACUUGUUGUUGCACCAAGAGAGGCUUGGUGAUGCCAUGGUGUUGCAGUAGCAAGAAUGUUGCCUUGGCAGGGACACGAUCUAGGGAUAGAUGCCAAGAAAGGCUUAGCACUCACAUGAGUUGCACAAAGAUGAAUGUAAUAGAGCAUCAGAGAGACGUCUUGGCAAGUAAAUGAAUGGAUCCAAGAGACAACAACAUGAGGAGUUUCAAAUGGAUAAGGAAUGACUCAAAGACAUUUGAAAGCUACAAGUUGGAUUCUAAUUACGAUUGCAAUUUGAGUUUGAGUAGGAGUUUAGAUUUUGAUUGUAAUUGUAGUAUGAGUUGGACUAGGAUUGCUUAUCCUUAGUCAAUAUAGGAGCGGUUCGUGUCACCCUAUGAAAAGAGUUUGAGUAGGGACUAGGAUUGCUUACUCCUAGUCAAAUAUGGAGUAGGUGGUGCCACACCUAUAAAAAAAAGGGACAACAUGAGAGAGAGAGAGAGAGAGAAAGAGAGAGUGAAUUCACUAAAGAUAUUGUGGGAGUUUUGCUUUGUUACGUCUUGUAUUAUUACUUAGAAUAGGAAUAAAAUACAAGUUGGGGCUAGAGCCCCAUAAUUAAUCUCGUGUGCCUUUGUGGUUAUUCUUUAUUUGUCAUCUCGUGUGGAUUGGAUUAGGUUGACUUAGAGGGCUUCUAAGCACCACCUUUGUGGGUUAUUAUUUAUUUUCCAUCUCUUGUGGAUUAGAUUAGGUUGACUUAGAGGGCUUCUGAGCACCACCUUUGUGGGUUAUUAUUUAUUUUCCAUCUAUUGUGGAUUAGAUUAGGUUGACUUAGAGGGCUUUUAAGCACCACAUUUGUGGGUUAUUCUUUAUUUUCCAUAUCGUGUGGGUUGGAUUAGGUUGACAAGGAGAAAAAUUAUGUGGGAAAUUUGUGUUGGGACACUUACCAUAACCAAGUAAAAUCUACCAAGUCCUUUGUAAUAUCUUCAACAAAUAUUUUAGACUAGUUCUUUCAGUUAGUGUAAAGGAGGAAGAAGUGGUAUUGAUUCUAGAAAUAGGGUGUGUGUAUUUGAACUACAAUCCUUAUGAUCCUUAGGUCUCUAAACCUUCGUGAUGGGCUCCCUGACAUUUCAUAGGUUGUGCUACACAUGCGUUUGAAAUUUAGAGUGCGUUUGACAGUGAUUCCGGGAAGUGUUUUUGGCCUUUCUUACACUUGAAAAUUUUUAUUUUUCAAGUAUUAGAAAUGCUACAAACACUUUUGAAAAUUACUGUCAAACACACUCUUAGGAGCGCACAUAUAUAGUAGAAAACUAGAAAUUGUGGUUUUUUUAGGAUUUACUGUAAUGUCAUUAGGAGGGUAGUAAGUUGAAAUUGAGUAUGAACAAAUAUUUCUUUCUUUGGGAUGUUCUUCUAGUAGGUGCUGAUGAAACUGUUCUUUCUACUGCCAAUGUCACAUAUCAGCCAGAAAUUGAAAAUUUCAGUCAAGGUGUCCUCUGUUUUAGUGGUGAGGAAAGCUAGAAAUUUUAAGGUGAAGUUUUGUUAAAAACCUUAAGUAGCUGGGAUAUCAGGCCUGUUUUGCUUGAAAAAAAAAGUUGCAAGAUAACUCAUAUGCCAAACAGGUUCUGAUAUUGUGAAUCUAUCGGCAGACAUCAGUAAUCUCAUCUUCUGAGAUGGAUGUUGGGGGUGCAUGUGGUGGUGGAGGGGCAAGGUUUCAUUUGGUUUAUUUUGUUGAUGGAUAUUGUCUAGCCACCUGCGCCAAGUUUGAGGGGUGGUGGGUUGUGAUGACCCUACAAUUACUAUUAAUUUCUUCAUCUUUUACCGAUUAAAGUGUCCGAACAGUCGAAGUUACCCUUAUGCAUGUCAACUUGAUCACUUACCUCUUCAAUGGAGUUUAUGCUGGUUCAUUUAGGAACUGAUUUUUAUUGUUAUGUAUUAUAUGCUGAUGUUUAGGUCUCUCCAUCAUCACUAUAUACAAAAAUUCUAGGUUGAUACUAUAGGUUGAGAUUUAUUUUUUAAAUAAAAAAUAAUAAAAAUAAAAAUUAUGGUGAUGUUUAGUUGUUUUAUGGAAAAUUUUAACAAGUAAAAGUUAUUUUUGGGCAAGUUUUCAAACAAAAAGAAAAGUAAAAGUUGUUUUGACAAAAACAUAUAGAAAAAAAAAUCAUAGAAAAUAAAUAAUUUCCCCAUAUUCUAACUUUUUUGAAUUUUUCUCAAUGGGCAAAGGAAUAUCAAAUCAAGUUUGAGUAGGAUUUCUUAAUUUUUAAAAUAACUUACAAUUAAAAAAUUUUGGUGUUUUCAUUUUUGGACAAUUUUUUAUUAAGCAAAUGGACUCUGAGUCAUGCAAGAGAUAUGGUUCAUUAACCGGUCGAACAAUUUUUUUAAAUUAAUUUAAAAGUCAAAUACAUAAUCAAUUUCACAAAAUUUAUAAACAAAAAUAGGUUUAGAGAAGAUCUACACAUAAUUUUACUUUUCUAAUUUUAUUUUAUUUUAUUUUUUGUUGGAAAAUAGUCUUCAAAUCAUGUAAGAUUUAAUAGGUUAAAUUUGUUAACAAUAAAUUUUAAAUUAUAAAAUAUAAUCUGGAACUCAAAAAUCAAUUCAAGUAAUGCUAAAAAAAAAUCAAAUUUGGUAUAGAAUGACUUUGUAAAUUUUUUUACAAAACAAAUGAAUUUUAAAUCAAGUGAGAUUUAAUGCAUUAGAUUUUUAUCAAAUAUAGUAAUUUUAAAAAUAAAUUUGGAACUCAACAAUAGACACAAUAAAUACCAAAAAAUAAUGAACCAAAAUUGGUUUGGAAUAACUCCACAACCUUUUUUUUUUUUUUUUGGUGCACACGAAUUUUCUUACUAGGUAUAUUGCUUUCAAAUUGAGAAAGAUUUACCAUUUAGAUUUUUUUUUAAUGAGUUUAAUGGUAUUUUAAAAUAAUUCAAAAUUUAAAAAAUUGACUAAUUAAUAUUAUAAAUUGAUAAACCAAGACUAUUUCAAAAUGCAUUGGGGGCUAAGGGGGUUGAAAAUAGGGACAAUGGGAUGGGUUUGGGACAUGACACUCAUAUCUCAUUUCCAUUCCAAUUACACAGUUAUCUCCCAUCCUUAUCCCAAACUUGUGUUGGAGCAAGUUGAUUUGUUCCCAUCUUUGUUGACGAAAUGACUAAUAACCUCAUCCCCUCCUUAUCUUAGAUGUACAUUUUGUCAAAUUUGAUCAGGUAUGAUUGAUCCAAGCCCUAACCCUAAUUGGUAAUGAGUGAAUACUACACCUAAUUGCAUUCUUCUUUCAUUGCAAAAUAAUGAGAUUAUAAUAAUCUAGCAAAUAAGAAAAAAUAGUAUGGAAGUUCAAAUUAACACCAUAACUAUCAAUAAUUUUAAGCUUAUAGAUGACUUAAAUGAUUAAAAACUAAUGCAAAAUCCUAAAAAAAAUAAAAAUCAUAUAAAGAAUUCACAAGAGAACAGAAUGAACAAAAACCAAAUAUGAACAUGGGUCAACAUUAGUUAUGGAUUUGGAUUCCUUUCAAGGCCAAUCUUUGAACCAAGACUUCAUCAAAUCAACUACUUCAAAGGCUUUUGUGUUCUUCUUGGGUUGUGCUCUCAAACAAAGACUUCGAGGUGAUGUUCUAGAUGAUUGAAUUACACAUAUUUAGGGUGGAGAGAUUGGAGAAGCUUGAAGAUGCCAACGAUGGGUACAAUUGAGUGGUCAAUAAGAACAAUGUAGCCUAUGACUAGUUUGAUGUCAUGGUACAAGAGUUUUAGGCAUUGAGGUUAAAGCAAGAGCAACAUGGAAUUGAUUUCGGAGUCUUUCAGUUAGUGUAAAGGAGGAAGAAGUGGUGUUGAUUCUAGAAAUAGGGUUUUAAGUGGUGCGUGAUUACUACUCAAAAAGUGCUAUUUGAUAGCCUUUAAUUAAUCCUUUUUAACACUUUUGAGUAGUAGUUUAGGCCUUUUAACUCAAUUGGCAUGUUAAGGAUCCUUUAAAGCAAUUUUGAUCACUUUGUGCAAGUUUUGGUGUUUUUGUUAGUAUUUUGAUCACCAAAGCAAGUCAAGAAUGAGGAGAACUAUGAGGAAUCAUGGGCAAAGCUUAGAAUUCAAUUGCCAAGAGUGAAUCCGGAUUGCAAGGAGAAAAAGCAAAGAGAAUCUGUCAUGAAGCCUAUUCUUGAUGACAGUCGUAGCAGCCACUUUUGGAGCACUUUCUGAAGUCCAAAUGAUGCAAGCUAUAUACCAUUUCAAAGAUCAGGAAGUCAACAAUCCAAUGCUUCAAACGGUGCGCGAUUCGGAGUUGAAACGAAGAAGUUGCAGCCAUUACAAGCCAGUCACUCUAAAGUGUUGCGGAAUCAGCCUUUUGUUGCGAGAAUUUCGCAGCACUUUUGUACAGUAAGGUGUUUCUCCUUCUGACGAUGCACGAACCAUGCCGCGAGAGGGAAGCUAGGAACUUCAAGAUGGAAGCCAACUUUGCAGCCUGGUGAAGAUAGCUUGGUCUUGCGAAAUAAUUUCGCAGCCCUCUUGGGUGUCUGCGAAAUUUCGCAGGCACCACUUUUUUCCUGCGAAAUGGCUCCGGAAGCCUCCCGAAGCUUGCUACCGACAUUGGGAGAUAUUUUCCAUUAGAUUUUUGUUGUCUAAAUUCCAAAAUACUCCUUGUAAACCACCAAUUACAUGAUUCCUUAGUUUUUAAGUUAGUAAAAAGACCAAAUAUCUAUGUAAUAAUUAGUUUUAUAUUAGUUUGCUAUAAAUACCUCUCGGGAGCAUGUUCUCAGAGAGGAGUUCCUUCUGUAACCAUUUUGGUAAGCAAGUAAAGUCUUUUCUUUCUACUGCCUUACCUUCUCACUUUGUAUUUUCAUUUUAUUUCUAAGUUAUGAAUUCUCUGAGGAGCUUUCCCCAGAGAAUGAGUAACUAAACCUCCAAUUCCUUGGAGCUAAGGUUGCCGGGGAAGGUUCCAAGUGCAAGAAUGCAAAGCUCUGUGGUUUUAGCUAGUAAUGAAGAGGAAGUGAAAUCCUUUAGUGAUUUCAAUGUUUUUAGUUAACUUAAAACACCUUGGAGUCACCUGGGCCAACACUUGGUAAGGCAAGUGAUUUCCAACCGUGGAAAUGCACUAGUUUACCCCUUGCGAGCCUCUGGUAGGUGACUUCAAGGUAGGAUUUUCUGGAAUUACCAACACUUGGUAAGCUUUUGGACUCCUAGGAGACAUCCAUUAGUUAUCUCUUGCGAGUUUGUGAAGGGGAAUCCAAGGUUAAAGAUCACCUUGAAUGGUAAGUGCUCGUGAGAGGCAUGAACCAUUGCAAGUUGUAUCAGUGAGAGAAUUAAAGUGAAAUCUAAUUGAAGGAGUCUCUGUACAUCACCGGUUAGAGAAUUGACUAUAAGUUGAAUCUCUAAUGCGAGGAAAUGAACCAUCUGACCGGAGCUAUGUCUUUUGCAUGAGGAACCACCCCAGUGAACCUAAAUCUCCAAGGAAUGCUUUUCUUCCUAAAUUAUUCCAAACUUCUGUUAAGUUAGUUAGUUUAAGUCUAAACCUUUACCAAUCAAACUUUGUGUUUUAUUUCUUAAGCUAACCGUGAAAUGAAACAAAACCAAUUCACUUGGAAUUGGUAUCCUUGAUUGCUUGCAAAUCAUUCCCAGUGAACGAUCCUUAGAGCCACUAUACUAUAGUAGCUUUGUAUUUGCUACCCUAGUGUAUGGUGUUAUAGGUAUAAAUUUUGUUGAUCACUUCCUCAAUCAAGGAACACCAGCUGAACACAAAUCAGCUGAGACACCAAUUGGGCAUGAGUCAAAUGGCGCCGUUGCCGGGGAAUGAGUGUCAAGAUCAUUGUGAUACCAUUUUUGAGCACUUGUGAUUUUCAUCACAAGUUGGUAAAGUUUCUUUCACUUUACUAAUUUUCAUUCUCUCUUUGUUUAUUUACAAUCUAAGUUUAUCUUUUUAAAAUUUAGUCUAGUUUAAUUUUGCUAUUGUAGCCUUGUUUCUCUUGUUGUCCUCUGUUCUUGUUGUCCUCUGUUUUCAUUUUAGUUGCAGCUGAAUACUAGUUGUGUAUGCCAAAGUGGAUACGAGACAUUGGAGGUAGGCUUAUUAAGUGUGAUACACCUCAGAGAGGAGAAUUGGAAGUAAUCUUGAAUAUCAUGGAGGCUGCACCUGAAGAUCAGCAUAGUCACCAAGGUCGUCAAGACAAUCUCAAUGAAUUCAGAUCAAUGAGGGACCGUAUGCAUCCACCUCGUAUGAGUGCACCAUCAUGUAUAGUGCCCCCUACAGAGCAACUAGUGAUCAGACCAUAUCUUGUUCCACUUCUACCAACUUUCCAUGGGAUGGAAAGUGAGAAUCCGUAUGCACACAUCAAGGAAUUUGAAGAUGUUUGUAAUACAUUCCAAGAGGGAGGAGCUUCAAUUGAUUUGAUGAGGCUUAAGUUAUUUCCUUUUAAUUUAAAGGAUAAGGCCAAAAUUUGGCUUAAUUCUUUAAGGCCAAGGAGUAUCCGCUCUUGGACUGAUUUACAAGCUGAAUUCCUCAAGAAAUUUUUUCCUACUCAUAGAACAAAUGGCUUGAAAAGGCAAAUUUCAAACUUCUCAGCUAAAGAGAAUGAGAAAUUCUAUGAGUGUUGGGAAAGAUACAUGGAAGCUAUAAAUGCUUGUCCUCACCAUGGCUUUGAUACUUGGCUACUGGUGAGUUAUUUUUAUGAUGGUAUGUCCUCCUCAAUGAAGCAACUCCUCGAGAAAAUGUGUGGAGAAGAUUUCAUGAGCAAAAAUCCAGAGGAAGCUAUGGAUUUCUUGAGCUAUGUAGCUGAUGUUUCAAGGGGAUGGGAUGAACCAACUAAAGGAGAAGUGGGAAAGAUGAAGUCUCAGUUGAAUGCUUACAAUGCAAAGGCUGGGAUGUAUACUUUAAAAGAGGAUGAUGACAUGAAAGCAAAGUUGGCAGCUAUGACAAGAAGAUUGGAGGAGCUGGAGCUGAAAAGAAUGCAUGAAGUGCAAGCUGUUGCUGAAGCACCAGUGCAAGUGAAGUUGUGUCCCAAUUGUCAAUCGUUUGAACAUUUGGUAGAGGAAUGCCCUGCAAUUUCAGCUGAAAGGGAAAUGUAUAGAGAUCAAGCAAAUGUUGUUGGACAAUUCAGGCCCAAUAACAAUGCUCCUUAUGGAAAUACCUACAAUUCAAGUUGGAGGAAUCAUCCAAAUUUUUCAUGGAAGGCCAGAGCAACUCAAUACCAACAGCCGGAUCCACCAUCUCAACAAUCUUCAAGUAUUGAACAAAUAAUAGCUAAUCUCAGCAAGGUAGUGGGAGAUUUUGUGGGAAAGCAAGAAGCCACCAAUGCUCGAGUGGAUCAAAGAAUGGACAGAGUGGAUCAAAGAAUGGACAGAAUGGAGAGUAUGUUGAACAAAAGAAUGGAUGGAAUGCAAAAUGAUAUGAAUCAAAAAUUUGAUAACAUCCAAUAUUCAAUUUCAAGGCUUACAAAUUUGAAUACACUGCAAGAAAAGGGAAGAUUUCCUUCUCAACCUAACCAAAAUCCCAAAGGUGUCCAUGAAGUGGAAAGCCAUGAGGGAGAAUCAUCACAGGUGAAAGAUGUGAAAGCUUUGAUCACUCUAAGGAGUGGUAAGAAAAUUGAGCAGCCAACACCCAAGCCACAUGUUGAGAAAGAAGAAGAGAUGAAGAAAGGGAAGGAAAUGGAAGAUAAAGGCAGUGAGAUCAGUGAAGAAAAGAAGGACUCUGAUGCAACAAUGAAAGUAAUUCCAGAGAAGGAGCUUCUGAAGGAAGAAAUGCUGAAGAAAUCAACUUUUCCACCUUUUCCUCAAGCAUUACAGGGGAAAAAGGGGGUUAGAAAUGCAGCUGAAAUCCUAGAAGUAUUGAGGCAAGUGAAAGUUAAUAUUCCACUGCUGGAUAUGAUCAAACAAGUUCCAACGUAUGCAAAAUUCCUAAAGGACUUGUGUACUAUCAAAAGAGGGUUGACUGUAAACAAGAAAGCCUUCUUGACUGAGCAAGUAAGUGCAAUCUUACAGUGUAAGUCUCCUUUGAAGUACAAAGACCCUGGAAGUCCUACCAUUUCAGUCAUGAUUGGAGGAAAGGUAGUGGAGAAAGCCUUGCUAGACUUGGGAGCAAGUGUGAAUUUGCUUCCAUAUUCUGUCUACAAGCAACUGGGACUUGGAGAGUUGAAGCCAACAGCAAUCACUUUGUCUCUGGCAGAUAGAUCAGUGAAAAUUCCAAGAGGGGUAAUUGAGGAUGUAUUGGUUCAAGUAGAUAAUUUCUACUAUCCUGUAGAUUUUGUUGUUCUUGAUACAGAUCCUACUGUAAAGGAAGCUAAUUUAGUUCCUAUCAUCCUUGGAAGGCCAUUUCUUGCAACUUCAAAUGCAAUCAUCAACUGUAGAAAUGGGCUUAUGCAACUCACUUUUGGUAACAUGACACUGGAUCUAAAUAUUUUCUAUAUGUCUAAAAAGCAAAUCACUCCAGAAGAAGAAGAGGGUCCAGAAGAGCUAUGUAUUAUUGAUACUUUGGUGGAGGAGCACUGCAAUCAACAUAUGCAAGAUAAGUUGAAUGAAAGUUUUGUGGAUAUUGAGGAAGGUUUUUCUGAAUCUCCUAAUGGGCUUGCUACUCUACAAAGUUGGAGAAAGAUAGAAGGAAUUCUACCUUUGUUCAAUGAAGAAGAGGAGGCAGCUGUUGAAAAAGAAAUUCCAAAACUCAAUCUGAAGCCUUUACCUAUGGAGCUGAAAUAUACAUAUCUUGAAGAAAAUAAUCAAUGUCCUGUCGUAAUAUCUUCAUCUCAAACCAAGUCUCAAGUGAAGGAUGCAAGCUUCAAAUGGGAUCCGGGCAAACUGAAUCAGGAAGGGCAAAAAGUUUUGAUGUAUGACACAAGACUCCAUAUCUUUCCUGGGAAGCUCAAGUCAAGGUGGAUUGGUCCAUUUGUUAUUCACCGAGUAUAUUCCAAUGGAGUGGUGGACUUAUUGAAUUCCAAUGGCAAGGACAGCUUUAGAGUCAAUGGAUAUCGUCUUAAGCCGUUCAUGGAGUCAUUCAAAUCAGAAAAGGAGGCAAUCAACCUCCUUGAACCUCAAAAAGCCUAAGUGAAAUGGGUUUGCUGGACGUGGUUUUACCACAGUCCAAAAAUUUUUGUAAAUUUUGUAAAUUUUCAAGUUGUUUCCAUGCUUUUAAUCUUAGUUUUUGAUUUUAAAUCAUGUUUUUAGGUGUGUUUUAAUCGUUUUAUAUGAUCCCAGGCGGAAGAAAUUUCAAGGGGAUUGAAAAGAAAAAAAUCGGGUCGAAAUUGGAGCCGAAACAGAGCAAAAACAGGGGAAAAACAGAGCUCUGCGAAAUUUCGCAGGGUGAAGGAAACUUCUGCGAAAUUGGCAUUUUGCUGCCAAACCAUUCCGCAGCACUGUAGAAGCCUCUGCGAGUGUAUUUCGCAAUUGCGAAAGUGGAUUUGGCACACGAGUGCCACUUCGCAGCACAGUGACAUCAAUUUCGCAGCUGCGAAACUCACUGCGAAGUUGCUGCGAAAAUGGCAAGUUGCUGCGAAAUUGGCGUUUUGUUGCGAAACGUAAUCUGACCCCUGGGCUUCCGUUUUUCCUAUUUAUACCUGUCAAAAGUGCUGCGAAAAAGGUUUCAAAAAUUAGAGCACCAUUCUCGCAGCCCUUUCAUCUUCUUCGCCAAGCCACGCCGUCCGUUUCUCCGGUCGUCUUCUCCGUUUAGCAGCGCCGGCCAAAGAUCGAUAGCCCAAAAAUGGCACGAACGCGAGGGGCAAAGUCUUCAUCCCCUUCGAACCGCAAAAGGAGUCUGCGAAAGGAGCCAAGUUCAGGCUCUGUUCCAGAACCUGCUCCAAAGCCUUCGCCGUCGAGACCACAACCUUCUCCAGUGAAGCCGGCGCCACCAAAGCCGCCGGCAAGGCGAUAUUUAACCAGGUCAGGUGGUCAGCCAUUGAAGAAGAAAGCCAGAGUUGAGAGCUCUGAACCAAUCGAUUUGACUGAGCAAUCCCCUGAGAAAUCACCAAAUCCUUCACCGGUACAAAUUCCAGUGCCAUCACCGGUUCCCUCGCCAAUUCCCUCACCAGAAGCAACUCCAAUUCCAUCGCCGGUACCAUCUCCGGCACCCCAAGAAAAAGCUCAGGAGCCUCAAGCGCCAAUUCCAGAGCCCCAAAUUGCAGCUGAAGCACCUCUGGAAGAAGUGAUCCGAAGGCCAAUGCUGCCUCAGCCCCCAAUCGAAGGAAACCUGGAUUGCCGAACUCGGGCAUUCCAUUCUGAGCUUUGCUUCGAUUUAACAGCAUUCAGAGUGAGGCCAGAGCUUGCCCAAUCCUUCCAACUGCUGAGGAGAUAUCAUAUGGAGCAUCUGCUAGCUCCAAGGGAUUUUUUCUAUCCCCGGGUAGUCACGGAUUUCUACCAAACCAUGACAACCAAAGAAGUAAGAAAUCCAACUCUGAUUCAUUUCAUAAUUGAUGGAAGGCAUGGUAUUUUGGGAGCAAGACAUAUUGCUGAAGCCCUGCAAAUUCCUUUUGAGCCAACUCAAUUCGACAAUUUUAAAGCUUGGACAAAUCCUACUGAGUUAGAGAUGGUUAGCACACUAACCAGAGGAGCUGCAAAUCGAUCGCAUUUGUUGAGGGGGGAGCUACCUCCAGUUAUGUUUUUGAUUGAUGCCUUUUUGAGGCAUAAUAUCUAUCCCCUGCAGCAUUGGACCCAAAGAAGGGGAAUUCUCCUAGAAGCCUUGUACAAAAUGUCUGAAGGAUUCUUCUUUGGGCCUCAUCAUCUGAUCAUGGCAGCCCUUCUAUACUUUGAGGAGAAGGUUCACAAGAAGAAGCUUCAAAGAGCAGAUUGCAUUCCACUCCUCUUCCCAAGGCUGCUAUGCCAAGUUUUGGAGCAUCUCGGAUACCCCUCUGAGCCUCAGCAGGAAAGAAAGAGAAUAUGCCGUGAGCCUUUUACCCUUGAUAAAUGGAAUAAUAUGACGGCCUACAAAAUUGAUCAGCCUGGGCAGCCUCAGCCAGCAGCAAGGAGAGUCUCCCCAAGACAUAUACCUGAAGGUAUAACACUUGCUACUCCUGCCAUCCCUCGAGCUCCACCAGCUGCACCUGCUCCAUCACAGCCAUCCACAUCAGCUGAGCCGAGGAUGGCCAUCCCUAUAUCCGAAUAUCGAGAGCUGUGCCGUGCAUUGGAGACUCUUACAGCUUCUCAGAGCAAUCUUGCUCAGGAGUUGGCAGCCAUUAAAGCAUGCCAGGAGCAGAUGUUAGCCUCUCAGACUCAACAAGCUGCCAUCCUAAGGCAGCUUCAAGUCCAUUUCGAUCUGCCACAAGCUGUAGAGCCCUCUAUUCCUACUCCACCAGAGCCACACUCUCAGCCUUCAGAGUCUCAUCCUCCAGAACCCGAAGCACCAGCUGAUCCACCUACUGAGGAGGCAGAUCCUUCUGCCUAGCACCAUCACCCCCCUCAUCAGACAUUAUAUAUAUAUUUGCUGUUUAUGUUUUUAUGCAUGUUUGUUUUGUUUUAGUUGAAAAGAAAUCCCAGUAUUUUGGUACUAUAUAUGGGAUUCCUUGUGUUACUUGUCUUUAGUAUUGUAAUCACAUGAACUCAAAGUAAUACAAGUUGACUAUUUCUUGUUAAAAGUUAGCAUUAAAGUUUCCUUAUUUCCUUUUCUCACAUAUUCUAUUCUUUUUGAAACAUGUGGUUUUCCCCAAUCAAUAUUCGAAUUUGAUAUCAGCAUGGAGGUACCACUUCCUCCCUUUUAUUACAGUCACUCAAAUCACAUUGAGGACAAUGCUCAGUUCGGUUGGGGGGUAUGAGGAAGGAAGUAUUCUAAACCUUUUUGGUAUUGCAAUUAUAUUGGUUAAUUAGUUGUAGAUUUUACUUUUUACUAGUGUUACUCUAUUCUCCAUGAAUUUUGAGGAAAAAUUUUCAAAUUAAACCAAGAGAAAUUGAACUGUUGUUUUUCACUUGACUUAGAGUAUGGAUUAUGCUUACUAAAGUGGUUCAAUUGUUGAAACUUCUACUGAAAUUGAAUUGAGUUCUUCCACUUUAAGCUAUCCACACACUGUGCACAUUAGUUUCCGAUUAUAAGAUGAAAAGCUAUUUCCCUCUUGACUUAGUAUAUUUUUGGGACUUGGUAUAUUUGACCUCAUUUGAUAAAAAUUGAAACACCCUGCAAAAGGCCAAUGAGCCUUUGAAAUAAAGAAAGUUGUUUGCUUGCCUUGAAACCCGAGCAAGGUCUGAGGGGUAUAUGGUGAAAAUCUUUAAAGCCUGGUGCCCUAAGCCUUAAUUGGUUGGGAGUCACCGACCUCAAUGCUCGUUACAAGGGUGAAUAGGUAGAGUUAGCAUAUGGUAGAUGCUUGGGUAUUAGAAAUUCAUUCUUAAAAGUCCGGGGAAAAAUCCGAGGAGUUAGUGGUUGAAAGAUCCUUAAAACUUGGUGCCCUAAACCUUAAUUGGUUGGGAGUCAUCGAUGGACCCCCAUUACAUGGACAAGUCAGAAAGAGUACCCCAUAAAGCUACCUUAAAAAAAAAAAAAAAAAAAAAAAAAAAAAAAAAGAUGAAAGUGUGUUCUUUUCUUAUUGAUUUUGGUCAGUUUGCUAAAGUGUUGAAAAGAGAUAGGUUGGGGGGUGAGAUUAGUAGCAUAUUAUUCUCGGAACCUAAGGAACCAAUACACAUAGAUUUUUGUGGAAGAUUGAAGUUUAGUUCUUAGAAAAUGAAAUGAUUUUAAAACUUCAGUUUGCAUAAUGCACUCCCUUGAUUGACAGUGUUUAGCAUAGGUGUUAUGACUCUUGUUGAGAUUUGGGUUUGUAUUUCUUUAAUGAUUCAUGUGAGAAAUAGAUCAUCAUGCCACUUGAGAAUUAUUUUCCUUUUAGCAUGAUGUUGUAAAUUUUAGAUUAGUUUGCUAUUUAUUUUUUAUUUUCUCUCCUAUAUUGCUAAGGGACUAGCAAUAUGUCGGUUGGGGGGAGUGAUUACUACUCAAAAAGUGCUAUUUGAUAGCCUUUAAUUAAUCCUUUUUAACACUUUUGAGUAGUAGUUUAGGCCUUUUAACUCAAUUGGCAUGUUAAGGAUCCUUUAAAGCAAUUUUGAUCACUUUGUGCAAGUUUUGGUGUUUUUGUUAGUAUUUUGAUCACCAAAGCAAGUCAAGAAUGAGGAGAACUAUGAGGAAUCAUGGGCAAAGCUUAGAAUUCAAUUGCCAAGAGUGAAUCCGGAUUGCAAGGAGAAAAAGCAAAGAGAAUCUGUCAUGAAGCCUAUUCUUGAUGACAGUCGUAGCAGCCACUUUUGGAGCACUUUCUGAAGUCCAAAUGAUGCAAGCUAUAUACCAUUUCAAAGCUCAGGAAGUCAACAAUCCAAUGCUUCAAACGGUGCGCGAUUCGGAGUUGAAACGAAGAAGUUGCAGCCAUUACAAGCCAGUCACUCUAAAGUGUUGCGGAAUCAGCCUUUUGUUGCGAGAAUUUCGCAGCACUUUUGUACAGUAAGGUGUUUCUCCUUCUGACGAUGCACGAACCAUGCCGCGAGAGGGAAGCUAGGAACUUCAAGAUGGAAGCCAACUUUGCAGCCUGGUGAAGAUAGCUUGGUCUUGCGAAAUAAUUUCGCAGCCCUCUUGGGUGUCUGCGAAAUUUCGCAGGCACCACUUUUUUCCUGCGAAAUGGCUCCGGAAGCCUCCCGAAGCUUGCUACCGACAUUGGGAGAUAUUUUCCAUUAGAUUUUUGUUGUCUAAAUUCCAAAAUACUCCUUGUAAACCACCAAUUACAUGAUUCCUUAGUUUUUAAGUUAGUAAAAAGACCAAAUAUCUAUGUAAUAAUUAGUUUUAUAUUAGUUUGCUAUAAAUACCUCUCGGGAGCAUGUUCUCAGAGAGGAGUUCCUUCUGUAACCAUUUUGGUAAGCAAGUAAAGUCUUUUCUUUCUACUGCCUUACCUUCUCACUUUGUAUUUUCAUUUUAUUUCUAAGUUAUGAAUUCUCUGAGGAGCUUUCCCCAGAGAAUGAGUAACUAAACCUCCAAUUCCUUGGAGCUAAGGUUGCCGGGGAAGGUUCCAAGUGCAAGAAUGCAAAGCUCUGUGGUUUUAGCUAGUAAUGAAGAGGAAGUGAAAUCCUUUAGUGAUUUCAAUGUUUUUAGUUAACUUAAAACACCUUGGAGUCACCUGGGCCAACACUUGGUAAGGCAAGUGAUUUCCAACCGUGGAAAUGCACUAGUUUACCCCUUGCGAGCCUCUGGUAGGUGACUUCAAGGUAGGAUUUUCUGGAAUUACCAACACUUGGUAAGCUUUUGGACUCCUAGGAGACAUCCAUUAGUUAUCUCUUGCGAGUUUGUGAAGGGGAAUCCAAGGUUAAAGAUCACCUUGAAUGGUAAGUGCUCGUGAGAGGCAUGAACCAUUGCAAGUUGUAUCAGUGAGAGAAUUAAAGUGAAAUCUAAUUGAAGGAGUCUCUGUACAUCACCGGUUAGAGAAUUGACUAUAAGUUGAAUCUCUAAUGCGAGGAAAUGAACCAUCUGACCGGAGCUAUGUCUUUUGCAUGAGGAACCACCCCAGUGAACCUAAAUCUCCAAGGAAUGCUUUUCUUCCUAAAUUAUUCCAAACUUCUGUUAAGUUAGUUAGUUUAAGUCUAAACCUUUACCAAUCAAACUUUGUGUUUUAUUCCUUAAGCUAACCGUGAAAUGAAACAAAACCAAUUCACUUGGAAUUGGUAUCCUUGAUUGCUUGCAAAUCAUUCCCAGUGAACGAUCCUUAGAGCCACUAUACUAUAGUAGCUUUGUAUUUGCUACCCUAGUGUAUGGUGUUAUAGGUAUAAAUUUUGUUGAUCACUUCCUCAAUCAAGGAACACCAGCUGAACACAAAUCAGCUGAGACACCAAUUGGGCAUGAGUCAGUGCGUUAGAGGAUCAAGAAGAAGAAAAAGAAGGAACUGUUGGAAUUAGUAUGAGUGUGAAGAGAAAAGUAUAUAAAUAAGGGGAAGUAAAAGCAAAGUUCAAAAAGCUAUAUUUUUUUAUUGUUGGUGUAUGGUUGCAUGAUUAUCCCUAUAAAUAAUAGGAGUUUUUUGGUAUUCUACUAGUAGUUGAAGCAUAAUUUCAUAAAUUAAUAUUUAGAGCGGGGUGGGGUGAGUUGUGACAAAAUUCAUACCCGUCCCAAACCUUGGUUCAGAUUUUUAAAAUAUUCUCAAACUUAUCAUAUACCCAACUUUUAUAUUUCAUACUUGUCCUAAUAGAGGCACGUUAGGCCGGGUUACUUGAGUAACCUACAUAAUUGUCAUCCCUAGUUGAAAUACACUUUUUGGCAGUGGCCACCAACUGAGCUAGAAGCUUGAUUGAUUGACCUACAAGAUUAGUUCUCAUCAUUUUAAAAAAAGUUCUGGCUUUGGUUGUGAGUGCAAUUGAAUCUAAACUGGCAUUUGCUUAAUGCAUCUACUUCAAUCCUAAACUUCUUACUUCUUAAGCCUCAAUUGUUGUUAGGAUUUUGGAAAACCCAUUUCCUUAAAUUGUAAAUUUAAGAUAAAAUAAAAUAAAAGUGAGACAUUUCUUGAUUGAAUAUUGUUAAAGGUCCCUUGGCAUUAAGACUUGGUUGAAGCCUUGGAAGAUUAGUGGAACUCUCAACAUGUGUUUGAAUCUUGAGGAGAGUGGAUGUAAGCCAAAAUUUUGUCAAACCAUUAUACAAAUUGAGUUUGAAUCCUCAUUUCUUGAUUUCUUAUUUAUUUGCUUUUUCUUAUUAUUACUUGAAUUGUCAUUUGCAUUCAUUAAUGUUAAAAUUGGUUAUAAUUAACCAACACUAAUUCUCUUUCCCCUUCCCUUUCUUGGGUGUAAACCUAGGUUGGAUUAACUAGAUAAAUCUAUUAAGAUGGUAAAAGAAUAAUUAUUCUUAACAUACAUAAGAUCAUCUUCAAUCAAAUGACUCAUUGGCUAAUAUGUUGAAUUUGCUUAUUACUUGCAACUCAAAAUUGUGUUCUAGUUGUGUCAAGUCCCCAGUGUAUGGACAUUAAAUUUGUAGUACGUGAUGAGUAAUUAGAUGGUCCAACUCCAAGAAAGUGAUUGAAAAGUAGUUCAAGAAAGGUGCAAAAGGGAAUUGUUUUGGUAUUUUCGUUUUUAUUCUUGAAGGUGGCAGAGCUAAAAUUUGAGAAAUCAAGCAAAACAUACUGAAAUUACAUUGAAAGAAAGAAGAUGGGAGUUAAUGUCUUGCAGUACAUGAUAAGGACUUCAUGCAUGUAGUGUGACCCAUGUCUUGGACUGAUGCCAACUCACGGUUACACUUAUACCCUUGGUUCUCUCUUUACUACCUUGGCUAACCUAGAUCAGGCUAUGAGAUAGGCUCCUCACCACACCAUUACUUGCCCAUUAAUUAGAGACAUUUUCAAGCAAUGAGGUAACAUGGUGACACCAAGAGGGUCUAUUCCUCGCCCGGAACAAGUCUAGACUUGGUCUCAAAAAAAUGGAGAAAAAUGAGGUGUCGUUAUGUAGAAAUACAACAACCAUGCCUUCCUCAUUACUUAGAUUCAGAAUGUGAAGGUGAAAUUGAGAAACAGAAACUCUUGAAACCAAAAUGAAAAUUGAUACUUUUACGAAGAAUUACAACAACAUUAGAGGAAGACUACAUUCUUCCUCUUUAUUCCUACAUUUCUACACUACUUCUACUCCACUCCAUAUUUCUACAUACAUCUUUAAUCAGUCUUCCCUCCUUUAUAUAGAGCCAUCUUCACACAAAUUUCGCAAGGUAGAAAAGAGGAAUGAAACUUGGAGCAAGGUUCGACUACUGGUUGUAGCUUGUCAAGGCUGGAAGUGAACUUUUCUUGGCUUUCUGGGCAUGGGUAGUAACUUGUGGGUUCCUGUUUGGCAUAAAAAUGGCUAGAACAUGUGGCACUAUCUUGUUGGAUGAUGUGUCAAGCAUGUGGCAGCCAUCUAGUGGCGAUUAUGUCAAUUUUGGGAUGGAGAGUUGGCAUCCAAUUGCAAAGAAAUAUGACGUCUACCAACAUGCAAUGUAAACCUAUGUAGAUCAUAUGAAGAUAGAGAGGAAAAAUAUAGAAAUGGAUAUAUACCUAGAACUAGCUUUUUAUUAAAUGAAACGGAGAGACAACAAUGAAGGAAAAUAAAAUUUUUUGGCUUAUAUCAAAGAGUUCACAUUGUGUUACCCUAGGUUUUCUUAAAACUUACUUUUAUGAUAACAAAAAAGAAAAAACCAUUAUUGUUUAAUCCUUUGUUUUAAACGCAUGUAAGGUGUAAUUAAGUUAGUUCAAUGCAUUAAUUUAAGAAACUUGACCUAUCAAAAGUACAAAAUUAGAUGAAAUCCAUUUCAAUGGUUAAAAUGAUCAAAAUCAAACUUUUUCUAAGUAUUUUUUAAAAGCAUCAAUAGUGAAAGACAAUUUUAUAUUUAGUCGGAGUUUGGACAAAACUGAAAAACACACAAAAUCCAAGCGACCAUCUCUAGCUUGGAUGGUCGCUUGAUCCCACCUAGAGAUGUGCAUGAGUAAAAGGAUUUGAAAAUGGAAAUUGACUAUGUAGUCGAUCAAUUAACUUUGCAACAUCAUAUGCAAUCCUAAUUGCUAGUCAUCUAAUCAAUUAGGUAGUCAAUCAACAGGCCAAAAAUAUGUUUAUAAUGACUAUUUUGUACAAAAACCACCUGUAUAGUUAAAUAUAAUGCAUUUCAUUUAUAAAUCUUCUAAUUCUUGAAUAACGAUCCUAUCAUCCUUUGAAAGUUUUUAUUACACUUUUUUUACUUUUGUUCUAAAACUUACACAUCACCCUUAAUUGUACCAUGAGAACCUAGCUAUUUUUUAUUUUUUUUUUUGUAAUUCAUCAAAGUUAGCUUUUGUAUUCAUUGUUGUAUUAUUUUUAGUAUAACUUAGAAAGCUAGUGUUUUCAAGUGAGUAAAAUUAACUUGUAAAUAUUGUAAAGAUUCAUCGACAUGUAUCUUAAACUAAGUGUACAAGUUAAAACAUUUGCUAGUAGAUUUUCUCAAAAUUUAGAAUAGAGCUUGAGACUAUUGAAAUAGGUGGGGUUGCACCAAACCACAUCACAUCGUUGUUUGCACCUUUUUUCACUCUCUUUUACUUAGUUGCUCUAUAUUUGUUGUCUAGUAAUAUCCUAUAGGCUUGAUGGGUUAGGGAGCAUCCCUUUGUGAAAAAAUUUUAUUCAAUCCUUAGUUGUAUCACGCAUAUAUAAAAUGCCUCAUUGUUUUAAUGGUAUUCAGUCGUGGCAUCACAGAUAUGGGCAUCUAAAUUUUAAAAGUUUGAAACUUUUAUCUAAAGAAAAUAUGGUGCUUUGCCUUUUUGUAAAGCAUGUUGAUGAAAUCCAUGAGAAUUGUGUACUUGGGAAGCAACACCGAGAUGACUUUUUUUUUUUUUUUAUAAUAUUGUUUGUCCAAAUUCCCUACAAAUUAGGCCACCAGAUGUUCAUAAUUCUCCCUUCUUGAAUUUGAAAACUCGGACAAUUGGACAAUGCGACACCUAAGUCCGGUUUCUAAAUGCUAAAGUGAAAGGGUAGGUAUGGACCAUUGAAAUGUGAUCACAACUUUUCUCUGUAGCCAUGUUGUCUCUUUUUUCUUUUGCAUGAUUUUCUUACCUUAACAGAAUCAUAGACUUGUUUAGUCUCUAAAUGGGAUUAAUUUCAUCCAGCUUUAAGCUACUAUAUUAUAUCUAGGUGGAGGACUUUUAAGAGUGCAACCGACAUAGAGCACAUGGAAGUGGGUAUAUGGGACAUGAAAUUUCUUCUUAUAAAGAUUGCAUGAUUUUUAUAUUAGAGUUGUUGAGGCGCUAUGUAUUUAGCUUGUUUUGCAGUUAAAUUAAUUGGAUAAGUAGACAUUGGCGUUUCUAAAUCUACUGUGAAGUGCUUCAUGUACGUGUGAAGUAUUAGAAAUUUCUUUCUUGGCAACUUGUUUUUCUUUGCGGUCUACUGAUAGGUUUGACUAAAAUUAUAUUCCCUGUCAUGCUAAUUAAUUUUCACGUGCAUGCUCAAAAGAAAAGUAUGACCUUAGUGCACCAAAAUCACUUUGAUUAAUUUGUGAUAGGUUUUUGUGCAUCAUGACAUUAGCCUUAUUCAUUUAGAUAAUGUUUAGUUUUUAGAAAGUAUUAAGAAAAGGAAAAUAAAUAUUAAGAAAAAUAUUCUUAUAUUUGAUUGUAUUAUGAAAAAUAUCAUAAAAAAAUCAAAUAUAAUUUAAAUUAAUUAAUAAUUUAUACAUUUUCAAAUUAUUUAAUCUUUAUAUUGAAGAUAUAAUAUAAAUGAAAUGAGUUUUAAGUAUUAUAUAAAAGUGAUUUAUUGAUCUUACAUAUAUAUAUUUCUUUUUUUUUUCCUUCUAUUUUUUCUCUUUAUUUUAUUUUCCUUAUGUUUUCCUCAACAUUUUCCGGAACCAAACAUAGCCUUAGGAAAUCCACAAUUACCUUCAACUGAGUAGAUUCUGUUGUUUUAGCAAUGUUAGGCUGCUAACUUGUGUUGGUACGAACCUAUUAAGCCUAAAGAUGUAAUUAGUUAGGAUAUUCUUUUCCCUCUAGUCUUGUAGCUCCACGUGUACAGUUGGUUAGGACCUCAUUGUAUAUAAUGCUUGCCCUGUUAUUGUAGAAGACAACAAAGAUAAAUAAUAUUAACAUUUUUCCUCUCAUCUCUCUCUGUUUCCCUCUGUUUUCAUCUCCUCUCUCAUCUUGGUAUCAGAGCCUCCAUGGCUUCUUUCAAAGAAACCUCCGAAUCACCUUCUGCUAGCAUUGUUAAUGUGCAAAACCCAUUAUCUCAAUCAAACAACCUUCCUUCACCAGUAGCCACACCCUCUUUUUCUUUCUCGUCUAUGAAUCAACCUCUCACAGUGAAGCUGGAUAAUGGGAACUACCUCAUAUGGAAGAAUUAGCUUCUAAAUGUCAUCAUUGCUAACGGACUCGAUGAUUUCAUUGACGGAUCUCGACCCUGCCCUCCUCGAUUUCUCGAUCUGCAACAACAAACCCUCAAUCCAGAGUACUCAGCUUGGCAGAGAUACAAUCGACUUCUGAUGAGUUGGCUGUACGCAUCCUUGUCCAAAGAUAUAAUGGCUCAGAUUGUUGGGUAUUCAACAGCUAUGGAGAUUUGGAAUGCCCUUAAUCAGAUUUACUCUGCCUCUUCUAUGGCGCGGUUUACUGAGCUUCGCACCAAGCUUCAAACGCUCAAGAAAGAUGGACUCUCAGUUGGUGAAUAUAUUCAAAGGCUCAAAUCCAUUUGCAAUAGUCUUGCAGCAAUAGGAGAACCAGUUUCUGAGAAAGACCAUCUUAUCUAUUUGUUCAAUGGAUUAGAUUGUGAGUAUUAUUCUUUUGUUACCUCCAUUCAAAAUCGAUCUGACCAACCAACUAUUGACAAAAUCCAUAGCCUAUUGCUUAGCUAUGACUUCCGGCUUGAACAACAAAACUCUGUUUCUCUCCAUUCUGCCCAAGUCCAUAUGGCUCAUCUGAACAAGAAACCUUAUAAAUCAACUCCUCAACCUACAUUCAAUCAUAUUCACAUUCAACCUAGAUACUCUUCUCCACCUUUUAAGCCAACCACUAGUCAAUAUCAACCCAACAUUUUGGGCAAACCACAACCACAACCAUGACAGCCUCAACCUCAAUGGAAACCACAUUUUUCAAUCUAAAAUCAAAAGCCUCAGCGCCAAAUUUGUGGUAAAUUUGGACACACUGCUCUUAUUUGCUUCCAUCACACAAAUUUGAACUAUUCACCCCAACCUUCUCCUAAAUCUUUCAAUACUGUUCUCACCACAAAUUCCCAGCUCCCUAAUCCUCCAAAAUUUUCUUACCCUACAAUGGCUCAUCCUGCUGCUACGCAUAACACGGUUCCCGAUACAAAUUGGUACAUGGACUCAGGUGCUACACAUCACUUUACUCUGGACAUCAACGUGCUUGACACUGUGACACCAUUUAGUGGUUCAGAACAGGUGACAGUUGGGAAUGGUAAGCAACUCUGUAUCUCACAUCUUGGUACUGCAAAACUACCAUCUUCGUAUUCUCCUCCUGUUCUACAUCAGGUAUAUCACACUCCAAAAAUUUCAAAUAAUCUUAUUAGUGUUAAAAAAUUGUGUUCUGAUAAUAAAGUUUUUGUUGAAUUUUAUGCCACUCAUUUUCUUGUCAAGGAUCAGGUUUCGAAGAGAGUUCUCCUUUAGGGUCAACUUGAUAAUGGCUUAUACAAAGUUCAGUCGUCAUGCUCUCCUUCUGCUGUUUCCUUUCCUCCUCAAGUUUUCAUAGCCAACAUCAAGUAUCCAAAUCUGUGGCACAAGAGACUAGGCCACCCAGCUUUAUCUGUUGUUAAUCAAAUCUUGGAUUCUUGUAACAUUGCUCGAACACAGAAAAUUUGUUUUAAUUUUUUAAAUUCUUGUCAAUUAGCAAAGAGCCACAGGCUUCCUUUUUCUCUGUCUCCAUCCAUUGCAGAAAAACCUUUUGAGUUAAUUCAUACAGACCUAUGGGGUCUUUCGCUCGUUCGCUCUAUUUCUGGUGCUCUUUAUUUUUUACUUUUCAUUGAUGAUCAUACUCGUUUUACUUGGUUUUAUUUGCUCAAAACAAAAGAUGAAGCAUAUCCUACUUUUCUCAAGUUUCAAGCUCUCAUUGAAAAUCAAUUUAAUACCAAGAUUAAGGCUGUCCAAUCUGAUUGGGGAGGUGAGUUUCGAUCUCUCUCCAUACCGUUUUCAAAUAUGGGCAUUGUCUAUUGUUUAUCGUGUCCAUACACCUCACAACAGAAUGGGCGAGUUGAGCGAAAAAAUCGCCAUGCGAUUGUCCUUUCUUGCUUGCUCUAUGCCCUUAUCUUAUUGGCCUUAUGCCUUUCAAACUGCCACUUACCUUAUUAAUCGUCUCUCUACCCCUGUGCUGCAUCAUCAAUCCUCUUACUUCGCACUCUAUCACAAACUCCCAACUUAUACUCAUCUUAAGGUCUUUGGUUCCUCUUGUUUUCCGUAUUUGCACCCUUAUAAUACCCAUAAACUCCAAUACAGGUCACUAGAGUGUGCUUUUCUUGGUUACAGUUCACACCACAAAGGUUAUCUAUGUCUUGACAUUCAUUCUAGCAGGGUGUAUAUUUCUCGCCAUGUGAUUUUUAAUGAAGAUUCUUUUCCAUUCAAGAAUUUGAAAUCUUCUCUCUCUCAGUCUAUUUCUUCUUCCUCUUCUUUAUAAGUUCCUCUGUUCAUUCUCUUGCCUCCCCUUUCCCCAUCUCCUCUUAUUUCUUCAUCUAUACCUCAUUCUUUUCCCUCUUCUUCUUCUACCUCUAGUACUUGUUCCCCUCUCGUUGCUCCUACCUCUCUUCCUUCCUCUUCACACUCUGUGUCUCCAUCUAUUCCACCUCCUUCUCCACCUUCUCCGAGUGUGGACCUGCUUGCACCUUGUGUGAAUACAAAUUUACAUACUUCUUCUCGCACUCACAAUAUUCAUCCUAUGGUGACUAGAUCUAAGGUUUGUAUCUAUAAACCUAAGUUGUUGUUGAGUGUCUCCAUAGGUUCUCUCACUAAGCCUACUUCCUUUCUUCAAGCUAUUAAAGAUCCUUCAUGGAAGCAAUCCAUGGAAUUCGAGUUUGCUACCCUUCAACACAACAAGACCUGGCAUUUGGUUCCUUCACCUUCCUCAGGCGAAGUAAUCGGUUGUAAAUGGGUCUAUAAGCUAAAGCUUCAGCCUGAUGGCUAAAUUGAGAGAUACAGCCUGCUUAGUAGCUAAGGGUAUCAUCAAAUUGAAGUAUGGACUACUUCGAAACAUUCAGCCUGAUNNNNNNNNNNNNNNNNNNNNNNNNNNNNNNNNNNNNNNNNNNNNNNNNNNNNNNNNNNNNNNNNNNNNNNNNNNNNNNNNNNNNNNNNNNNNNNNNNNNNAGCUUCAGCCUGAUGGCUAAAUUGAGAGAUACAAGGCCUGCUUAGUAGCUAAGGGUUAUCAUCAAAUUGAAGGUAUUGACUACUUCGAAACAUUCAGCCUGAUUGUCAAGCUUUCUACUAUCUGUAUUGUGCUCAGUCUUACUUUUUCCCAGAAUUGGUGUAUUAGACAGCUGGAUGUUCAUAAUGCCUUCUUACAUGGUGACUUAGCUAAAGACGUUUUCAUGGAACAACUGCCUGGAUUUGUUGAUCCUCUCUAUCCUACUCAUGUCUGCAAGUUGGAUAAGUCUCUCUACUGUCUUAAAUAGUCACCUCGGGCUUGGUAUACUAAGCUGAGUACUUCUCGCUACACUUGGGAUUUGUUACUUCUAAGAAUGACUCUUCCUUAUUUAUUUGUCAUUCGUCUCAUGGGUUACUUCUUGUUCUUGUCUAUGUGGAUGAUAUAAUCGUCAUUGGGAGCCACUCUCCUCAGGUUACUCACCUUAUCCAACAGUUGCAUCAUUAGCUUUCUUUAAAGGAUCUUGGUCCUUUACAUUAUUUUCUGGGCUUGGAGGUUCAUCACACCCCUACUGGUAUUCACCUCAGCCAAGCAAAGUAUAUCACUGAUCUCCUUACCCGGGCGGCUAUGUUGGAUGCCAAGCCAUGUCCCACUCCUAUGUCCUCCAACACAUAUCUCUCUUUUCAUGAUGGAGUGGCUCUUGAAAAUGGUUCAGAUUAUCGAAGUUUUGUUGGUGCCCUUUAGUAUUGUACCAUGACACGCCCAGAUAUAGCUUUUGCAAUAAAUAAAGUGUGUCAAUUCAUGCACCAUCCCUCUAAUGUUCACUGGCAGGCUAUAAAACGUAUUCUCCGGUACUUAAAGGGCACAUCUCAUUUUGGUCUCUUCCUACAGCCUUCCUAUGACUUCAACAUCACUUGCUAUACAAAUGCCGACUGGGCUUCCUGUCCUGAUGACAAGUGUAGCACCAGUGGCUACUGCCUCUUUCUUGCCUCUAAUCUGGUUUCUUGGUCAUCUUCCAAACAAAAAGUGGUCUCCCGCUCCAGCGCCGAAUCAGAGUACCGAGGGGUAGCAAAUGGGGCUGCUGAAAUUGCUUGGACUGAAUCUCUUCUUUGUGAACUUUCCAUUACUCCCCCUCCCCUCAUUCUCUGUGACAAUAUCAGUGCCACGUACUUAGCUGCCAAUCCUAUUUUGCAUGCCCGCACCAAACAUGUGGAAAUCGACUAUCACUUUGUCACGGAACGUGUUCUUCAAUGCUCUCUUUUUGUCCAGUUUACACCUUCUGAUGAUCAACUUGCUGAUUGCAUGACCAAGCCUCUCUCCACCCAACGUUUCAUCACUCUACGCUCCAAGCUCACUGUUCUCACUAGACCAAUGAGCUUGAGGGGGGAUGUUAAGCCUAAAGAUGUAAUUAGUUAGGAUAUUCUUUUCCCUCUAGUCUUGUAGCUCCACGUGUACAGUUGGUUAGGACCUCAUUGUAUAUAAUGCCUGCCCUGUUAUUGUAGAAGACAACAGAGAUAAAUAAUAUUAACAUUUUUCCUCUCAUCUCUCUCUCUGUUUCCCUCUGUUUUCAUCUCCUCUCUCAUCUGAACCAAAUGAUCCAUGUUAACCUUGGCUUGGUUUGAUUUGGCUCUAUCUUAGAGAGCUCAAGGAUCACGUCAACUCUGGUUUCUACUAUUCAGGUCCAUUCCCAUAUGAACUGGUUCAAAUUUGAGAAAAUGGUAACAGACCUUUAGUGAUGUUGGUUUGGAGCCAGUUGCCAAACCCGCCCUGAGCUUUACCACUAAUGUCAAGGGAGAAAGCCAUUUGAACAAAAACAAUAGCUUCAAGGGACUGAAUCGUGGAUGAAAUCUGAUCCACAUUUCUUCUCAUUUUGGAAACAAAUGAGAACUUAACUAAGAAGAUUCUACGGCCUCAUAGUGCUUUUCCUGAUCUAAGGUUGGUUCGUUUCCCAAACUGUGAGAUGCACGUGCCAGACUUCAGAACUCUCACGCUCAGGAGUGUAUCCACGUGGUGGACAUAAGAUGGUGGCUUAAGAUCUGGUGUCGGUGGCUUUACUUUACUAGGAGAGUAGUGUGUCUUCAUCUCAUUCACUGCCGGAGGGUGGCGUAAGCAGUGACGCUAAGGUGGGGCACAGUCAAUAUCAUUUGCAUUUGACCAUUAUAGUUUUCUCCCGGCUUUAAAGUAACCUUAUCGUGAUAAAGGAUUACUAGCACUAGUUCAGAUGAUAGUCAUGUUAAAUUCGGACCAUGUUUGUGUCACAUUAUCAGCAACCAUGUGUUUAUGGUUCAUGCUUUCUGCAACUAAAAUUGAUAUAUAACCAGGUGAACUUCAAUCUAAAUUCUGAAAGUACUCAUGUGAUAGAUGGUGCCCGUCUGCAGAGUCCAUCAAUUGAAAAAUGGAGUGAGUGUAUCUAUAAGAGGGAAGGCUUGGAAAAUGUUCAGUUUUCUGGGAAUUCAACAAGGAUCUAAAAUAGAUUGUUUUCUUUGCUGAUUUCAAUGGUUGAAAUUUGAGAAGAUUGUGUCCACAUAACACAACUAUUACUGGUCCUUCUGUUGCAAUUUAUCCUCUAAAGCUCUAGCAUGUCUUCCAAUUCCCACUUCCCUGUUACUCCAGGAAAGCUAUUUCUGUCAUUGUGAAGAAGAAAAGAGAAUGUACAUAUCGAUGCUUUUAAGUGACUGGAGCAUUUAUAUCAGGUGGUCUGCAGCCAUAUAUGCCACUUUGUGAAGAUUGGAACAGUCAAUCACUAGGCUAUAUAUUAGUGUGGCCCAGCCACUUUAAUCAAGGACAAGUCUUCAUACUUAAAGUCAAAUUCUGCCUUUAGUCUCAUUAUAAAUUUCUGUUUAAAUAUUAAGCAAACAUUUGUUUAAUGCGAUUAAGACAGUACUAACUCAAUACCUGUUCUAUUUUUGGAUGCAAAUGCUUGAUGGUUUCAUCAUUGGAUGGGAUAAAGGUGCAUUCAUGAUUAGGAAUACUAGUAGUUAUAUUUUAAUUCUCUUUUUUCUCAAUGAGACUUGUUGGCACAAUUUUGCUGUUGAGAAACCUACCUCUCCAUGGAAAAUAAGUUGUGAUUGAUAGUACUGGAUAUAUUCAAGAAAUCUAAAUAUAGAUAGCACAAAAUAUUAUCGACAUAAAUAGCAUUAACAGCGUACGUAUGUCUCAGUGCUCAUCAGCUAUAAGCAUGGGGCAAACACUUACUAUGAGCAACUUACGUCAAAAUUCCAGAAUAGGACAUAGAAGUGACAGAUAUAGAACAUUGCAUAUGAGUCACAAGAAAGGAAAUUACGGGUGCAUAGCAGCUCUUAUUUUACAUACUACUACUCAUACUGAUCAAAGUCACUCAGUUGGGAUGGGUGGGAGUAGGAGGUUUGUGGGGUGGCUUGUGCGGAGGAGUUGGCAGCUUCUUUCCAGGACCUGGUUGCUUCUCUGCUGGAGUUGAAGGAGGCUUAAUCUUCCGAGGUGGCUUGUAUGAGUCUUCAGCAUUCUCAGCUGGAGGGUGACCAGGGUUGUGACCAUAAUGUGGUGGCUUCUCUCCCUUAGGUGGUUUGCCAACUGGGGUUGGUGGCUUGUAUGAGUCUUCAGCAUUCUCAGCAGGAGGGUGACCAGGGUUGUGACCAUAAUGUGGUGGCUUCUCUCCCUUAGGUGGUUUGCCAACUGGGGUUGGUGGCUUGUGUUCUGGGAGUGGCUUCUCCCCCUUGGGAGGUUUUUCCAAUGGGGUUGGUUUGUGUUCAGGAGGUGGCUUCUCCACUGGAGGCUUGUGUUCAGGAGGUGGCUUCUCCACCGGAGGCUUGUGUUCAGGUGGUGGCUUCUCCACCGGAGGCUUAUGCUCUGGUGGUGGCUUCUCGAAUGGGGGAUGCUUAGGAUAAUCAGCAAGUGAGGGGGCGGUGAGAACCACCAGGCCAAGCAACACCACUAGCAAAUAUGUAGGAGACAUCUUUGGGUUUGGGCUCAGAUGGUGCAAAACUAGGAGAAUUGGCUAGCCUUUUAUAGCGGAUCGUACCCAAUAAUGAAAUGACACGUGUCAUUAUGACCCAUGUGUAAUGGGGUCGAUUUGGGUCCUACAGUGUUGAAAACUUCGACAUCCACUUUUGGCCUUUUGCUUUCUCUACAGCCGCCUUGCUUUUUCCCUCUUUCCUUUUGUUUUCCUCCUGCCCCAUUCUAUCAACUAAACACAAUUAUGUAGUUGUUUAAUUCUUAAAUGAGAUAUUAUCCGUCAAUCGUAUUAUAUUUUAUCAAGAGAGAACGGAGUGCAAUGUGGCUGUAAUUUUAUCGUUUAGUUUUAUCUCUUGGACCACUGCAUUUUUGUUAAGAGGUGCAAUAAUACACGUCUUUAUCUGCCAUUCAAUAUUUACAGUAAAGAGAGGGCACAAAACUCUUCACUUCGCACCAUAAUUAUUUUGUUUUCUGGACACCCCGGGGCCCUUUGGUUGGUUUGGGGGUCAGAAAGUGAACAUCAUAGGGGGUUUUUCCCUUAUGUGCAUUUGUAUCUGAUGGCUUUAACUCGCCUUGUUACUACAAAGAAACUGUCACAGAUAGGAACUUAUUCCAGGCUGAGUAUCUCCUCAUAGACCCUAUAAAAGAAGACAAGUCAUAAUGAACAUCUAACCUUUGUUCAAUUUGAUUCAAUGCCCCCAUUGUGUCCAUCUCACAAAUCUGAAUUAUUAUAUCCAUUGAAUACAUAAAUUAAUGAAGAAAAUAUGAAACCCAAGAUACAUCUCUGCACAACCUCAACCCUGGUUGCUAUGUUUCCCUUCUAUUCACAUGAUUUGAUGCUAAUUGCCAAACUUGCAACAAGCCCUGAGUUUGACACCUAGUAUCGAUGGGCGAAUUUAAAGUCUCCUCCAAACAUAUAUUCCACAGCUUGAAGCUCACAGAAGAUGUUACAGGCAGGGAAAAACCUUCAGAGUUCGCUACCAAAGAUAAUUAUUAAGGAGAUAUCACAAAGAGAAUUCCAAGGGGUCUGAAUCAAAGACAAAUUGGUCGUUCGUGGGGGUUCUUACUUUCUUUUGGGUAUAACUCACUGAGGGCACUGUCUUUGUUAUUUGCAUUUCACAUUUAGAGUUCUGUUCUGGAAACAUAUAAAAGGAGCAUCAUUUUGUUCUUGGGUAACCCAUAGUCGUGAGUGGGUCCAUUUGCAUGCUACUUAGUUGAAAAGUUGGACCAUUUGCUCCGACGCCUACCUCCCGGAUUCCAUGCUCGGAUAAAACAAGAAUAAAAAAAAUAUUUAUAAUUUACAAAUGGGGGAAAGAAAAAAAUGUCAACAACAAACCAGGAAAAAAGAGUAGUAAAAUUCAUGUCACAUGCUAGUGAGAGAAGGGGUUGUUACACUCACUCGAAGUUCUUUCCAAAAUAUCGCAUGGUAUUUUAUUUUAUGUGUCAGCGCAGUUGUGAAUGGAACGUGCAAAAGUCCAAAUUGGCGUUUUUCCUUUUCCCGUGUAGGAUGGCGACCUUUAAUAAAUAUUUAAAACAAAAAACGAAAAAAAGGAGGGAAAAGGGAUCAGAAAAGAUAAAACAAUGUGUACAAGAGCUCAAUUAGUUUGCAAAUUACUGUUUGGAUUUUGAUAGUAUUUUAUUUGUCCAUCUAUAUUUGAUGGAAAAGAGAAUUUAAGAUAUUUCUGAAACAAAAGCAUUAGUGUAAAACUAAAUUAAGGUAUAAUUAAGUUAGUUCAAUGCAUUAAUUUAAGAAACUUGAUCUAUCCAAAGUACAAAAUUAGAUGAAAUCCAUUUCAAUGGUUAAAAUGAUCAAAAUCAAACUUUUUCUAAGUAUUUUUUAAAAGCAUCAAUAUUAAAAGACAAUUUUAUAUUUAGUCGGAGUUUGGACAAAACCAAAAAGCACACAAAAUCCAAGCGACCAUCUCUAGCUUGGAUAGUCACUUGAUCCCACCUAGAGAUGUGCAUGAGUAAAAGGAUUUGAAAAUGGAAAUUGACUAAAUAUUUAGUUGAUCAAUUAAAUUUGCAAUGUCAUAUGCAAUCCUAAUAGCUAGUCAUCUAAUCAAUUAGGUAGUCAAUCAAGUGUUUGUAAUGACUAUUUUGUACAAAAAACCACAUGUAUAGUUAAAUAUAAUGCAUUUCAUUUAUAAAUCUUCUAAUUCUUGAAUAACGAUCCUAUCAUCCUUUGAAAAUUUUUAUUACACCUUUUUUACUUUUGUUCUAAAACUUACAUAUCACCCUUAAUUGUACCAUGAGAACCUAGCUAUUUUUUUUUUUUUUGUAAUUCAUCAAAGUUAGCUUUUGUAUUCAUUGUUGUAUUAUUUUUAGUAUAACUUAGAAAGCUAGUGUUUUCAAGUGAGUAAAAUUAACUUGUAAAUAUUGUAAAGAUUCAUUGAUAUGUAUCUUAAACUAAGUGUACAAAUUAAAACAUUUGCUAGUAGAUUUUCUCAAAAUUUAGAAUAGAGCUUGAGGCUAUUGAAAUAGGUGGGGUUACACCAAACCACAUCACAUCGUUGUUUGCACCUUUUUUCACUCUCUUUUACUUAGUUUCUCUAUAUUUGUUGUCUAGUAAUAUCCUAUAGGCUUGAUGGGUUAGGGAGCAUCCCUUUGUGAAAAAAUUUCAUUCAAUUCUUAGUUGUAUUACGCAUAUAUAAAAUGCCUCAUUGUUUUAAUGGUAUUCAGUCGUGGCAUCACAGAUAUGGGCAUCUAAAUUUUAAAAGUUUGAAACUUUUGUAAAGCAUGUUGAUAAAAUCCAUGAGAGUUGUGUACUUGGGAAGCAACAUCGAGGUGACUUUAUUUUUUUUUCCUUUUAUAAUGCCACACCUAAGUCCGGUUUCUAAAUGCUAAAGUGAAAGGGUAGGUAUGGACCAUUGAAAUGUGAUCACAACUUUUGGCCUUUUCCUUUCUCUGCAGCCAUGUUGUCUCUUUUUUCUUUUGCAUGAUUUUCUUACCAAAACAGAAUCAUAGACUUGUUUAGUCUCUAAGCUACUAUAUUAUAUCUCGGUGGACUUUUAAGAGUGCAACCGACAUAGAGCACAUGCAAGUGGGCAUAUGGGACAUGAAAUUUCUUCUUACAAAGAUUGCAUGAUUUUUAUAUUAGAGUUGUUCACGUGCAAUGUAUUUAGCUUGUUUUGCAGUUAAAUUAAUUGGAUAAGUAAACAUUGGCAUUUCUAAAUCGACUGUGAAGUGCUUCAUGUACGUGUAAAGUAUUAGAAAUUUCUUUCUUGGCAACUUGUUUUUUCCUUGCCAUCUACUGGUAGGUUUGACUAAAAUUAUAUUCCCUGUCAUGCUAAUUAAUUUUCAUGUGCAUGCUCAAAAGAAGAGUAUGACCUUAGUGCACCAAAAUCACUUUGAUUAAUUUGUGAUAGGUUUUUUUGCAUCAUUUAGAUAAUGUUUAGUUCUAAGAAAAAUUUAUAUAAAAAUGGUUUAUUUAUCUUACAUAUAUAUAUAUAUAUAUAUAUUUUUUUUUUUUUCAUUUUUUUUUCUUCUAUUUUAUUUAUUUAUUUUAUUUUCCUUAUGUUUUCCUCACAUUUUCCGGAACUAAACAUAGUCUUACGAAAUCAACAAUUGCCUUCAACUGAGUAGAUUCUGUUGUUUUAGCAAUGUUAGGCUGCUAACUUGUGGUGGUACGAACCAAAUGACCCAUGUUAAUCUUGGCUUGGUUUGAUUUGGCUCUAUCUCAGAGAGCUAAAGGAUCACGUCAACUCUGGUUUCUACUAUUCAGGUCCAUUCCCAGAUGAACUGGUUCAAAUUUGAGAAAAUGGUAACAGACCUUUAGUGAUGUUGGUUUGGAGCCAGUUGCCAAACCCGCCCUGAGCUUUACCACUAAUGUCAAGGGAGAAAGCCAUUUGAACAAAAACAAUAGCUUCAAGAGACUGAAUCGUGGAUGAAAUCUGAUCCACAUUUCUUCUCAUUUUGGGAAAAAAUGAGAACUUAACUACAAAGAUUCUACUGCCUCAUUCAUAGUGCUUUUCCUGAUCCAAGGUUGGUUCGUUUCCCAAAUUGUGAGGUGCACGUGCCACUCUCACGCUCAGGAGUGUAUCCACGUGGUGGACAUCAGAUGGUGGCUUAAUAUCUGGUGUCGGUGGCUUUACUUUACUAGGAGAGUAGUGUGUCUUCAUCUCAUUCACUGCCGGAGGGUGGCGUAAGCAGUGACGCUAAGGUGGGGCACAGUCAAUAUCAUUUGCAUUUGACCAUUAUAGUUUUCUCCCGGCUUGAAAGUAACCUUAUCGUGAUAAAGGAUUACUAGCACUAGUUCAGAUGACCGUCAUGUUAAUUCGGACCAUGUUUGUGUCACAUUAUCAGCAACCAUGUGUUUAUGGUUCAUGCUAUCUGCAACUAAACUUGAUAUAUAACCAGGUGAACUUCAAUCAAAAUUCUGGAAGUACUCUUGUGAUAGAUGGUGCCUGUCUGCAGAGUCCAUCAAUUGAAAAAUGGAGUGAGUGUAUCUAUAAGAGGGAAGGCUUGGCAAAUGUUCAGUUUUCUGGGAAUUCAACAAGGAUCUAAAAUAGAUUGUUUUCUUUGCCGACUUCAAUGGUUGAAAUUUGAGAAGAUUGUGUCCACAUAUCACAACUAUUACUGGUCCUUCUGUUGCAAUUUAUCCUGUAAGGCUCUAACAUGUCUUCCAAUUCCCACUUCCCUGUUACUCCAGGAAAGCUAUUUCUGUCAUUGUGAAGAAGAAAAGAGAAUGUACAUAUCGAUGCUUUUAAGUGACUGGAGCAUUCAUAUCAGGUGGUCUGCAGCCAUAUAUGCCACUUUGUGAAGGUUGGAACAGUCAAUCACUAGGCUAUAUAUUGGUGUGGCCCAGCCACUUCAAUCAAGGACAAGUCUUCAUACUUAAAGUCAAAUUCUGCCUUUAGUCUCAUUAUAAAUUGCUGUUUAAAUAUUAAGCAAACUUUUGUUUAAUGCGAUUAAGACAGUACUAACUCAAUACUUGUUCUAUUUUUGGAUGCAAAUGCUUGAUGGUUUCAUCAUUGGAUGGGAUAAAGGUGCAUUCAUGAUUAUGAAUACUUGUAGUUAUAUUUUCAUUCUCUUUUUUCUCAAUGAGACUUGUUGGCACAAUGUUGCUGUUCAGAAACCUACCUCUCCAUGGAAAAUAAGUUGCGAUUGAUAGUACUGGAUAUGUUCAAGAAAGCUAAAUAUAGAUAGCACAAAAUAUUAUCGAUAUAAAUAGCAUUAACAGCGUACGUAUGUCUCAAUGCUCAUCAGCUAUAAGCAUGGGACAAACACUUACUAUGAGCAACUUACGUCAAAAUUCCAGAAUAGGACAUAGAAGUGACAGAUCUAUAUAUAUAGAACACUGCAUAUGAGUCACAAGAAAGGAAAUUACGGGUGCAUAGCAGCUCUUAUUUUACAUACUACUACUCAUACUGAUCAAAGUCACUCAGUUGGGAUGGGUGGGAGUAGGAGGUUUGUGGGGUGGCUUGUGCGGAGGAGUUGGCAGCUUCUUUCCAGGACCUGGUUGCUUCUCUGCUGGAGUUGAAGGAGGCUUAAUCUUCCGAGGUGGCUUGUAUGAGUCUUCAGCAUUCUCAGCUGGAGGGUGACCAGGGUUGUGACCAUAAUGUGGUGGCUUCUCUCCCUUAGGUGGUUUGCCAACUGGGGUUGGUGGCUUGUAUGAGUCUUCAGCAUUCUCAGCAGGAGGGUGACCAGGGUUGUGACCAUAAUGUGGUGGCUUCUCUCCCUUAGGUGGUUUGCCAACUGGGGUUGGUGGCUUGUGUUCUGGGAGUGGCUUCUCCCCCUUGGGAGGUUUUUCCAAUGGGGUUGGUUUGUGUUCAGGAGGUGGCUUCUCCACUGGAGGCUUGUGUUCAGGAGGUGGCUUCUCCACCGGUGGCUUGUGUUCAGGAGGUGGCUUCUCCACCGGAGGCUUAUGCUCUGGUGGUGGCUUCUCCACCGGAGGCUUAUGCUCUGGUGGUGGCUUCUUGAAUGGGGGAUGCUGAGGGUAAUCAGCAAGUGAGGGGGCGGUGAGAACCACCAGGCCAAGCAACACCACUAGCAAAUAUGUAGGAGACAUCUUUGGGUUUGGGCUCAGAUGGUGCAAAACUAGGAGAAUUGGCUAGCCUUUUAUAGCGGAUCGUACUCAAUAAUGAAAUGACACGUGUCAUUAUGACCCAUGUGUAAUGGGGUCGAUUUGGGUCCUACAGUGUUGAAAACUUCGACAUCCAGUUUUGGCCUUUUGCUUUCUCUACAGCCGCCUUGCUUUUUCCCUCUUUCCUUUUGUUUUCCUCCUGCCCCAUUCUAUCAACUAAACACAAUUAUGUAGUUGUUUAAUUCUUAAAUGAGAUAUUAUCGGUCAAUCGUAUUAUAUUUUAUCAAGAGAGAACGGAGUGCAAUGCAGCUGUAAUUUUAUCGUUUACUUUUAUCUCUUGGACCACUGCAUUUUUGUUAAGAGGUGCAAUAAUACACGUCUUUAUCUGCCAUUCAAUGUUUACAGUAAAGAGAGGGCACAAAACUCUUCACUGCUCUGCAUGUGUCCCAAAAAUGCGAUUGGACAAAUUAUGAUUUGCAUGCUAAAAAGAGGCAAAUGAGGUUAAUUCGCACCAUAAUUAUUUGGUUUUCUGGACACCAUAAAAAGAUGUUAUACAGGCAGGGAAAAACCUUCAGAGUUAGCUACCAAAGAUAAUUAUCAAGCAGAUAUCACCAAGAGAAUUCCAUAGAGUCUGAAUCAAAGACAGAUUGCUCGCUCGUGGGGGUUCUUACUUUCUUUUGGGUAUAACUCACUGAGGUCACUGUCUUUUUUAUUUGCAUUUCACAGUUAGAGUUCUGCUCUGGAAGGUUUGUUCUGGAAACAUAUAAAAGGAGCAUCAUUUUGUUCUUGGGUAACCCAUAGUCGUGAGUGGGUCCAUUUGCAUGCUACUUAGUUGAAAAGUUGGACAAUUUGCUCCGACGCCUACCUCCUGGAUUCCAUGCUCGGUAAAACAAGAAUAAAAAAAAAUAUAUAAUUUACAAAUGGGGGAAAGAAAAAAUGUCGGAAAAAAUAGUAAAAUUCAUGUCACAUGCUAGUGAGAGAAGGGGUUGUUACACUCACUCGAAGUUCUUUUCAAAAUAUCGAAUGGUAUUUUACUUUAUGUGUCAGCGCAGUUGUGAAUGGAACGUGCAAAAGUCCAAAUUGGCGUUUUUAUUUUUCCCAUGUAGGAUGGUGACCUUUAAUAAAUAUUUAAAACAAAAGACGAAAAAAAAAAGGAGGGAAAAGGGAUCACAAAAGAUAAAAUAAUGUUUACAAAAGCUCAAUUAGUUUGCAAAUUACUGUUUGGAUUUUGAUAGUAUUUUAUUUGUCGUUCUAUAUUUGAUGUAAAAGAGAAUUUAAGAUAUUUCCGAAGCAAAAGCAUUAGUUUGCUCUGUGAUGUCCCACAUCGAAUAGGGGAGAAAGUUUCUGGCGCUAUAUAUGUAGAGGCUCCUCUUAACCAAGUAGAUGCGUUUUAAAACCAUGAGGGCCCCCUUAGGUCCAAAGCGGACAAUAUCUACAUGAUUGGGUGUAAGUCAUUACAAAUGGUAUCAGAGCCGAUCCCCGACCCCGGUGUGGGGGUUUGUUUGGCCCUGUAAGGGGUGUUUGUCUGUUUGACCCCACAAUCCCAUGGGACACAACGAGGACGUUGUGUCUGCAUGGGGGGGCGUUUGUGAUGUCCCACAUCGGAUAGGGGAGAAAGUUCCUAGUGCUAUAUAUGUAGAUGUUUCUCUUAACCAAGUAGAUGCAUUUUAAAAUUGUGAGGGCCUCUUUGGGCCCAAAGCGGACAAUAUCUACAUGGUUGAGUGUAAGUCAUUACAUGCUCCAUGUCAAUUUCAGCAUUUCUCAUAUGUUUCACACAUACACAGAAGAGCAUCGUUUUUUAAAGCAUGCAUUUAUGUUGGAUUAAUUUGGAUUUUGUGGGAACUGGGGCAAGGAUCACAUGGAAGAGAGGUUGACUUUUUUCAGUACUUCAAUGGUUGAAAUAUGUGAAGGCUUGAUUGAUACUAAAGCUUGAAAUUGCGACUCUGUCAUUUGUAAAAAAAUAUGACAGCUUCCAUGCUCUCGUUUGGUUGCAUUGUCCGGUCGAGAGGUGCAAAAAGCAUUCUCUCUCUUCUAAUAGUCUUUUCGUUUAAAUCAAGGGAUUUGCCUUCCCGGUCGAGGUCCAAUAGAGGGUAACGGUCACCUACUAAACAUUAAAUGCUCCAACAACUAGUGAACUGAUCGACCCCAGCUCGACUAGUUGAGGUUACUUUUUGGUUUUCUUGUCUCCCGAGGUUAGAAACCUAUAAAUAGAGAGCUUCACUUCAUUUAUGAGUAAGAGAACACCUAAAUUUAUUUGUUUACCUACUUGUUUUUGCCAUAAAAGCUCUCAUUUCUUUUCUUGGUGUAUUAAAUCUCCAUUUGCAUAUCCUUUAGUGCACCUUUGUGAUUCAUUCUAGCCUUGAGUUGUAUUUAAGCCUUUGUUGAGCUAGGUUGAGAGUUUCAUACUUGUUUAUUGAGUGUUAAAGCCUUCAAGUGAGUUAAAACUUGAAGAGAUUGUGUAAGAGCCCAUUGGAGUCGGAAUCCAAGUGUAAAGGUGAUUAAAAGCUUGGUUGAAGCUUCAAGUUAGUGGAACUCUCACUCGGUUAUGAGCUUGAGAAGAGUGGACAUAGACAAGGCAGUGUCGAACCACUAUAAAAUCUGAGUUUGAUUUCUCUAACCUUAUCUCUUUAUAUUUGCUUCUCUUGUGCUUAAAUUUUUUGUGUUUAAAAAGAAUUUUUAAAAACUCAAUUCACCCCCUUCUUGGGAGUUUUUCUCUUUUAAGAUCAGCUUUUAUUUUCUCAAUUGGUAUCAGAACUAUGCCUCUUGUUUAAGACUUAAUCGUCUAAGAGGAAAUGGCUAAUCCAUCAAGUUCAUCUCACAUUGAAAGUUUUGCAACCAAUAGACUUCUUUUUUUUUUUUUGCGGGAACUGAUUAUCCCUAUUGGAAAACUAAAAUGACUUGGUUUUUACAAUCAAUUGAUUUAGAUGUAUGAGAUGCCAUUGAAGAUGACCUAACUUUUCCUUCAAAACUAGUUGAUGGAGUCAUGGUUCCAAAACCUAAGCAAGAAUGGGAUGAGCGUGAUUGAAGAAAUUUUCAAUUAAAUGCUAAAGUCGUUUAUACUUUGCAAUGCUCUAUGGACAGAAAUGAAUAUAAUAGAAUAUGUCAAUGCAAAUCGGUUAAAGAAAUUUGGAGAUUGCUUGAAAUAACUCAUAAAGGAACAAAUCAAGUUAAAGAGUCAAAAAUCAAUUUACUUGUUCAUAGAUAUGAAUUGUUUUUUAUGAAAGAUAAUGAAACUAUUGUUAAGAUGAUCACUAGGUUCACCAACAUUGUUAAUGGUCUUAAAGCCUUGGGAAAGACCUACAAGGAAUCCGAAAACGUGAUGAAGAUCUUGAGGUCACUUCCAUCAAAGUGGCAUACCAAGGUCACCGCAAUUUAAGAAGCAAAAGACUUGAUCAAGCUACCUUUGGAGGAGUUCAUAGGGUCAUUGAUGACAUAUGAAAUCAAUUUGGCAAAGAAGUAACAAAAAGGUGAAGACAAAAAGAAGAAGAACAUAACUCUCAAAGCUACAACUAAGGAAGAAGAAGUUGAAGAAGAAAAACAAAUUGAAGAAGAUGAAGAUUUAGCCCUCAUCACAAGAAAGUUCAACAAAUUCAUGAGGGGUGAAAGGUUUAGAAGAAGAAGGUUCACUUCUAGAAGAGACUUUUCUAAAAAGGAAUCUUCAUCUAAUGGUGACAAAAAGAGAUGGGAAGAGAAAAGAGACUUGGUGUGUUUCAAGUGCAAGAAACCGGGACACAUUAAAUAUGAUUGUCCUCUCUACAAAAGUGAAGUCAAGAGGAAAAAGAAUAAGGCAAUGAUGGCCACUUAGAGUGAAAGUGAAGAUGAAUCAUCCGAAGAAGAAAAUGAGAAAGAAGUGGCAAACAUGUGUUUCAUGGCAAUAGAUGAACUUGAUGAGGUAAAAUCUAACCUUAGUGAUUAAGAUAUACAUGAUGCAUUUGAAGAAUUGUAUGAGGAUUUUUAAAAACUUAGUUUGAAAAAUAUUUCUCUUAAAAAGAAAGUUCAACAACUUGACAAAGAACUUAGAGAAGUAAAAGAAAAAUUUUCAAAUGUUAAAGUUUCUAAAACUCAUCUUGAAAAAGAAAAUGAGAUUCUAAGAAAGAAAAAUGAAUAGUUGAACUCCUCUCUUUCAAUCUUUUCUUCUAGACAAAAAUCUUUUGAAAUGAUUCUAACUAGCUAAAAAUGUGUUUUUGACAAACAAGGGUUAAGAUUUAAAUCUUCAAAAAAUCAAAAGUAUUUUAAAAACUAUUUUGUAAAGGAAUCCACAAGUGCAAGUCCUUCCACUACUUGCAACUUUUGUGGAAGAGAAUGGCACAUUAGUAGUACGCCCUUUAAGAAAUGGUUCUCAAAAGAAUUUAAAUGCAAAAACUAAAAAAGAUUUGGAUUGAGAAAUCCAAGGUCACUAACCCUCAAGGACCCAAAAAGAUAUAGGUACCUAAAUCAACUUGAGUUUUAUGUUGUAAGGUUCAAAGAAUGAUAAGUGGUUCUUAGAUAAUGGUUGCUCAAGACACAUGACCGGAGAUGAAUCCAAGUUUGCUUUUCUUAAAAAGAAAAAUGGAGGAUAUGUUACCUUUGGAGACAAUGCAAAAGAAAGGAUGAUUGGUCAAGGCAACAUUGGUAAUGGCACAUCCUCUCUCAUUGAAAGUGUUUUAUUAGUAGAUGGUUUCAAACAUAACCUUUUAAGCAUUAGUCAAUUUUGCGACAAAGGUUUUUAAGUGAUUUUUUAAGCAUCUCAUUGCAUCAUCAAGGAUAUUCAAAAUGAUAAAACCAUUUUCAUGGGCCAUAGAUGUGAUAAUGUUUAUGCUAUAAAUAUUUCAAAAUAUGAUGGCCAUGAUAGAUGUUUUUCAAGCAUGCAUGAUCAAAGUUGGUUGUGCCAUAGGAGAUUGAGACAUGCUAACAUAGACCUCAUUUCCCAACUCAACAAAGAUGAACUUGUUAGAGGCCUUCCCAAAAUAAUUUUUUAAAAAGAUAAAGUUUGUGAAGCUUGUCAAGUGGGAAAGUAAAUCAAAAACUCUUUUAAAAACAAAAACUUCAUUUCCACAUCUAGGCCACUUGAGUUGUUGCAUAUGGAUUUAUUUGGUCCCUCUAGGACACCAAGUCUUAGAGGAAAUUCUUAUGCAUAUGCUAUUGUGGACGACUUCUCUAGAUACACAUGAGUCUUGUUUUUUAGUCAAAAGAAUAAAGUUUUUUAUGAGUUUUCAAAGUUUUGCAAUAAGAUUCAAAAUGAAAAAGGUUUUUCAAUUACUUAUAUAAGAAGUGAUCAUGGGAGAGAAUUCGAAAAUAUUGAUUUUGAAGAGUAUUGCAAUGAGCAUGGAAUUGACCACAAUUUUUUGGCUCUUAGAACUCCUCAACAAAAUGGGGUAGUUGAAAGGAAAAAUAGAACUCUUCAAAAAAUGACAAGAACCAUACUAAAUGAAAACAACUUACCAAAAUAUUUUUAGGCCAAAACGGUUAACACUUCUUGUUAUGUUUUAAAUAGAGUAUUAUUGAGGCUCAUACUUAAGAAAACUCCCUAUGAGCUUUGGAAAAACAAAAAACCCAACAUUAGUUAUUCCAAAGUCUUUGGAUGCAAUAUUUUAUAAUAAACACCAAAGACAAUCUUGGAAAAUUUGAUGCAAAAUUGGAUGUUGGAAUUUUCCUUGGUUACUCAACUUCAAGUAAAGCUUUUCGAGUUUUAACAAAAGAACCAUGGUUGUAGAGGAGUCCAUCCAUGUUAUUUUUUAUGAAUCUCCAAGAAAGAGAGAGGAUUGAUGAUGAUUUAGGUUUGAAGACCUCUAUAGGAAGAUUGCAAAUCGAAGAUAGAAGACAACAAGAAGAAAAUGGAGAGAAUCCAAAGAAAGAAGGAUCACCAUUGGCACUACCCCCUCAUCAACAAGCGCAAGGUGAAUCAAGUCAAGAGCUUCCUAAAGAAUGGAAGUUUGUCAUCAAUCACCCACAAGAUCAAAUUAUAGGCAAUCCAUCUAGUGGGGUAAGAACUAGAUCCUCUCUUAGAAAUAUUUGCAAUAAUCUAGCUUUUAUCUCUCAAAUUGAGCCUAAAAAUAUAAAUGAUGUUUUAGAUGAUGAAAAUUGGAUAAUUGCAAUGCAAGAAGAGUUAAAUCCAUUUGAAAGAAGUGGAGUAUGGGAAUUAGUACCAAGACCUUCAAAUCAAAGUGUUAUUGGAACUAGAUGGAUCUUUAGAAAUAAAAUGGAUGAAAAUAGCAUAAUUGUUAGAAAUAAAGCAAGAUUGGUAGCCCAAGGUUUUAAUCAAGAAGAAAUGAUAGAUUAUGAAGAAACCUUUGCCCCCGUAGCUAGGUUGGAAGCCAUUAGGAUGCUACUUGCCUUUGCAUGUUUUAAAGACUUUGUUUUAUAUCAAAUGGAUGUGAAAAGUGCUUUUUUAAAUGGUUUUAUAAAUGAAGAAGUAUAUGUUGAACAACCACCCGGUUUUCAAAGUUUCAACUUUCCUAACCAUGUUUUUAAACUUAAAAAGACACUUUAUGGUUUGAAACAAGCACCUAGAUCAUGGUAUGAAAAAUUGAGUAAAUUUCUUUUGAAAAAAAUGUUUUAAAAUGGGAAAAAUUGACACAACUCUUUUUAUAAAAACCAAAGAAAAUGAUAUGCUCUUAGUUCAAAUAUAUAUUGAUGAUAUCAUUUUUGGUGCUACUAAUGUCUCUCUUUAUGAAGAAUUUUCUAAGUGCAUGCAUAGUGAGUUUGAAAUGAGCAUGAUAGGAGAACUCAACUUCUUCCUUGGACUUCAAAUCAAGCAACUAAAGGAAUGAACCUUCAUCAAUCAAGCAAAGUAUAUAAGAGAUCUUCUCAAAAGGUUCAACAUGGAAGAAGCCAAAACAAUGAAGACUCUAAUGAGCUCAUCCAUUAAGCUUGAUAAGGAUGAGAAAGGUAAAUCCAUUGACUCUAUUAUGUAUAGAGGCAUGAUAGGUUCUUUGCUCUAUUUGACCACUAGUAGACCUUACAUUAUGUAUAGUGUGUGUUUGUGUACUAGAUUUCAAUCUUGUCUUAAAAAAUCUCACUUAAGUGUCGUGAAAAGAAUCCUCAAAUAUUUGAAAGGGACAAUGGACAUAGGCUUAUGGUAUCCUAAGAGUGAUAACUUUGAAUUAAUUGGUUUUUUGGAUGCUGAUUUUGUCAGUUGUAGGGUUGAAAAAUAAAACACUAGUGGCACUUUUCAUUUCUUAAGACACUUACUUGUCUCAUGGCAUAAUAAGAAGCAAAAUUUGGUAGCUUUGUCAACAGCAGAAGCUAAAUACAUAGCAACUGGUUUAUGUUGUGCACAAAUCCUUUGGAUGAAAUAAACACUUAGUGAUUUUGAUUUAUCUUUUGAGCAUAUUCCUAUUAAAUGUGAUAAUAGUAGUGCCAUAAGUAUAUCAAAAAAUCUCGUGCAACACUCUAGGACUAAGCAUAUAGAGAUUAGACAUAAUUUUCUUAGAUAUCAUACACAAAAGGAUGAUAUAACACUUGAAUUUGUAAGCAUAAAAGACCAACUUGCCGAUAUCUUUACAAAACCUCUAAGAACAUUUUGUUGAUAUUAGAGGACAAUUAGGAGUGAUUUCUUUAUGAUCUAAUGUGAUGAAUUCUUGAUGAAUAUACUUUUUGAUUGCAUGAAUUUCAUGUCAUAUAUGCAUCAUAUAGAAAUAUACUUAGAUAAUGGUCAAAUUUCGACCAAAAAUCAAAAUUCCCAUGGCAUUAGGCAUAAAAAUUUUGGAAUUUCAACUGAAAAUGGUAGGAGGAGGAUCACAAAAUGAGAAAGUAUGCAAAAAUUGAAAAAUCAAAACGUUGACCAAGCGGUCAAUCGGACUAGACCGAUCGACUAGUUUGUCGAGAUUUAGGAUUUUUAAGAGACUCCAACGCUUCAAUUUUUGCACCGUUCUCCUCUAUUUCUUCACGGUUUCUCUGAUUUUGUCUUUUAGAGACUAAUUUGAGUGCGUUUUGGAUCAAUUGAAGCAUUUUGGAUUGGAUUUUAGGAAGAUUGAAAGUUAAGGUUUCGGAUUUGGGUCGCCUUCUCUUCCUCUCGCGUGUCACAAUCAGCUUUAGCAUUGUUCUCUUUCCAUUUUCACACACCUAGGGUUUCAGUUGUGAGCAUCUCUCUCUCUUUACCAACCACUACUCCCUUGCUUCUUCCAUAUGGCUCCUAGGCGAGAGUCCGCUACUUCUAGGGCACAAGGCAAGCACCCAACUGAGUCGUCUCAGUCAAAGGCACGUCGAAAAGUGAGAUUUGACAUUGCCUUGUUCAGUUCCAUGGAGGACUACCAACUAUACAAGCAACACUUUGCUUAGAGACGAGUAGUUCCCAAGAGAAAUAUUAAUUUUCCUCAACUUCAGCAUUUCGAAUUUAAGGGUCUAUUUACUAGGAUGGUUGGUUGUCUAUUGUCACAAUUUCGGAGCCGGUUUUCCUGACCUUAGUGCGAGUUUUUUACUCGAGGGCGACUUAUGGCAUGGGUGGCAUGAUCAUUUCUACUGUUGGAGGAGUUGAGAUCUGUCUGGACCCAGAGAGCAUCUGCCAUAUUUUCGAUAUUGCUCUGGUUGGACUCAAAGUAUACAAGUCCAAAAUGUGGCCCAUUGUGCCAGGAUUUGAGCUUAGAGAGGUCAUUCAGAGGAUUUGUGAACUUCCAGACGCCCAGGAGAUGGGCAAACCAUUGCCACACAGUUUGACGGUCAUCAACAGGGUGCUACACCAUAUAUUGUGCUCUAUCUUUCUACCACGAAGUGGACAUUGAGAUGAGGUCUCUUAUUAUGAGGCAUUCCUUAUUGACUCCAUUCUAACGGAGAGACGAAUUCAUCUACUAUGUCAUCAUUCACUAAGCCUCCUCACAGUGACAUACCACCUCAUCAGGCACCUCUUGCUCCUGACCAUGCUCCAUUGAUGGAUUUAUUUACUCAUAUUAGCUCUCUAGGCACUCGCAUGAAGGAGUUUGUUGUAGUUAGUGAUACAUGGUUCUACUCCAUAGAGGAUCGCAUGGAUCAGUAUCAGACUGGCUUCACGUCACAGUUUGAGUAUCUCCAAUAGAGGAUUGAGCAUAUUGAGGAUCACUUGAGCAUGAGAAGAUGAUGGCUUUUCUAUGCUCUGUGUUUCCACCUCCACCUCGUCAACCUUGAUUUCUUAGAGACCCAUUGUUUUCAUUUUGUAAUGUUGCCAAAAGGGGGAGAUAUUUAGGAUCUAGGACUCUAUAGGAGACUUACAUGCAUAUCAUUUUCAUAUCAUUGUUUGGAUCGUACAUAUUGGAUAGUGAUACUUUUUACUUAUAUAUGAUAUGCCUAUAUGUUUCAUGUCUUACAUUGUUUCUUAUUGCAAAUUAUCUCUAACAUGUCUUGAUUAUCUUUUUUUUAACUUCAUAAAUUUUGAUUGUUAACCCAUGAUUGGUUUGAGGGGAAGAUUCUUCUUCUCCUAGAUAACCAAGGUUUGUCAUCAUAAAAAAAUUGGAGAUUGUUAGCCCAAGGGUUCUCCUAAUCAUGUUUUGAUGAUAACAAACCAUGCUUAAGUUACUAAUUGGUUUGAAUUAUAAAGAAUUUCAAGUGUUAAUUUGAAAAUUCAUCAAAGAACCUAAUGGAUGCAAGAUCAAGAUUUUUGGAAGACCUUUAAUCAUAAGAAACAUAUGUAAGAUGAAUGCAUGGGUGCACUUAAGAUUUGCAUAUCAUUUCAUGCAUAUUUGGAAAACACGGUUUAUGCUUUAAAGUUACAUUUCCAUCAAAAUUUGAGAUCCAUCAAAUGAACCUUAGGAAAAAUGUUUUAAAAUUGGCAUAUAAUUUUACCUAAAGACCUUGCCUAAGUGUUAGAAGCAAAAGGACAAAAAAAAUAUAGGUUUUCUGGUCAAAAAUGGUGAACCAGUCAAGGCAUUGUCUAAAUCAGCUCAAUCGGCCAAGGUACCGGUCGAUCGGUUUCCCUUUCCCUGUCGAGAUCUAGUCAAGAGGUACAAAAAUCACAAUCUCUGUCUCUUUCUCUCUUUGUCUAUCUUCCAGUAGUCUUUCCUUCCCGGUCGAGGGAUUUGCCUUCCCGAUUGAGGUCCGAUUGAGAGUAAUAGUCACUUGCCAAAUAUUAAAUGCUCCAACAGUUAGUGAACUGGUCGACCCCCACCUUGCCCAGUUGAGGUUACUUUUUGGUUUUCUUGGCUCCCGAUGUUAGAAACCUAUAAAUAGAGAGUUCCACUUCAUUUAUGAGCAAGAGAACACUUGCAUUUAUUUGUUUACCUACUUGUUCUUGCCUUAAAAGCUCUCAUUUCUUUUCUUGGUGCAUUAAAUCUCCAUUUUGAUAUCCUUUAGUGCACCUUUGUGAUUCAUCUUAGCCUUGAGUUGUAUUUGAGCCCUUUUUUUAGCUAGGUUGAGAGUUUCAUACUUGUUAAUUGAGUGUUAAAGCCUUCAAGUGAGUUGAAACUUGUAGAGAUUAUGUGAGAGUCGAUUGGAGCCGAAAUCCAAGUGUAAAGGUGAUUAGAAGCUUGGUUGAAGCUUCAAGUUAGUGGAAUCCUCACUCAAUUAGGAGCUUGAGGAGAGUGGACGUAGCCAAGGAAGUGUCGAACCACUAUAAAAUUUGAGUUUGAUUUCUCUAACAUUGUCUCUUUAUAUUUGUUUAUCUUGUGCUUAAAUUUAUUGUGUUUAAAAAGAAUUUUUAAAUACCCAAUUCACCCCCCUCUUGGGUGUUUUUCUCUUUUAAAAUUAGCCUUUAUUUUCUCACAAACUAUUGUAGUAUAGUGGUUUUUAGGUGUCAUCCAUUAGGAUGAAUUGUUCUCGGUAAUUAAGGCGUGAAUGAGAGGAGAAUUAAUGAUUGUGAUUAAGUAAAAUUGAUUUGAAAAUUCAUGGUGAAAAAUCAAUUUAACAAUGGUUUCUAAUUGAGAAAAACAAUGAAAUGUGAAAUAAAAUAAAAUUAAUAGGAAAUGAAAUUCUCGAAGUUAGAAUUUUCUAAAAAACAAAUUCCAUGGUGAAUGGAUGUUGAGAUCUAAUUUUCAUCAAGUUAGAUUGAAAACCGAAAUUUUCAUAUAAACUGAUUUUUUAUUUAGUUUUAGGUCUAGAUUUAAUUUCCCUUAAAAUUAGGUUAUUUAAUCCAAGAAAUCAAUUCAAAUCAUAUAUUCAAUUCAUCUUAAAUUAUCUUCCAAUUAUUCACACAAUGCAACUAUUCAAUCUCAUCAAAUCUAGCUUUUAAGAAUUUAAUGAAUCUACCUAGUUUGCAUUGUAAUAGUCAUCCAUGACAAUUUGAAGAGAAAAAUAAUUCAAUUAAUCAAUCACUUGGAUCAAAUUACCUUUGCAAUUAAAGUUCAUUUCUCUAAUUCACCACAGAUUUUGUCUCUAGAUCCUCCUUUCUCAAAGAAAAAUGAGAUUUAGCCACACAUGAUUGGAGAUUUGGUCUCAUAAGGCAUGUUUAGCUAGUGAUAAAAUGAGAGAAAAUAAAGAAAAAUAGAGAAUUCGAUUAAGAAAGAAAAUCUAAAAAAUUCUACAAUUAGAAAUGUCCAAAAAGCUUUUUCAUGAGAAAAUCAAGUUUCUAUUUAUAGGCCAAGGUCAAGUGGACACUUGACAUCAUCUAAGAGGUCUUCCGGAAGCUUCUUCAUCAAGAAAUCUGGAGUUUAAUAAUAAAAUGGUCAUUUCACAAGAGCUCAAACAAUUUCGCAUGAUUAUGUGAAAUAAAAAAUGCAACAACAGCAAUUUACAUCUUCUUGGAGCAUUUCGCAUGACUGUGUGAAAUUUUCACAUGAUCAUGUGGAAUCGACUUGACAACUCUCAUUUAGCCUACAACAUAAUUCCACCUUUUGGUCCAUUUUUCAUAGUCAUGCGAAAUGGAAAUAUUUGAUUUUUAAGUUUUCUUUUGUCAUUUCUUUCAUUUCCUUCUCUUGAUUCCACUUCAACUACCUCCGAAUCCUGGUCCAAACCAAUUGCAUUACUUCUUUCAUUAUGCAUUUGGAUCAUCAUCAACAUUAUUUGUUCUCUUCAAUUUGAUUCAUCUCUUUUGUCACCAAUUUAUCAAAAUCAUACCUUGAAAUGACUCCAAAACUUCAUAAAACUUGUUAGUAACUCUUGCAAGGGCAACAACAUAUUAAUUAAGUGUUUUAGGCAUAGUUACUACUCAAAAGAUGCGAAACUCAUGAUAAUUAUUAUAUAAAAUAUGCUCUUUUUGAGUAGUAAUCAACUUUCUUGCAUAAGCAGACCUUUUAGGGUGGAGUACUAAAGACCAAUAUGCUUGUCCUUGUUGUAAUAAAGAAACUUGCUCUUAUUGAUUGCACCAUGGGAGAAAAUUUUGCUACAUGAGUUAUCAUCAAUUUCUUCCCACCAAUCAUAGAUUUAGACGUGACAAGAGGCCUCUUAAUGGCAAGGAGGAACUGACACUCACACUUAUACAAUUAUCGGGCAUUGAUGUGUUGCAACAAUUAGAAUAACUUACACCAAUUAUGUUGGGGAAGUCACAAAAGGCAAACAUGAAAACUAAAAGGAAAAAAGAAAAAUGUUACAUAUCACCACAACUGGAAAGAAAAAAGUAUUUACUUUCAUUUGCCAUAUUGGAAAGCACUUAUUUUACAUCAUAAUAAUUUAGACAUAAUGCAUAUUGAGAAAAAUGUGUGACAAUAUAAUUGAGACAUUGUUCAGUAUUGACGAAGAAACAAGGACAACCUAAAUAGUCAUCUCGAUUUACAAGCUCUAACUAUUAGAAAUGAGAUUCACCCAAUAGAAAGCAGGACCAAAUUUAUUUUGCUUGCAACAUGCUACUCACUCACCCCAAAUGAGAUUAAGGAAUUUUGCAAGUUUUUGAAAUCAAUAAAGGUCCCCAAUGGCUAUUCUUUCAAUAUCUCUCGUUAUGUGCAACUCAAUGAAAGGAAGAUAUAUGAGCUCAAAUUGUAUGAUUGUCAUGUCCUAAUGCAACAACUUCUCUCACUUGUAGUUCGUGGAGUUCUACAUAAGAAUGUUUGUGGAGUUAUCAUAGAAUUGCGUAAUUUUUUCAAGCAAUUGUGCUCAAAGGUGUUAGAAACAAAUCACUUACACCAACUUGAGAACAAUAUUAUUGUCAUACUAUGUAAAAUGGAGCAAAUAUUUCUUCCAUCAUUCUUUGAUAUUAUGGUGCAUUUACUUGUGCAUCUAGUAAGGCAAAGGUUGCAAGACUUGUGCAAUAUUGUUGGAUGUACCUAAUUGAACGAUAUUGUUAUAAUUUCAUAUGAAUCAUUUAAUUUUAUUUUAUAUUAUGUUCAGUUCAUUAACAUGUACAUUGGUCUACAUAUGGAUGAUGAUAGGUACCUAAGCACUUUAAAGUCAUAUGUGCGUAAUAGAACUUUUCUAGAAGGUUCUAUUGUAGAAAGGUACCUUGCAAAAGAAUGUACAACAUUUUAUUCUAGGUACUUGAAUGAUGUGGAAAUAAAGUAUAAUCACAAUGAUAGAAACUUUGUUGGUUUCAACACUAGAGGAGAUGAAAGGGGUUAUCUUUAAACAUAUUGGACAUGCAUUGGGAAAGCCCAUAUUUCAUUAACUUAGUUCAAAAGAGUGGUCACAAGCACAUUUAUAUGUGUUGACAAAUUGCGAAGAUGUCAUACCAUUCAUUGAGUAAAAAAUUUAUUUGAAUUUUAAUUAAAGCUCUAGUUUAUAUCCUUAAUCAAUGUUUUUUAAAUUCACAAGGAGCACAAGCAAACCAUCAAGGCUAGACCACAUAUACGUGUUUGAGACGUAGAUUUAAUUCAUAACAAGGAAUUUAUCAAGUGGUUUGAAAGACAUGUAAGUAUAUUCCUUAUUAUAAGGGAUUUAUUUCACAUUAUGUUUAUAUUGAAUCCAAACCUAUUAUUGAAUUGUAGGUUGAACAAUUACAUAAUGAAGGUCAUAUAUCUGAACACCUUCUCACAUUAUCAUGUGUUCCAAAUUCAUUAGUUACAUGCUUCAAAUGAUAUAUUGUCAAUGGAUUUAGAUCCCACAUUAAAGAACGUGAUAAAAAAGUUUUUAAAAAAAGACUCAGAAUAAUGGAAUUGUUGUAGUUGCAAAAACGUCAAGCUUUACAAGUGCAUGUGAUAUGAGUCCAAUUAUUAGUGAUGCUCUCUACUAUGGUGUUCUAACUAAAGUUGUUGAGUUACAUUAUCUUGGUGAAAAUAAGGUUGUUUUAUUCGAGUUUGAUUGGUGGGAUGUUACAAAUAUUGGAAAAUUGAUAAAAGAUGAUGAGUACAAUUACACAUUUGUUAACUUUGCAUGAAUUCUAACCACGAACGAACGAUUUGUACUUGCAUCUCCAGCAAAGUAAGUGUUCUAUGUGAAGAAUGCGAAUGAAUCAGAUUGGCAUACUAUCAUGGAGAUGCAACCUCAAGACCUCUAUAAGAUGAACGGGAUAGGAUCCAAUGGUGAUUUUGAACCAUUUCAACAAAGUGAACUACAUGAUCACUAAUAUAUCUCAGAUUUAGUUGAUGAAGAUAUAAUCAAGUGGAACAAAAGUGAUGUUUUAGGACUAAUCAUCCUAAAAAAUAUUGUAGUUUCUUAAAAAAAAAAUGAAAAUGAAGAAGAUAAUUGAACCUUUGUCAUACUUUAAAAAGCAACUAUGCAUUGUUCAUUUUGUAUGUUUUGGUUUUCUUCAUUUAAUUUCCUGAUUUUUGUGAUUCAAUGUCAUAUUAUUGAUCUUGAAAUAUUUUUCUAAUUUUUCAUUCUACGAUGGUUUCAACAAGGAUGACAUCAAGUCAAAAAAGGAAAUGUGGUCCCACACACAAUAUUGCAUUACAGGGAUUAAGGUCAGGGAAGAAGGUAAAAGUUGCAUUUAAUGAGUACAAUCAAUUGGUUAAACAGAAAAAUGGAAAACACUUAUCGAGCUACAUAGGGACACUUGUAUCUAACCAACACAAUGUACCUCUCCAAGCUAGUGAUUGGAAAAAUGUUCCAAAUGAUGCAAAAGAGAAAGUAUGGCCUUUGUUUUGGUAUGUUGUAUUUCUCACUAUAUGAUGUCAUUUCACUGUUAUUCUAUUUUGUGACUAACGUUUGAAUCAUAUGUAAGAAAAAUUUGAAGUAGAUAAAGACUGAAAAGAUUACAUGUUGGGUAUAGCCUCAAAUAAAUAUAGAAGCUAUAAAAAUAUGAUGAAUGCAAAAUACUAUGACCCUUGGCAUAAGGAUGCAUGAGGAGAGGUUAAUACAUAAAUCACCAUUUGUCUCUGAUGUUGAUUGGAAGUGGCUUGUCUCUGAUGCAUAAACCAAAUCCCCCACUGAAUGUUUGAUAUUUGAUAGCAGGAAAAACACACCCGCAGCUAUACACCUCCAUCAUUCAGAUAAUUAUAGUGGGGGAGAUGAUUCAUGGUUGCCCUUAUACCCUUUAUUUGCACCAUCUAUUGAGAUUCUUUAUCAUGGCCAGGUUUUACUGCAGCAAUAAGAUAUGGUGGCAACAAUUUUAUCUAUAGGUGCGGUUCCAGACCGCCUCCAUAGGUGCGGUUCCUGACUGCCUCCAUAGGUGCCUCUUCUUGUAAUGUUUGUUCUGGGAAUUACACUUGAAAGCCUUAUCGUGAUAAGGGAUUACAAACACUAGUUCAGAGGACAGCCAUGUUAAACUUCCACUAUGUUUGUGUCACAUUAUCAGCAGCCUAGUGUUUAUUGGUCAUGCUAUCUGCAACUAAUAUAACCCGGUGAACUUCAAUCUAAAUUCUGAAAGUACUCAUGUGACAGAUGGUGCCUUUCAGCAGAUAUCAUCAAUUUAAAAGUAGUGUGUGUGCCUAUAGGUGGGAAGGCCUUGGCAAAUGUUCAGUAUUCCGGUAAUUCAAGAAGGAUAUAUCUAAAAUAGAUUUUCUUCUUGCCCAUUUCAAUAGUUAAAAUUUGAGAAGAUUGUGUCCACAUCACACAAAUAUUAUUGGUCCUUCUGUUGCAAUUUACCUCUGAACAUGUCUUCCAAUUCCCACGGUCCUGUUACUCCAGGAAAACUAUUUCGGUCAUAUUGAAAAAAAAAAUAUUAAAGAAGGUACACAUGCUUUUAAGUGGACUGGGGCAUUCAUAUCAGGUGGUCUGUAUCCACAUAUGCCACUUCGUGAAAGGUGGAACAGCCUAAUCACUAGGCUAUUUAGUGUGGCCCAGCCACGUUAAUCAAGCACAAGUCUUCAUACUUAAAGUCAAAUGGUGUCUUUAGUCUCAUUACACAUCGCUAUUUGAAGAUUAACUCAUCACUAGUGUAAUGCGAUUAAGACAGUCCUAACUCAAUAUUUGUUCUAGUUUUGGAUGCAAAUGCUUGCUGGUUUCAUCAUUGGAUGGGAUAAAGGUGCAAUCAGGACUAUGAAUACGUGCAGUAAUACUUCAUUCUCUUUUUUCUCAAUGAGACUUCUUGGCACAAUUUUGCUGCUCAGCAACCUACCUUUCCAUGGAAAAUCAGUUGUGACUGAUAGUAAUGGAUAUAUUCUAGAAAGCUAAACAUAGAUAGCAUUCAAUAUUAUCGAUAUAACAUUAACAGCGUAUGUCUCAAUGCUCAUCAGCUACAAGCAAUGGACAAACACUUUGAGUAACUCACAGCAGUCAAAAUUCCUAAACAGGACAGACGUGACAGAUCUAUAUAUAGAACACUGCAUAUGAGUCACAGGAAAAGAUAAUACGGGUACAUAGAAGCUCUUAUUUUACAUAUUACUCAUACUGAUCAAAGUCGCUCAGUUGGGAUGGAUGGGAGAAGGAGGUUUGAGGGGUGGCUUGUGCGGGGAAGUUGGCAGCUUCUUUCCGGGAGCUGGUUGCUUCUUUGCUGGAGUUGAAGGAGGCUUAAUCUUCCGAGGUGGCUUGUAUGAGUCUUCAGCAUUCUCAGCAGGAGGGUGACCAGGGUUGUGACCAUAAUGUGGUGGCUUCUCUCCCUUAGGUGGUUUGCCAACUGGGGUUGGUGGCUUGUUUUCUGGGAGUGGCUUCUCUCCCUUGGGUGGUUUGCCAACUGGGGUUGGUGGCUUGUGUUCUGGGAGUGGCUUCUCCCCCUUGGGAGGUUUUUCGAAUGGGGUGGGUUUGUGUCCUGGUGGUGGCUUCUCUCCCUUGGGAGGUUUACCAAUUGGGGUCGGUGGCUUGUGUUCUGGGAGGGGCUUCUCUCCCUGGGGAGGUUUAGUGGGUGGCUUGUGUUCUGGAGGUGGCUUCUCCACCGGAGGCUUAUGCUCUGGUGGUGGCUUCUCGAAGGGGGGAUGCUCAGGGUAAUCACCAAGUGAGGGGGUGGUGAGAACCACCAUGCCAAGCAACAACACUAGCAAGUAUGUAGUAGACAUCUUUGGGUUUGGACUCAGACAGUGCAAAACUACGAGAAAUCGCUAGCCCUUUAUAGCGGCUCGGACCUAAUACUGACAUAAUAUAAAAUAAAUAUUAUAUUUUAUCAAGAGAGAACAGAGUGUAAUUUUAUCAUUAAUACCGAUCGAGGCCAAAGAAAGAAGACCCAUAAUCCAUUUCCCACAAGCAUACACAAUGCAGCUGUAAUUUUAUCAUUUACUUUUAUCCCUUGGACCACUGCAUUUUUGUUGAGAGACACAAUAACACAUUUUUAUCUGUCAUUCAACAUUUACAGUAAAGAGAGGGCACAAAACGCAAUUAGAUAAAUUAUGUUUUGCCUGCUAAAAAGAGGCAAAUAACUUUAUUUGCAACAUAAUUAUUUUGGUUUCUAGUGACCCCGGGGCCUUUCGGUUGGUUUGGGAUCGGAAAAUGAACAUCAUAGGGGGGGUUGUGCCCUUAUGGGCAUAUAUAUCUGAUAGCUUCAACUGGCCUUGUUCCUAGAAAGAAAUUGCCAAAGAUAUAAACUUAUUCCAGGCUGAAAGUAGAUGAGAGUCAUAAUGAACAUCAACCUUUGUUCAGUUUGAUUCAAUGCCCCCAUAGUGUUCAUUUCACAGAUCUGAAUGAUUAUAUCCGUUGAAUACAUAAAUUAAUGAAGACAAAUAUGAAACCCAAGAUACAUCUCUGCAUAACAACCCCAACCCUGGUUGCUAUGUUUCCCUUCUUCUAUUCACAUGAGGAUACUGGUUAUAAUUGUCAAACUUGCAACAAGCCCUUUGACACCUAACGUCAAUGGACGAAUUAAAAGUCUCCUUCAAACGUCUAUUUCACAGCAUGAAGCUUAUAAAGGAUGCUGACAACCUUCAGAGUUAGCGACAAAAGAUAAUUAUCAAGGAGAGAUAGUUCCAUGAGAAUUCCAAGGAGUCUGAAUCAAAGACAAAUUGCUCACUCAAGGGUUCUUAUUUUCUUUUAGGUACAAAUCUCUUGAGUGUUGUUAAAGAAACACGUCACUGUCAUUUUGAUUUGCAUUUAACAUUUCACUUUUGUUCUGGAAGGUUUGUUCCGGAAACAUAUCAAAUGAGCAUCAUUUUCUUCUUCGGUGACACAUGGUCGCGAGUACGUGGGUCCAUUUUCAUGCCACUUAGUUGAAAAGUUGGAAAGAAAAAACAUGCCAACAAGAAGAUAGUGAGAGAAGGGGCACUUCAAGCCUUUAACAUGAACAAACAGUAAAUAAAAGAUGUUUCUCCACUCAUAAAAGUGUGUUAGAUAGCAAUAUAACGAAUCACAUCCAAAAUCUUUACUAGGCUCAAACAUAAAGAAGACUCAUUUUUAAGAAAAGAUAAAAAUGGCAUUGUCUGAUAGUAUCCAAUACACGAGAUGGCACUUAAUUUGUACAAGAUCUGUCAAUGCUGACGCACAUUUUCUGAUUAAAAAAAAACUGAUCAGUCAAAAGCAAUGAAGAGAAGUGAUGACAAUGAAUGAUGCUUCCAAUAUUUUCACCCCUUAUAGUGUUCUUCAUGAUUCAGAUAUAUAAUUGGAAAUAGAACAACCCUAUGCCAUACAUUCGUCUAAGUAUGGUGUCUAAUUUUUUGUGUCAGCGGUUGCGAAUGGAGCGUGCAAAAGUCCAAAUUGGCGUCUCUCCAUUUCCACAUAGGAAGGUGACCUUUAUUGACAAAUACCCAAUAUUUGUAGACAUUCCUUAAAUAUCAUAACUUCUUGUUGAUUUGAAAAUCAUUUUUCAACUACCAUGUUUUAAUAAAUAUUUUUUAAAAUGUAUUUUUAUCAAAGUCCACCAUGAUGGAUAAUAUUCACCAUGCAAUAAUUAAUAAAGUACAAACUAAGCGAAAUGAAAAGCAUUUUCUUUGCUUUGAGUUGAUUUUGGUUGCAUUGAGUUGAUUUUGGUUUCAUGGUUUUUUCAACUCUUAUUUUGAUUGGAAGAUGUCAAGAAAAGAAAACAUAAAGAAAAAUUAAAAGGGAAAAAAGAAGAAAAAUAAAAAAAAAUAGAUUUAAAAGUUAAUAAAUUAUUUUUUAUAUUUAUUUUAAUUCAUUUCACUUAUUUUUCUUUUACUAUAUAAAAUUUAAAUAAUUUAAAUUUUAUAAUUAAUUUAAUUACAUUUCAUUUUCUUCUAUAUUUAAAUAUUGGAAAAAUAUUUUACUUAAUAUUUUUUUCUUUAAUUUCUUUGGCAUUUUGGGAACCAAACUUAGCCUUUAAAAUAAAAAACAAAAAAAAAAUGAAAAUAAGGAGGGAAAAGUGAGAAAAGAUAAAAACAAUAUGUAAAGGAUUUGAAAAGUAUUAGUUUGUAAUUACUAUUUGGAUUUCAAUAGUAUUUUAUUUGUCUUUCUAUAUUUCAUGUAAGAGAGAAUUUAAGAUAUUCCCCAAGGCAAAGCAUUAGUUACCUGCAAUCAGUGGUGAUAAGGCUCCAAGCCAAUUUUGGGCCCCAUAUCUUAAGACAGUACAAUUUCCAUUUCAACAUUUCUGAUUUCUCAGAUGUUUCACAUACCACAGAAGAACAUUGUUUGUGAAAAUAUGCAUUUAUGUUGGAUUUUGUAUGCUGUGGGGACUGGGGCAAGGAUCAUAUGGAAGAGUGGUUGACUUUUUCUGUACUUUAACGGUUGAAAUAGGAUAAGCACGGGCAUUUGUGAGGCUUAAUUGAUUUUGAAGCCUGAAAUUGCGUUUCUGUCAUUUUGUCAAAAAAAUGGCAGAUUCCAUACUCAUAUGUUUGGCCUGUGGCCAUGUACAGAUGCCAUUUAGUGACCAGUUUGUAACUGUCAAUCGUUGCGUUUUGACUCUGCCUCAACAACAUCUGCCAUUGACGGGUUUUCAUACUUGCAAAUCAAAUAGUCUUUCGUCCCAUCAGGAAUUUCGGUUUAAAUAUUAUUAAGCAUACGUUUGGCUGACAAUCAUUAUCCAGUUCAUGAUUUGGUUUCUUACCCUUAAUCAAUGGUUUCUAAGUGAAUAUAUGUAGAAGGAAAUCCGAAGUGUAGACAGUAGUAUCGAUAACUCUCAAUAUUCUCUAUAUAAUAGAAUAAACAGCGUCAUAGUGAUCGUCGCCUACAAGCAAGGUACAAAUACCAAAACGAGUGACUCACAUAGACAUCUCCCAACAAGAUGUAGUAGUGACUGACACAUGGACACAAUUAACUCGUAGAAAAGGAUAAGACCAUUGCACAGCAGCUCUUAUUUUACAUACUACUUAUGCUAACCAAAGUCAAUUAGUUGGGAUGGGUGGGAGAUGGAGGUUUGUGCGGUGGCUUGUGGGGCGGAGUUGAUGGCUUCUUUCCAGGAGCUUCUGGCUUUUUCAUCGGAGCUGAAGGAGGCUCAAUCUUAUGAGGCGGCUUGUAUGAGUCUUCUUUACUCUCGACAGGAGGGUGGCCAGGGUUGUGAUCAUAAUGUGGUGGCUUCUCUCCCUUAGGUGGCUUGCCAACUGGGGUUGGUGGCUUGUGUUCAGGAAGUGGUUUCUCUCCCAUGGGAGGUUUAGCAAUUGGGGUUGGUGGCUUGUGUUCUGGGAGUGGCUUCUCUCCCUUGGGAGGUUUAGUAGGUGACUUGUGUUCUGGAGGUGGCUUCUCCACCGGAGGCUUGUGCUCCGGUGGUGGCUUCUUGGUUGGAGGGGGCUUGGGGUAAUCAGCAAGAGAUGGGGUGGUGAGAACCACCAGUCCAAGGAACAACACUAGCAAGUAUGUGGGAGACAUUUUUGAGUUUGGGCUGAUCAGAUGAUGCAAAACUAAAGCAUUACGUGACCUUUUAUAGCAUGUAGCUCCCAAUACCCACUAAGUAUUGUGGGGUCCAUUUGUGCCCUACGGGGUUGAAAACUUAGACAAUUGGGCAAGGACCCACCUGACUAUGGAGGACUAGUGAGGUGUGAUCAUAGCUUUAGGAUUUUUCUUCCUCUGCAGCCGUCGUGCCGUUGGCAUGAUUUUCUUAAUCUUAAAUAAAGGCAUAGUUAUAGAGUUGUUUAAUCUCUAAAUGGGAUUUUAUAUAUAUCUUCAGAUAGCCAUUAAUAUAUUUGAUGAAGAAAGAAAGACAAGUGCAUACAACAUGUAUACGACUAGCUUUCAUGGAGUUCAUUUAUGAUCAGUUUUCCUGUACAUGUAAACCAGGAUCAUAUAUAUGUUUCUGUUCCACAACUAUUUUGGAAUCUUGUUUAUCAGUUUUUAUCAUUAUAAUGUCACAUAGGCUGCCAACUUGGGCGCUAAAAGAACCAGUUGGGCUAGUUCGUUUCAGAAUUUCAAUGUGGAUUCAGGAAUUGUUUUGUAAGAUAUGCGAAAUAGUAGAGGGAUGAAUAGUGUUUCAUUAAUAAAAGUGUCCUGUAAAUUAGAAGGUGUCAUAGAAACUAUAAUCAAUAAAUAACUUUUUUUCCCCACGGGUGGUGUUUCUUGUGGGGAUCAGUGACUGGUUUAGGUUCACCCAAAAUGAGUUCAGACUAAAAUUGGUUUGAGUCAAUGCCGUGUCUCUUUUUUCCAGAAAUCAACUAUUUUAUGCAUUGAAUAAAUCAUACAAAGAAAAUAUGAACGCCCGCAAAACCUAAACCCUGGUUGCUAACUUUCUAUGUUUCAGUUCUAUUCACGCAAGAAUAUUAGUUUAAGUUUGGGAAAAAUGGCAACUUACCUAGUGAUUACUUGGUUUUGGUUUGCGACUAUUUACGCAACCAACCAUGAGUUUGACUUUAACGUCAUGGGUUGAAGCCUCCUACAGGAAGGGAGAAAGCUCCACAGCUAGCUCCAAAAGAGAAUUAUCACAUUGAUAGCUCCAGAGAUUCCCAAGGGGACUGAAUCAAAGACAAGUUCCUCACUUUUUCUUCUUUUGAGGCCAAAUAUGAACCAAGGAUCACACAACCUCAUUCAACUUCAUAAGUUUGAUUUCAUGCAGUUGAACACUGGGUGAAGGCCAUGACAAGAAUUGAUUCAAAAAUUCUAUCACUCUUUUAAGUAAUGGAAGAUUAUUAUCUCUGAUUGGCAUCACAACAGCACAUGCUCCUAGAUCUUUCUAGACACUCCAUGCAAUGAAAGCACAAUGGAUCUUGUAACGAUAGAAACUAAGCCAUGCUACAGUACUAGAUGAUGAGGUAAAACUAGUAGACACGGGUGGCAGCCUAUAUGGGAGGGACACAAGUCUAAUUGAUUUGCAUUUCAGCAUUAUAGAUAGGUAUGUUUUGGAAGAUUUGUUCUGGAAAUACCGCACCAAGUAGGAUUCUUUUUCUCUUUAGUGGGUCCACUUGCAUGCCAAUUAACGAGUUGAAAAGUAUGAGCACCUACCUCGUGCUCGUGGAACCGAAGGUCAGUGAAGUGGGGCUCCUUUUGGCCUCGUGUAAACUUGAUUCAGAAGUGAAGUUAAUAGUCUUCCAUUCAGAUGGAUACAUGGGAAUUUUUCUCUUUUAUUUAUUUAUUUAUUUUUUUUUUGUGUGUGUAUGUCAAAGGAUAAUGAAUGAAGCGCGUUAGCUUGUUUUCUGACUGGAACCGCAGAUGUCCAAAUUGGAGUUCCUUCAUUUCUUACUUAGGAUUGUUACAUGUAUAAACAAGGUAUAAGAAAUAUGCCAACGUGUCUUGAGGAGUUAUUGAUUAGAAAUAACAAGUCACCCGACUGUAGAGUUCCAAGAUUUGAAUCUUCAGACCCUAUAGCAGCCUCUGGGGUACGUGGCAUCCUAUAGCAUAUUAAUGAAGGCUUUUUCGAUUUAGACUUCACAAUACCAAUUAAUAUGUAUGCACAAAAUGGAGAUGACCCCAAAAAAAACAGAAUCGCCAUAGUUUAUGAGGUUAAGGUGAUUCUCCACUUAAUAUCUACAUUAGCUAAUUAUGUAAAUCAAAUGAACUUCUAUUUUUCCUUUUUUUUUUUGGUUUAUGUCAAAUAGUAGCCCAUAAUUAACCCAACCAUUAGCCUGUUUGAAUUGAUUUCACAUGCACAAUGUUGUAGUAGUUCAUAUUUUGAAUUUUAUUUUUACAAAGGUAGUUAAGGAAAAUGAAGUAUAAUAAUUAUAAAAGCAGACUAUAUACACUACAAUAAUUGUUAGAAUGGUAUCUCAAAUUCUAAUUUAAAAUAUUAUUUUUUGUAAAAGAAAUAUUAUAUAGAAUAUUUCCUAAUUUUAUAAAUGAUUAUAAUUAGAUCUUUAUAAAAUAAGGAAAGUUGGUAAGAAUAUCUUUAUAAAUAUUUUAGGUCAUGAGAGAAAGAAAUGGGAUAAAAAUGUGAUGAAGAGGUGAAAUAAGAGAGUUGAUUAGGAUAUAGAUGUGAAGAAGAAAGGGAUUCAAUAUAUAUAUAUCUUUCAAUUACCACAUUAAAACCCUGUGAACCUUUUAUAUGGUUUACUUUAUUUUUAUAUUCCUCCUUUAAUAUAUUUACAUUAAUGCUUCCAUUGGCACAACAAUAACGAAUUACAAAUACAAGCAACAAGUCCCAUGUUUUAUUACCAAAAGCAGGUAAAAUCCACCUAAUAUAUUACAAUAUAUUCAUCCAAUAUUUUAGACCAAUUCUUCACCAUAAAUAUCAUAAUGUGGCUUUUGUUCUUUCUUAAAUUUAAAUUGAAUUGUCUUAUAUCAAUUUGUUUGUGAUUUUUUCAUUAACUUCACUUUCAUUUGGUUAUCUUUGGUUUUUGAAAAGUAUUAAGGAAUUAAUUAACAAAAUAAUGUUAAGAAAAAUAAUUUUCUCUCUUUUGAUUUUGAUUUUGUAGUAGAAAAAUAUAAUUAAAAUUAUUUAAAAAGUAUGUAAUUUUAAAUUAUUUAAUAUUUAGAUAAAAAAAAUAAGUCUAAUGAGUUUAAAAUAACAUAUAAAAAUAAUUUAUUUAUUUUAAAUUUAUUUUUUAUUUUCCAUUAUGUUCUCUUUCUCUUUUACUUUUUCAUAUUUUUUCUUACGAAGAAUCAAACACAACCUCAUAUUAUAUGUCAAGUGUUUGUCUAUAUUUGAGCAAUGUUAGAUACGGCCAUGGAUUCAUCAAACUAAACUGAUUUUAAUAGAUACUUCACAAAUUGAUUUAUACACUAAAUCAUUGGAUAGCAAUGAUGCAUUGGAAUUAAACGUAGGAUGAAGCUCGAAGAACACUGUUUGUGUAACAACAUAUUUAUGAAAUUAUGCAAAGGAUGAGCUUCGGGGUAGUAGUACAAGGUCAUUAAUGGAGAGCCGUGUUAAACCUUGAUUGUGAUUGGAUUCCGUUAUCAGCAACAGCAACCUUGUUUGUAACCUUGAAAGUCAUUCUGUCCACAUCGAAACUCCAAUUUGACGUUUGUAAUUACCAUUCCUGGAGUGUUCCUUGAUUGAAAUUUAAAUAAUAAUUGCGGCCCACAAGGAAUAUUUUCGAUUCUGUGGGAAUUUGACAAGGUUUGUUAGAGAAGACUGGUGACAUGUUGACUUCAAUGGUUCAAAUAGGAGACGUAUGUGGAUUUGGGGGGUUUAAUUGAAACUGAGUCCCUAUGGCUUUUUAAUAUUUGCAUUGAGCAGUCUCCAUGUGACUUCCUAAUUCCCACCAACCCUCCUGUCCAUGCUGUGAAACUAAAUUGUAAUUUAUCAGCCUUUGUCAAUGGUUUCUAAAUUAAAGAUAUAGACCAUGCAUGUACUUUAAUAAAAGCAAAUCUAAAGUGUAGAUAGCAGCAAUGGUGACACCCAAUAUUCUCCAUAAAAUAGAAUUAGAAUAAGCAGUGUUACAUUGUUCAUGAUCACCUACAAGCAUACAAGAACUUCCAUGAAUAACUCAUAGCAAUUGCCAACAGGGCGUCGUAGAGACUCAUACAUAGAACACUAUCCACCCAGAGGAAAGGACAAGACCAGUGCGCUGCAGCUCUUAUUUUUCACAUGUAUACCACCACUCGUAAUAACCAAAUUCACUCAGUUGGGAUAGGUGGGAGAUGGUGGUUUGUGGGGUGGCUUGUGGGGAGGAGUUGGAGGAGGCUUUAUUUUCUGAGGCGGCUUGUAUGAGUGUGCAGGAGGAUGCCCGGGAGUGUGACCAUAAUGUGGUGGCUUCUCUCCCGUAGGUGGUUUGCCAAAUGGGCUUGGUGGCUUCUCUCCCUUAGGAGGUUUACCAAUUGGGGUUGGUGGCUUGUGUUCUGGGAGUGGUUUCUCUCCCUUGGUAGGUUUGCCAAUUGGGGUUGGCGGCUUAUGUUCUGGGAGUGGCUUCUCUCCCUUGGGAGGUUUGCUAAUUGGGGUUGGCGGCUUAUGUUCUGGGGGCGGCUUCUCUCCCUUGGGAGGUUUGCCAAUUGGAGUUGGCGGCUUAUGUUCUGGGAGUGGCUUUUCUCCCUUGGGAGGCUUGCCAAUUGGGGUUGGCGGCUUAUGUUCUGGGGGUGGCUUCUCUCCUUUAGGAGGUUUGCCAAUUGGAGUCGGCGGCUUAUGUUCUGGAAGUGGCUUUUUUCCCUUGGGAGGUUUGCCAAUUGGGGUUGGCGGCUUAUGUUCUGGGGGUGGCUUCUCUCCCUUGGGAGGUUUGCCAAUUGGAGUCGGCGGCUUAUGUUCUGGGAGUGGCUUCUCUCCCUUGGGAGGUUUUGUUGGUGGCUUGUGUUCUGGAGAUGGCUUCUCCCCUGGAGGCUUGUGCUCCGGAGGUGGCUUCUGAAAUGGCGGGGGCUUGGGGUAAUGAGCAAGAGAUGGAGUACUGGUGAGAACCACCAUUCCAAGCAACAAUACUAGCAAGCAUGUGGGAGACAUCUUUGAGUAGUUGUAGCUAAGAUGGCGCAACACUGUAGGCAUUGGGUGGCCUUUUAUAAAGGGCUGGACCCAACAGCCAUAUGACACGUGUCAUGAUGACAAAUGAAGUUGAGGGGAUCCAGAUGGGUCCUACUGAGUCGAAAACUUGCACUAAUUGAUCUGGUGAGAUGACUAUUUCUGUCCUUUUGCCCUUCUCGGCCACCCUGUGCUGUUUUCCUUUUGCACGAUUUUCGUUGCCAAACAAGCAAAUAAUAUUUCGCCAAGAAAGAGGAGAGUGAAUGUGGAAUGCAUCAAGUCCCAUCAAGGAUGGCAGAGAAGAAAUAGAAGAUUGCCCAACUGUGAUAAACAUAGCAUACACGUAGCACCAGGAACUUCAUUUACUUCCAUCUAAUGGAACAUAACAAUCUUCUAAAGUUUUUGCAUGAUUUUGUUAUAUGUCUCUUAGCCUAAAGUUGGAAAUGCGCAACAAAUUUUGUCACUUCUCUAUUUCCCACUGAUGAUGUUAAUUAGCCUUCAUAGAUAUCAUCCUUUCUACAAAGUGCUUCAUUUGUGUGUUAUUGUAAAGUGUAAGAAAAGUAAUUGAACAUGUUCUUUUUCCUUUCAUAGAUGACUUUUGAUGUGCAUUUUAAAAGCAGCGCUGUGAGUCGGUGACCUUGAUUCACACGGAAACUAAGGCUCCUAUAGGACCCACUUUUAGCUGGUUAGGGGUGAAGAAAAUAUCAACUUUUCAGAGUGAUUUAAGUCAAGGCCAAGCCUCACUGUGUCAUUACUCGUGUGAAUUUUAUAUGCACAUACAUACAUAAAUAAAGUAUGAGACCCAAAUAACACCUUCCCUUUACAAACUUAACCCCAGCCGCUCUCUUUCAAUUCUUUUCACACAAGGGUAUUGACUCUAUAAAGGUCAAGAAAAUCAUAAUUUCCUAGGGUUUACAAGGUAAUUGGCUUAAUGCUAAUGUGAAAACAUAAAAGAUAAUAGUAUAUUGUAAGCUAACGAAUAUUCUAUAGUUAUAAUUAUUUGUGAUGUGCAUAAAUAAAUCUUCAUAUAUAUAAUGGAACAAUGAAUAAAGAACCAAUGAAAAAAUACUAUAUAUCAUUGCUUGGCAUUUAAACCGUAUAUGCUGCUCUUUCUAGCUACUCCAUCCACUGAAAGACAACAAGGUAAUCCAUGUUAUAAUGAUAGAAGAUACUGUCUCUAGGCUUUUUGUGAUGAAAAAUAUAAGAUAUGGGUAGGGUUGACCCUUGUAUGUUUGUCCUAUAAACACUUCAAAGUAACAUAUUUUUCUUCUUUAGCAACUCAUAAUGAUGGGGUUCAUUUGCAUGUCACUGAGUUGAAAAGUUGGACAAUUGCCCAUGUCGCCUUCCUCCUAGAUUCCGUAGUUCACGGGAAGGUAACUCAAGUUUGACAUAUUUUGAAUUCUUUUCACUCGGACGUCUUCAUAACCUGACAAAACAAAAAUGAAAAACAGAGGAUUGGUAUAUUAUUCAUGGUAAGCCUCAAAUUAUAGUAGUAUGAGAAAGGAGAAAAAGAUUUUGGGAACUCCAAUCUGGAUAAUUCUCGUUUCUUCUCUUGAAUAAAAAUUUCACUUACCUAACUUCGUUUGGAGAAAUGGCAUAUUUUAAUUUUGUACGUCAUUGCUAAUAAAUGGAGCAAUUUAGCAUGUUUUGUGACUGAAACUGCAAAUGUCCAAUUGGCAUUUCUUCAUUUCCCACUUAGGAUCUGAUCUUGUAGACCAUAUAACGAUAUGUAUCUGUGCAAGCAUUGAAAACUAAUGUGAACUAUGAGGAGUUACAAGCCACUGGACUGUAGAGCGAGUGCCAAGAUUUAAAUCUUCAGGCUCUAUCUGGGUAAGGGGAGGAUAGCGACCUAACCUUUUACCAAAGGCUUAGAAUUUAGACUUUUGGAAAAAAAUUUCUCAUGUUUUGGCUGGAUUUCUUGUGCUUGGCGCAAAAAGGAGAUGGCCUCAAGAAAUAGCAGACUCACUUUUGUUUUCAGCCCUUAAUAAUUCUCCACUGCUUUCCAUAACUACAUGGGUUAUACAUGCAGUCUGCUGCAAUAUUCCAGUUAUAUUUAUUAUUUCAAAGAGGGUGAAUGACUUCACAUGCAAUAUGUUGCAGUAACAACCCAAAUUUUGGCACACCAUCUUAAGAAUAGAAAAGUAUAAUAAAAGAAAUCAAUCAGAGAAUCACUUUGCAUGCAGUUCAUAGAGUUCGCCCAAAAUGGAGCCACAUGUACGGACAACCCCACAAUAGACAAUCUUCUCUAUACAGUAAUAAAAUACAGAAAUGGUUAAUGAAGCUCUGUAUUUCCUUAUCAUAUAUGACCGGUUGAAAACUCAGCAAGUCUUCCUCAAUCACAGACAGUUGGAGUUGCUUCAUCAAAAUCAUGCCUUCAUUACUGGCUUCAUUUUGGUUUCAAUGUCUGUUCUACCCUUAAAUUGGGUCUCUGCUUACUACCGGGAUAUCCUUUAGCGUCCUGCAAUUCUACUAGAUUAAAGAGAAUGACUUAAUUCUGCAUUCUGCCGUCCCUAGUCCAAGUGGUACUAGAAUUGAUGUUUCCUUUAGUGUCCUUUCUUCAUACUUUCAGGUUCUUCCCUUGUUUCAAUAAUGCUGUUUUCCUUCAUGUUUAACCUCUGUUGAACCACUUAAAACAACACAAUUUGCACACCAAUGUUUCUUUACAGAAAAGACUGUUUGCAAAAAUGCACAUGUUAUAAGGUUAAUGGAAGAAUUAAUUUGGGGAUAAGGGACUAGGAUUGGGCCAAUGAAGUUUGGUGUUAAAUUUUGAUUAUGAUUGCUUUUCAUUAUCAGGUACCUUAUAUUUGCUGAUGCUAUCUGGAACUAAAUUCAAAUCAGACAUUAUCCGAUUACUAACAGGACAUAUCAUGUCCCUCUGCAGAGUUUCUAAACUAACAUGUAUCGAAAUGUGGCCCCAAAAGGAAGGCUAGGAAGAUGGAGGAUUUUGUAGGAAUCGACCAGAAUCAGAUGGAAGAGAGAUAGUCCUGUUGACUUUAAUGGUUGUGAUAGGAACAUGCAUCAUUAUAUGAGAAGUUGCAUGAAUUUAUGUAUCCUGUUAUCGUUCCUUGACGAUUUCCCAAUGCAAUUUCACUGUCCACAAGACUAACCUCUCCAUGCAGUCAAAUGAAUUGUAAUUUCUCUAUUGGUACCAGUAGUACAUUUCAUACCAAACAUAUAGUAAAUAUAAAAUAUAAAUAGAUCAAGGAAAUCUGAAUUGUAGAUAGCACUGCAAGUAACACUCAAUAUUCUCUAUAUAUAAUAAAAUAAACAGUGUCACAAUACUCAUCACCCAGUGGCAAGGGAGAAAAACCUACAAUGAGUACUCAAAUCACCAUUCUCAAACAGAAACAUAGCAGUGACUGAUACAUAGAACCUAUAUGCUCACAGGGAAAGAAUAAGAUGACCAGUGCACAGCGGGCAGCAGCUCUUAUUUUACGUACAACUCAAAUCCCAAACUAACCAAAGUCGCUCAGUUGGGAUGGGUGGGAGAUGGUGGUUUGUGGGAUGGCUUCUGGGUAGGAGCUGGUGGCUUCUGUCCCUUUGGUGGUUUGCCUAAUGAGCUUGGUGGCUUGUGCUCCGGGAGUUGUUUCUCUCCCUCGAGUAGGUUUCGAGUCUUGUCAGAUGGCUUGUGUUCUGGUGGUGGCUUCUCUCCCUGGGGUGGUUUGCCGAAUGGGCUUGGUGGCUUGUGUUCGGGGAGUGGCUUCUCUCCCUGGAGAAGGUUACGAGUUUUGUCAUAUGGCUUUUGUUCUGGUGGUGGCUUCUCUCCCUGGGGUGGUUUGCCGAAUGGGCUUGGUGGCUUGUGUUCGGGGAGUGGCUUCUCUCCCUGGAGAAGGUUACGAGUUUUGUCAGAUGGCUUGUGUUCUGGUGGUGGCUUCUCUCCCUGGGGUGGUUUGCCGAAUGGGCUUGGUGGCUUGUGUUCGGGGAGUGGCUUCUCUCCCUGGAGAAGGUUACGAGUUUUGUCAGAUGGCUUUUGUUCUGGUGGCGGCUUCUCUCCCUGGGGUGGUUUGCCAAAUGGGCUUGGUGGCUUGUGUUCGGGAACUGGCUUCUCUCCCUUGGGAGGUUCAGUUGGUGGCUGCUGUUCCGUAGGUGGUUUCUUCACCGGCGGCUUGUGCUCCGGAAGCGGCUUCUCUACCUGGAGAAGCUUACGAGUUUUGUCCGAUGGCUUGUGUUGUGGUGGUGGCUUCUCUCCCUGGGGUGGUUUGCCAAAUGGAGUUGGUGGCUUGUGUUCGGGGAGUGGCUUCUCUCCAUUGGGAGGUUUAGUUGGUGAUUGGUGUUCCGUAGGUGGUUUCUGAAGUGGGGGAUGCUUGGGGUAGUCAGCAAGAGACGAGGUAGUGAGAACCACCAGUCCCAGCAGCAACACUAGCAAGCAUGUGGAAGACAUCUUUGAGUUCAGGCUGAGAUCUGUGCAAGGAUAACAGAAUUAGGUGGCCUUUUAUAGAGGCCUGGACCCAACACCCAUAUGACACGUGUCAUGCACUCAUGGUGACACAUAAUUCUAUGGGACCAUUUGGGUCCUACAGAAGUUGCAAAGUUGGACUACUGAGGUGUGAUCACAACUUUUGUCCUUAUUGCUUUCUCUGCGGCCAUUGCACGAUUUCCUUUAGCAUCAUUUUCUUGGCUAAAUAAGCGUAUUAUAUUUGUGGCAGACCGUCCACGUGUCAUAAACAGAUAUAUUAUAAUAAUGUAGUAUGCUUUUCUCCAAUGGAACAUGACACUCUUCUAAGUCUUGUUUUAAAUAUUGUGCAGGAUUACUUUAUACGUUGCAGUUCCAAGUCAAAAUUGGUGGGCAAACGUUGGCCUUUUUUCAUUUCACCUAAGAUUAAUGCUCACCUGGGAUAGGCACUACAUGACUUAUCUGCUCUUUUACUGUAAAGUUGCUUUGUGUAUGAGAUACACCUCCCCUGCACACCCUCAACAUUCGUUGCUCUGUUUUCCUUGUGUCCAGACGAGGAUAUUAAUUGGAGGCUGACAAAACGACUGCUAGCCCAGGAUUUACAAGGUCCUGGUUUGAGGCUUCGGUGAAAGUAUUUUUGAAAAGACACACAUAGAGAUAGUGCGUUUGGUGCAAUGCAGCACUGUGAGCCAUUCUGACGCGUUCUUAAUUUCAAAACUAAUGAAUGCUUCAAAAUUUUAAGAAGUGACAUUUCCAAAUAUUUGAGUUCGUUUAAUUGAACAUUGGAUAACUAGUGAUCAUAGAUUAUUAUCUGUGCUUGGCACUAUAAGAGGGUAUAUGCUUCUUUUUCUGGCCCCUCCUUCAAGGGAGGAGGGACAAUGUGAUCUGUAACGUUAGAAGCUAUUCCAUGUCAUCUUUGGGCUCAGUUCAAAACUAAAAGAUAAUGGGGGGGGGGGGGGGGGGCAUAUCAUUUUAUAUUUCUUCUAGAAGGUUUGUUCUGGAAAUAUUUCACAGGAGCAUAUCUUUUUCUUCUAUUACGUCAUCCGCAGCCUCCAAUAGGUCGGUUAACAAGCCACCGAGUUGAAAAGUUGGAAAAAUGGGAACACAGCCCGCCUCUUGUAUUCAGUAGUUAAAUAAAAGGUCACUAGAAGUGAGAUCCCUUUUGGCGUCUUGAUUUUCAAUCCAGCACCUCUGUGACCUGACAAACCAAAAAAACUAAAAAAUAAAAAACAGUACGUGGGUUGGUGUUAAGCAUCAAGACAUGUUAAUGAAAGAAGGUAGAGAAUAGGAUAUUGAAAUCCCAAUCCUGAUAACAUGAUUUUCUUUGCUAACAACCAUAUUAUAUUUUAUCAAGAAAGAGUAAUGCAUGUGGCGUCCAUCAAGACCCAUUAGAGUUCCGCUAAAGCUAUAGUUCUGUCAACGUUAUCAUUUACGUUUCCUCUAGAUAAUGGCAUUUUCCUCUAAAGCUCUUGCACCAUUAGGCUUCAAGUCAAAAUUUCACAUGUGAACUUUGGAAAUUUUCUCCAUUUGCCCCUAAGGAUACAGUUAGAAUUGACUUAAAAUCCUGAUUGAUAUGUACUAUUAACCAAAGAAUAUUGUAUAUAAUAAUUGAAAUAUUGUUGAUUCAUCGUGGAAAUACAUUUUGUAAGGAAAGUUGUUGAGAAUUUAGUAUGCUAUAUGGAGAAAAAAGUCAUGACUUAAGGUUGUGUAUGUAUAUUCUAUAUCAAAUAUUAGGUAGGAAUGUGGGAAAGAGCAGAGUGUAAUGAUAAGAAACAAAGAAAUAUAAGAUAUUCUUGAAAGUGGAAAAUAUAAAAUGGCUAACGAGUCAAAUUUAUGAUGCGUAAGGGGGAUCAUGUCACAUAAGAAAACCAUGGCAUACUAAAGACGUACGUGUGGUAUGGAGUAAUAAUUUUGUUAAAAUAAGUUUCUUGUUGGAGUACAUUAGGUGACUAUUCAUAACGUAUCAAAUUAAAGAGUCAAGUGCAUCAAUGAAGGCAUAUGUAGAAAAUUUGUUUGUGACAUGUACCAUAAAGAUAAGAUUGACUUGAUAGAAUUUAGUCUAAGUAGGAGUUGUUAAAGGUGUCUUAAAUUUCUAAUUGAUGUAUAUUUUUUUCUAAAAAAAUAUUAUAUAGAUAUUUUAAUAAAUGAUUAAUUCUUUGUAAAAAUACUUACAUAAUAAAAAACAUCAUUAAAAAUAUCUUUAUAAAUAUUUUAAGUUACAAGAAGGAAAAAAACCACUGUGAGAUAAUGAUGAACAUGCAACACUGUACCAAGUAAAUAAAAAUGUGAUAAAAAAAAAAGAGAAACACUCGAUAAAGGAAGGCUCGUAUAUAAAGAGUAAUAUUUUUAAUCAUAUGAUAGAAUGAUUUUCUCUCAUUCAUGAAUAUAGGCAAGAUUGGGGAACCAUUAUAAAAUUUUGUACACCUCGUGUAAAUUGAUGUUUGUCUUCAUAUUUUACACCAACAAAUGACAUUGAAGUUGUCAUUGAUAAAAGGGAAAAGGCAUGCCUCCACACCAUGUGCUUGAUUCGAAUGGUUCAAGUUUGAAGAAUUUUCUCCGGAAGAUCUAAAACAUUUUCGCCUUUAAAUUUCAUUUGAUUAUUAAUAUCCGAAAAAAUAGUUAAAUACUCUUUCUAUUUUUGAGUUGUUGAAUUUUUUGAAAGUUUUUAUAUUUGUUAUCAAGAAUUUCUAUUUUAUUAAGGGUGAAUAUUUAUAAAUAAGAUAUUAUAUAAUAUUUGGAUAAGAGAGAAUGGUGGAAUAUAAUAAAGUUUUAAUCCUUCCCAAUUUUGAACCUUUUUUUUUUUUUUUGAUAUAAUCGCCUUUCUCUUGCAAUCCUAUUAUCAGGUACCUUAUAUUUGCUGAUGCUAUCUGGAACUAAAUUCCAAUCAGGCAUUGUCCAAUUACUAAUAGGACAGAUCAUAUCUCUCUGUUUCUAAACUAACAUGUAUCGUAAUGUGACCUCAUAAGGAAGGCUAGGAAGAUGGAGGAUUUUGUGGGAAGCGACCAGAAUCAGAUGGAAGAGAGAUAGCCCUGUUGACCUAAUGGCUGUAAUAGGAGAAGCGUGUGGUUUUAUGGGACUUAACUGAUACUAAACCUGUAUGAUGCUUGGAGUGGUGUUUCUUUCAUUUUGUUAAGAAAAUAUGGCAGCAUACAUGCUUUCAACUGAGUGCAUCAGAGCAUCCAUAACAGAUGGUCUGCAACCCUAGGUGCAUGCCACUUUCUGACUGAUAAUGAAAUUGUCAGGUACCUGGCCUUGACUAAGCUCAACAGCAUCACAUAAAGAGAAGCUUUCAUACUUAGAUUACUGUUUAAAGUUUUUGCUUAUUUGAUUUCUUAAUGCCAUUAUGACAUUAUUGAUUCAAUUCUGCUUCCGAUUUUCGAAGUUCUGGGCAUCUACUGAUUGCAUCAUUAUAUGAGAAGUUGCAUGAGUUUAUGUAUCCUGUUAUUGUUCCUUUGCGAUUUCACUGCUCACGGGACUAACCUCUCCAUUCAGUCGAAAUGAAUUGUAAUUUCUUUACUGGUAGCAGUAGUACUUUUCAUAGCAAAGAUAAUAGAAAAUAUGAAAUAUAAAUAGAAGGAAAUCUGGAUUGUAGAUAGCACCAUAAGUAACACUCAAUAUUCACUACAUAAUAAAUAGACAGUGUUACAUAGGUAGAGAAACCUACAAUGAGUACUCAUCACCAUUCUCAAACAGAAACAUAGCAGCGACUUAUACAUAGAACCUAUAGGCUCGCAGGGAAAGAGUAACAUGAUAAGUUCACAGCGGGUAGCAGCUCUUAUUUUACGUAUUACUCAAAAUCUCAAACUAACCAAAGUCACUCAGUUGGGAUGGGUAGGAGAUGGUGGUUUGUGGGGUGGCUUCUGGGUAGGAGCUGGUGGCUUCUUUGUUGGAGUUGAAGGAGGCAUAUUCUUCUGAGGUGGCUUGUAUGACUCUUCGGCACUCUCUGCAGGAGGGUGCCCAGGGUUGUGACCAGAAGGAGGUGGCUUCUGUCCCUUUGGUGGUUUGCCUAAUGGGCUUGGUGGCUUGUGCUCCGGGAGUUGUUUCUCUCCCUCGAGUAGGUUUCGAGUUUUGUCAGAUGGCUUGUGUUCUGGUGGUGGCUUCUCUCCCUGGGGUGGUUUGCCGAAUGGGCUUGGUGGCUUGUGUUCGGGGAGUGGCUUCUCUCCCUGGAGAAGGUUACGAGUUUUGUCAGAUGGCUUUUGUUCUGGUGGCGGCUUCUCUCCCUGGGGUGGUUUGCCAAAUGGGCUUGGUGGCUUGUGUUCGGGAACUGGCUUCUCUCCCUUGGGAGGUUCAUUUGGUGGCUGGUGUUCCGUAGGUGGUUCCUUCACCGGCGGCUUGUGCUCCGGAAGCGGCUUCUCUACCUGGAGAAGCUUACGAGUUUUGUCAGAUGGCUUGUGUUGUGGUGGUGGCUUCUCUCCCGGGGGUGGUUUGCCAAAUGGACUUGGUGGCUUGUGUUCGGGGAGUGGCUUCUCUCCAUGGGGAGGUUUAGUUGGUGGUUGGUGUUGCGUAGGUGGUUUCUGAAGUGGGGGAUGCUUGGGGUAGUCAGCAAUAGACGAGGUAGUGAGAACCACCAGUCCCAACAGCAACACUAG